UCUUUCAAGGAGACACUAAAGGAACAAAUCCUACAGUUUUCCUUUGAUCCAUUCCUUUGAACCAAAUGCAUGAAUAGUAGUACCAUAGGAAACUUUCCAAUUCCUAUGUUUUUACUUCACUUUUCCUUUCAAGCACUGGCUAAACUGCUUGAAGUCCAGGCAAAAAGAGGUACUCUUUCUACAACUAUAUUAGUAUUAGUACCGAAUUUAAACGGGAAAUAGCUAAUGUAAAAUUUAUCUGAUAUAGAACACUCAUAUCGAUAAAAUGGUUUGAACUAUUUACUAGAAAAAAAAGGGGGCACCCUGCCCUUUUUUAACCAAUGCCGAAUCGACGACCUAUGUAUAAAAAAGAGAAAUUUUUUGGAUUUGAAGAAAAAAAAAAAGAAUUCUAUUAAUUUUCAUUUUCCGUUUAUUUAGUUAGUUUUAGGCAGGCUUGAGCAAGGAAAAGCCUACGCUCAGAAAAUGUUUUUGUGCUACUUCUACUACUUUGGACCCAGACCACUUCCCUACUAGCUCAACUCCUAGGCCCAUCGACAAAUGCAUAGCUCAAACACGCAGAGAUAAAUAAUGAUGGCGUUGAAGAGAGUCCAUCACGGAUAGCUAAUUUGCCUGGUACCUCACUGCUUGUCAUAUAGUAGGAGAAACUAAUCUUAUUUCAUGUUACUACGUGUGCUCAGUGGACAAUAUAUAGAACAUGUAGAGUAAAAAUAGAUGGAACAAGUGUACAACCUCUUUGGUGAAGCCAUGUCGAUCUCAGCGUGAUUGGGUUGGUCGGUGAGGAUGAUCCGACUGACUUGGCUGCCGGUGGAGGGGAAGAAGAUCUUAGGCAUCUUGAGAUGGAGCCCGGGGUACUGCUCCGCUGUGAUGGAGGGUUUCGUCAUUGGAGCAGCUUUGGUGAGUUGUACGACGCCGAGGCUGAAGCAGGACAAGAGAGACAAUGUUAACCUGAGUGGAAUUCUAAUAGCAUCUCCAAUAGAUGACGUAAAAUACAUAACCACAAAGUUCUAGAUGUAAAAUACAUCAGCCACUCAUCUCUGAACUUAACUGUCAAAACUGAAUUUAACUGUCGAAACUAAACUUAACUGUCAAAACUGAAUUUUGCUGUCGAAACUGAAUUUUACUGUCGAAACUGAAUGCACUAGUAGCAGAAAAGCAGUAGCAGCAGCGCAUGCGAGAGCCGGGGCAGCUGGUCGUGUAUCAGUUCAUCUUCAACCUCCACCCCCUGAGCCGCCAACCACCACCGGCCAAACUGCCGCUCCCACCGCCCGGGGCCGGCGGUGCGCCGCCCUGCCCGCCCAAAAACCAUUCCCCACCGCCGCCCCGGCCAUCCCUUUAGCCCCCACCCCCAAUGCUGAGCUUUUUCUCCGGCGAUCCCUACGCCACAACCCCACCACCGCCCCCACCCUGAACCCUAAGAUAGAUAGUACGGUACCUCUCCGGCGAGCCCCCCUCCCAGCUGCGGCUGGUUCUUCCUUAACUCCGGCGAGCCCCCCAUCCCCUAAAAAUCGACUGACCCAAAAGUCAAUUCAGUCGACUGAAGUGUAGCUAAAUCGGAGCAGCAUCGCAAGAAAGAGCAAGAGCGAGAGUAGUAGCGCAAGCAAUAGAAAGAGCAAGAGUAAGAGCAGAACAUGCAGGGGACCGAGAGCAAGAGCAGAGCAGCAGCGUGAGCGAGAGCUAAAGCAUCAAGAGCUCCUACUGAUGUGGACGUCGCCGCUGACGGAAUGACACCGUGGAGGAAGUGGGCCAGCGACACCGCCAUGGAUGGAUCCGCGCCAUGUUGCCUCAGGACCGAGCACCGGUAGCACCAUGAGAUAAAAUCAAGAAGAAAAUGCGGCGAUUAGUGUACAACCUCUUUGGUGGCGCUGAUUAGGCCUCAGCUUCAUCUGAGGAAAUGGUGAUGAUGCUGCUCUUCCGGUGGUGCAGGUGAAGACGGCGGUCUGAGAAUGGAGGUGGCGCGAAAGACGAGGGGUACGUCAGGGCAGCUCCUUGGAGGUGGAGGACGGGGUGGCUGAACCGGCAGGACGAUGAGAUCGACGACAGAUCCUCGUCAGGUACGAUGGAUGAGGGACGUCGAGGUGUUGUUGUGGAUGACGUCAUCGGGGAAGAGGCUCUGGCUGGGUGGCAGACCGAGGAGGGUGUGGGGCUUCGCGGGUUUUCGCAGCCUCGGUGUACGAAUGGGUGGGCUGAUGGGAUGGGAGUGGGGAACCAUGGCUUAGGGACACGCUUGUCCGAAAUGUGGGCUAAGUUACGGAAGUACCCCUACCGAUUUGAGCUAGGCAGUUCUUACGGUUAAGGGUAUCACUGGCAUUACGCGUGUCGGGAUUUCGUAGAAGGUGGUAGUUUUCGCGCGCAUUGUAAUUUUGGGAUAGCAAGGCACGGGUUGAGAUGGAGGGAGUUUUCGUAGCACAACAUGACAAAGAUAUAUCUUAAAUAUUUCGGGGUAACAAGGCACGGGUUGAAAUUUCCGGACAAGCCUAACAUGUACUGUACCAAAUCAAUUCGCACUUCCAUCGACGAAAAAACAAAAAGAAAUCAAUUCGCACCACACAAGAGAGUCUAGUCCCGUGUACUGUACGAAAUCAAUUCGCACUACAAAUGCCAUUCAAAACUUUGAAUUCAUGUUAUGUUCAAUUAAAAUUUUUUGCUAGUGCAUAAUGCAUGCAACCUGCUACUCAAAUGAACGUUUUAGUUCAUUCCAAACGUAUAUACUACCGCUUCAAUAUGAAUUAAAUUUGUAUUCGUUUCUCUAUUUGAACAAUAUCUAAAAUAAUGACUGUUCUGAACUCAAACCAUUUUAAUUCAUUUAUCUAUUUUAAUAAGAUCUACAAUCAUCAUUAUUGUCAAGUUAAACCCUCAUUUGUGUAUUAUCUUCACAGCACACCACAUGAUUACUGUCGAGUUAGAUAUGAACUAUGUGUACUAUAUGAACUCGAACUCGAUUUUUUGAAUCCACUUUAUGUUGAUUUCAAAUCACAGUACAUUUCAAGCUCUAGCUACAUCUUCAUAAUCAAAACCAUGUCUCAUAUGUAUAAUGUGUUUAUCACAUAAUGUAUGGUGCCCUGCCCUCUACGCCCACAAGUAUUUAGAUGUGAGUUGCAAACGCCACACAUUACCACAAAUUCAAAUAAAAUGUGAGAUUGUUCGAUAUAUAGUAUUGUUUAGAUUGUUCGAUAUUUAGUUGUAAGCUGCAAACGCCACACAUUAUCACAAAUUCAAAUAAAAUGUGAGAUGGUUCUAUGUAUAGUAUGGUUUAGAUUAUUUGACAUUUAGCUGUGAGUUGCAAACGCCAUGCAUUAUCACAUUAUGGUAUAACAUGAGCAAAACCACAACACGCGUAUCACCGCUAUAUUCAUGCAUGCAUGUUUUUAUAACACUAUGAUCUCCUAUGAAUUCACUUUCAUAUCAAAUUAUGAUCUUUGUUAGUCUCUUACACCCACACAAUCCUCCAACCUUUGUAGCUAGCACUAACUUUCUCUUGCGCAUGCACACGCCCUCCUUGCCCUACCCCUCCCUCAGCAUUCUAUCCAUCGUGCACAUUCAUUUUUUUUUUCUUUAGGUCGUUCUCCCACAGUCUGCGCAACUCCUUUCCGACACACACCAAUCGAUAAACCGCUCCAGCGAUGUCUGCCUACAACAUACGCACACACCUUCCAUCUCCUCCUUUCUAUGUCCAUGCCUCGUGUCUCUCAUACGGUCCCACACACGUGUAAACUAUCGCCCCUCUUUUCGUCAAUCUGACAAUCGCACACUCCUCCCCUAUCUAGCUAGUAGCUCGGCCUCUCGCACCACCUCCUAGCUCCAUUCUCUCUGUCUACCCGUCUCGCUGGGCCUUAUUUGCCUCUAACAAAUGGAUGUACACCGACCGGUCGCCCGCUAUAUAUUUAGCUAGCUAGGUCCUUAUAACUCUUUUUUCCCCAUGCGUCGAUCGAUCUACCUCAUUAGUUAUGUCUCUCCCUUCCUCCGACAAACAACAAUUGAUCUAUCGAUCUAGUUAGGUUUGCUUACCAAACACAUGGUUCCCCUUCAUCAUCCAUGCAUGUGUCCUGGCACAUCUAUCACGCACUGGCACACAAAGGAACACAUCCCCGUUCUUAUUGAUAAUAUUGCAGUUCUACCCUUAGUUUGUCUAGUAGGCCUCUCCCACCAUCUUCGAGAAGCAACUCCAUCACCCAUCCAUCACUCUACCCCUCUCCCUCCCUCUCUCUCUCUCUCCUCUCUAUCUCUCUCUCUCCCUCUCUCUCUCUCAUUGUCCCAACCUAUUUCCCGUCCUUCAGUUAUGUAUGGAUGUCGACCGAUCUCCCUCAAGACAUAGCUGGGUCUCUCCUUCUCAACACAUAUACAAGUCGUUCUACCUCUCUAUUUAGGCCUCUGCCUCCCCCCAACACAGACACACACACACACCGAUACAUCGAGCCCUCUAGUCAUGUCUCCCUGCCACGCACAUACUUGCCCUGUGCCCUCUAAUGUUCCGGUAGGUCAGUCGCCCUAUAUCUUUGACUUGCACACACACAAUUUUGAUGGCUCUCUUCAUCGAUCUCGCACCCACCCACUUGAUCCUCUCUUCGACUCUAUCAAUAUCUAUGACCCCUCCCUCUCUUUUGUGGAUCGCCCCCUCUAUAUGUGAUAGAGAUAGGCCUCCAUUUCACACACAUUGCAUGUGUCGAAUUUUUGUUUGAGAUGUCAUCGACACAUAUUCCCACAAAUACAUUCACGAAAUCACCCCCAACAAAAAACACUCACAAACGCACACGCCAUCUGCCUAGGUUUGUAUCUUUCUCACACACACCCACAUAGGUGGGGGACGUGCACGAAGAGAAGAGGUGCACGCAUGGCGCACGUAUACACGGUGUAGCUCAUUUCUGUACGAAAAGGCAGCACACGUGGUCAUUUGACAUGUGUACUGGUUUUCCACUUGAUGGAGGAUCGUCUACCACGGGUGAACAAACAAAUUGCGACUUGAUGCGUUAUUUUAAAAAGGAGGCAAACCAUGUGGGUCCUACCUUAGAGGCAAGGCUCUAUACACUCGAGAUCCUCUAUACGUAUUACUUUUGAUGUGUCCCGUCAACUCACAGAACGAGGAGAAGCUUGCUUAGUAUGCUGUCUCCCCACCCAUGGGCGCUGUGGCUCGUAGGAUGAGUUGAAGCUUGCUUACUAUGCCUUACGCCUGCUCCCUCGCCCACGCGCGCGGUGGCUCACAGGACGAGGAGAAAAUUUUACUACCCCCUUCGUUUACUCCUCAUCCCUACCUUGGUUAGAGAGAUUAUCAUAUUGUUUGGAAUAUAUGUACUUUAGUAGAUUUCAAUAUGAACUACUCCACUAGUACAUACUCCAAACACUGACGUAUAUAGACGUAUUUUAGAGUGUAGUUCACUCAUUUUGCUCCGUAUGUAGUCCAUAUUGAAAUGUACAUAGUAGUAAUAGUAUGCACUCUCCCUCGCCCCUCGACCCUCACCCACGUGGUGAAGGCGCAACAAUUCAUUAGGUAUCAUAUAGCUAGAAUGAUAUAUAUUGCAGUACCAUUAUUUCUCGACUUCCCGAAGAGGCGAAGAGCCAAUCGCAAGGUUAAUAAUUUGGAGAUGCCAAGCGCAAGGUUUAUAGGAGAACGAGUAGUAGUAGUACUAGUAGUACGUACCAGUGGUACGUACUAUAUGAGGAAGAAGGAAACAAGCUGUAUAUUUUGCAUGACAGUCUCUUCUUACAAGACGCGCUAGACAUAGUGGACCUCAAUGUUGCAAUGGGACUACUCCCUAUCAUAGAUGGCACGAUUCAGAGUGGUGGGUAACGGGCAUAAUUCGGAGCUGCUUAGUCUUAAACCCCAUGAAGAAGUCCCAUCGAAAGGAAUAGCCAUCCUCUACACGUGCUCCUAUGUAAAAUGAGUAAAUGAGACAAAAAUAGAAAGACAUAGCAAAAAAAAUCACCAGCCUUAGAUCCAGCCCUAUUGUAUCAUUGAAUGAUAUUUAGGUCGCGAUUGACAUGGCUAUAUUAUUAACCAUGCUACGGAGGUAGAAUCGGAUUUUUAUUUAUUCGCGGAGCUAGCAGCGGAUGGAUAUUCAACGAGGAGUGAAAUGAUGGCUGCUUCCUUGGUCAAACAUAGAGAAAGGCGGGCCUCGUGAUUUCACGGCUUAUUAGUCAGUAUUACUGCCUAUACUCUUUGCCCAUCUAUAAUAACCGCGUGGUAGUACAGUAGUGGGCUAUACUUUUAAUAACCAUGCUCGAAGAGAAGAGGUGCACGCACUCACACACGUAGUGUACUAGUAGCACUCUUUGCGUCUUUUGCGUCUUCCUAGACAACACACGUGACACGGUGGAGCUCAUUUCUAUAAGAUGAUGCAGCCCACAUGAUAAUUUGACCCGUCUAGUAGUAGUUACUCACUUAUAAAUAAUGGAGGGUCGGGAACCACGCACGAACGAUGCCGCGUCAUUUAUAAAUAAAGUUUUUUUUCUUCAGUGGCACGUACGCAAUAUAAAUAGGUUCAUAUGGAGAGAAAAGGAAACCGCUCCACUAUACACAUAGCCAGGAUGAGCCUACAUGGUUGCUUGCUGGGGUUGCUCUCUUCACACACUCUCGCACAAAACGACUGUGGCCACAUCUCUAACAUCUGGGUGGAUCAUGUCCACCGGGGGAAGGGGUGGAUGCUUAGUGUAGAUGCGGUCGCCGUCGCUGACGGUGAAAACCUACUGUCGGCAUGUCCUGAUCAGGGGUCCACAUCGUUCUCUCUCACAAAGCCGGUGAGGUUGCCUUCGUCCCUUGCUCACCGCCGCGACGCGGGCAGUUGCCACCUCCCGCCUCCCUCCUCUAGGUUGAGCUAUGUCCUGAUAUCCCUUAGGUACAACUUCCUUUACAACCGACUUGCACCACUGCUCCAGCUUCCCACAUCACUCCGUGUGGAUAUUUCUCUACUUCUUUACCCCGCACAUACCUCUACUGGCUUCUACGUAUUGCAUUUGUGAUGAGUUUAUGUCUCAUCAACUAGUCCCAGUAAUCUUAUUCUAAUCACGCUUCUUCAAUUUCAUUGCCACAGGGAUACUCAUCUCGAUUUUGGUGAAACUUCACAAAAUGAUCCAAUGGUCAAAGGGCUGCAAACUUCAUUUCUUCGGAAGCUCCAACGUUGCCAGCAAAUUAAAGCCUGAUUACGGUAUACGGUUGCUGGGCUAGGGACUGCAUGGAUUGUUUUUUUCUUUUGCUAUCUCUAUUCCAAAAUAAGUGUCAACUUUAGUAGUAGUAAAACUUGGUACUAAAGUUUGUAUAAAGUUGAGACACUUAUUUUGGAACGGAGGGAGUACAUAUUGGCUAUGAUCUGUCAAUCAUUGAGAUGCAAUAGCACGCAUGUUAGUCUCCUUUGUAUUUGAUGAAUGAUGCAACGGGCAACCUUGGACGCAAGAUACAUGAAACAGAAGCUGGAAGCUUCAUAGGAUUAUACAAAUUUAUCUCGCUGAGAAAUUACAGUACGUACUAUACCAGUACUAUGUAAAGAGUCAGGUGUCGCACAGUGUCCAGAAAAUAUGGUGACAGCGUGAGGUGGGCCAUGUAAUCACUGAGCCUGCGCCUUUUCAUUGCUUUCACACUCCUCCACUGUAGGAAUGGAUAAAAUUGUAAUCUAGUAGUACCUCCUUUCGUCGAAAGCAUGGGACAUCCAGCAGUCAUACCACCUCAGUAAUAAUGACCAAUGAGCCGUCAAAUCACAUAGACCCAGCAGUAAGUUGGACGGAUGAAGCAACCAUCACUCUUGAAUUCGCUUCUCCCUUCAACACAGGCGCUAGUGAGAGGUCGCGCCCGCUCUACCCGGGCAUGAAUGCGGCACCGAUUCUUUGGAGCGGCGCUGACCGUUUCGGGCGAUGGAGGGGCUUUGGGUGGGUCAGGCUGGUCAGGAGCGGGCGUGGCUGAUAUGUCCAUUUUGCAUCAUGCUUUUAUAUUGAUAUUUAUUGCAUUAUGGGCUGUUAUUACAUAUUAUGUCACAAUACUUAUGCCUAUUCUCUCUUAUUUUACAUGGUUUACAUAAAGAGGGAGAAUGCCGGCAGCUAGGAUUCUGGGCUGGAAAAGGAGCAAAUAUUAGAGACCUAUUAUGCACAGCUCCAAAUGUCCUGAAACUUCAAGAAAGUUAUUUCUAGAAUAUAUAAAAAAUAUUGAGCGCAAGUGUUGGCAUUCUGGGAAUGGGGGUCCCCAGACUUGUCUGCCUGUGGCCCGCGGCGUGGCUAAGCCAGCAGGCCAUACGGCCCAUCUUCAUCAACAAGGCAUCCAAGACCCUCGCGAGGGGCCAAGCCUUGCGAGGCGGACGACACAAGGCCUCCUCUGGAGUGGCCUAGUCGGGCAUGCUCACGAGGGGCGGAGAUAACAAGGCGAGGCAAACCUCACGAGGCUCUCGUCACGUGAGCCAUGACGAUUGACACCAGGCGGGCGCCAGCGCAUGCAACGUCCUUGUUUGCUCUUUGGUGCUAAGGAGCCAGUGCAGGCGAGGAGUACCGAGGCAUCAGGCAAAGGUUGCGAUAUCGGUGCAACAAGACCAAGACUAGAAGGACAGCAAGACGGAGGUCAUUGUGGAGCCCAAGACGGCAUUACCACCAGAGCCUUUCGUAGGCGGAGACCACCUUUGUCAGUAUAGCUUGUACUAGCUGCCCCCCUUCAAAAUUGCCCGCCGUUGUUGGCUCCCUUCCCUCUCAAUAUUUGGGAAGAGGACCAGGGCCUCUAUAAAUAGCACUAGCCACCACCAUAGGCAAGAGAGAGCCUGAAGUUCAUCCCCCCACACACAAGUUAGCCAAGCACGAGAACACCUCACUCUCAGGAGGCUGUUCUUCCCCUUGUAUUGUUCAUCAUCAGCCCAAGAGGCAAUCCACCACCACCACACUGGAGUAGGGUAUUACACCACAACGGCGGCCCGAACCAGUAUAAAUCUUGUGUCUUUCUGUGUUGCAAGUUCGUCGAGUUCGUCCGCGAGAUCUUAGCGAGCUAGGGCCUAGAUCGGUGGGAGGAAAAGACUUCGCGCGCACCCCAGUAUUCCAACCUUAAGGGUUUGCCGGAAUCCCACAUCCGACAUUUGGCACGCCAGGUAGGGGUGCGCCGUAGCUUCCCUUCCAUCAGUUCAUCGCUCUGUCGCUCCAUCGUCUCCAUGGCGGACGCUCGACGUGCUCGAGCUGAGCGUCGGGCUGCCCUCACUACCCGCGUUGCUCAAACGGCCCCCAUCGGUGGGCCACCAUGUUGUUCUCCGUCUCCCGCCACCAACACUGCCACCGGCCCGGUGGGGAAUGAGCAGCAAGCCUCUUUGCUGCAUCCUUCGGUACGGCAGGACGGCCGCAUCGCCACUCCAUCGCUGACCCCGACCGGUUCUUCACCCCAUGCACACCACGCUCCCAUGGAGGCGCGGGCCGCACUCCUUGCCACAAACGAACUCCUGCGCUACCGCCCAGUCGACGACCUCUAUGAGGAGUGGCUUGACCGUGUCGCCGAGCUCGUCCGGGCCGCAGGGGGCUCCCCGGUGCUAUCCGUCUCUCUGCCUCACCCUCAGCCGGACUCGGGCGAUGAUGCUUGGGGCGCGCCUCCACCACCCCAGCCAAAAGAAGGCGCCUUGGCAGAAAGGCGUGCGGCCCCGCGGUGUGAUCCGCCACGUCCGGUGCCCACGCGCGAAGAGAGAAGAUGCCAAGAAAUCCUCGGUCGCGAGGAGCUGCACCCGCGCUUCCCGCGCUGCCUUGUCAAGACCGCGUGCCGCCCGUGGCGGCGCCGCACGGACCUCGUCAAGACCAACCUCCACCUCUGUUGGGGAUAUUACCACCGGGCAUAAACCGGCUAGGAGAGGCCGGAUUAUCCCCAUGAUGGUUGCUUUAUUCAAAAGCCCAUGAAGACGUGAGGAUGGUGGCGCUUUAUGAAGGCCCAAGGCCCAAAGGUGGGUUAAGGCCUGUAGAUGUAAACCGACUUUCUCAUGUAACUUGCAUUGUAAGAUAGGAAGGAUAGAGACCGAGUUGGAUACGUUAACAAUCCAGCCUCGGGACUUUGUAAACUGACGAGCGUCAACCUAUGUAUAUAAAGGGACGACCCGACGUCGGUUUAGGGACAACUGACAACAAAAACUCGAGAGCCAGGUAAAGCGGAUUUGCUCCCUGGUCAUCGAAACCCCAACAAUUCCAUCACAACUAGACGUAGGCUUUUACCUUCAUCGUAAGGGGCCGAACUAGUAUGAAACUCUCGUGUCCCUUGUCCGGUUUAACCCCUUUAAGCUAACCCAGAGAGAUGGCUCCAUGACUAAGUCCUUUCAUGAGGACAUUUGCCAUGACAAAACCACGACAGCUGGUGCCCACCGUGGGGCUAGAAGGAGGGCUCGUGGGCUGGAGUCAUAUUAACUUCCCCAUGAGGUGACAAGUUUUGUUAUGUUCUUCGCUUAAUGUUCCCUUGUACUAACAAUGCAGCUGAAUAUGAGGCCUUGCUCCAUGGCCUUCGGAUGGCUAAAGAGAUGAAUUUAAGCCGAGUUAAGCGCUUUGGUGACUCGGACCUGGUGGCUCAGCAGGUAUCUAGCACUUGGGAUUCUAAGGAUCCACUCAUGGCUGCAUAUCGAUGAGAGGUGGACAUAGUGGCUGGUCAUUUCAAGGUUUAUCAAGUUGACCAUAUAGACCGGCGAAAGAAUGAAGCGGCGGACACUUUAAGUCGUCUAGGCUCUCUGCAUAAACCAGUGCCACCUAAUGUCUUCCUCGACGUACUUCAUAAUCCGCCGGUCAAGAUACCCACAGAGGAGGAGUUGGCUAUUCCUGACCCGGAGGCCCAGUUAGUGGCGGCUUUGCAUGUUAUACCGGAUUGGACAGUCCCGUACCUGGCUUACAUGAACCGAGACAAGUUACCAGAUGAUGAAACCUUGGCCCGGCAGAUAAUCCGGCGAUCCAAGUCAAUGACCAUUAUCAAUGGGGAGCUACAUCAUUAUAGCGUCACAGGAGCAAUUCAGCGUUGUGUGUCUCCUCAAGAGAUUUGUGAGAUUUUGCGAGAAAUCCACAAAGGAGAUUGUGGUCACCAUGCCGGUUCAAAAUCCUUGGUGGCUAAGGCUUUUCGUCACGGCUUCUAUUGGUUGACAGCUCAUGCUGAAUGCCGAGGAUUUGGUAAAAAGGUGUGACGAUUGUCAGAAAUUUGCACGCCGCGCUCAUGUUCCGGCGCAAGAGUUGAGAAUGAUUCCAAUCACUUGGCCGUUUGCAACUUGGGGGCUAGAUAUGGUUGGACCCUUUAAGAGGUCCAAGGACAAAAAGACCCACCUGUUGGUGGCAGUUGAUAAGUUUUUCAAAUGGGUAGAAGCAGAGCCGGUUAGUAAGUGUGAUGCAGCCACGGUGGUCCAAUUCAUCAAAAAGGUGAUAUUCCGGUUUGGUUUUCCACACAGCAUUAUAACUGAUGACGGUACUAAUCUGUCCAAGGGUGCUAUGGAGGAAUUUUGUCAACGUGAGCACAUCCGGCUUGAUGUAGCAUCAGUAGCUCACCCCCCGUCUAAUGGUCAAGCAGAGCGGGCAAAUCAAGAAAUUUUGAGAGGUAUUAAACCCCGGCUUAUGGUUCCUUUAAAGAGGACGCCGGGUUGUUGGGUGGAGGAGUUACCUUCUGUAUUAUGGAGUAUCAACACCACACCAAACAGAUCUACGGGUUACACACCUUUCUUCAUGGUUUACGGAGCAUAGGCGGUUCUCCCUAGUGGCAUCCGUCAUGACUCGCCCCGUGUGGCGACUUACGUUGAAGCUGAAAAUGAGAAGGCACGUCAGGACUCACUGGACCUGUUAGAUGAGACGCGUGAUCUCGCAGCGGCGUGGUCGGCAAUUUAUCAACAAGAUCUCCGACGUUAUCACAGCCGCCGGGUUAAGACCAAAACUUUUCAAGAGGGCGAUCUGGUGCUCCGGCUCAUCCAGGAUCAGACUGAUAUGCACAAAUUAUCCCCACCUUGGGAAGGACCUUUUGUGGUCAGAAAAAACCUGCAGAAUGGGUCAUACUACCUUAUCGAUGUUCGAGAGCACAAAGACUCAUGCAAAUCAGAGGAGGAGACCCAGCAGCCAUGGAAUAUAGCUCUUCUUCGGCCUUACUAUACUUGAGCCACAUGCUCUUCUUAUGUACAUACUUAUAACAAUGUAUAUAUUAUAUAAUAAACUGGAGCCUCAGCUAAAGCGGGGUCUCUGUUCUUUUUUACAUCAUGUGUGGUUACAUGGGGGCUUCUACUUACAAAGCGGAGUUCUAUUAACCCGACCUAUAAAGCCACAUAGAUAUAAAGGAAAUCACUAGGGGGCUUGGUCGUAUUCCAACCAUAGCUACGCCUCUUGAUCGUCUUAAGACCAAAAAGGGAAAUCACUAGGGGGCUUGGUUGUAUUUACACCAUAGCUACACCUCUUGAUAGGCUUAAAGCCAAAAGGAAAUUAUGUGGAACCAAAGAGAGUCUGUUGCAUCAAGCACAACUCAAACGUAGGUAACCACUGAGCAUAGCUCAAAUAUUACUUGGGGGCUCCUUACUUCUCAAAGAACAACGAGCUUGCACCCUUGUGAUAGGCUAUCAAGCCAGGCUUGGAAGCUAGGUGUUAUCCUGCCUUUUUAAGUAAGCCACUCCGUCCAGGUAAACCUGGUAUGACCCAUCGAAUGUUUGACAAGUCAAUCUCAUACACCCUGAACUUGUCAAAGUUAAAAUGAUGAUUGGUUAAAGAUUGAGGUCCAUCUUAAAAGUCUUUGAAAAAUGGUUUAACUCAGCGGCCUGGCAGCCCAUUAAAAGCCUCGAUUUAGGGCCUGGCAGCCCAUGAAAAGCCUUGCAUAUUUCUUUUGUAUUUUGCUGUCUAAAACAUCUUCUGAUAAGGGAUUUAUGAAUAUUUUUUGAUAAACAUGUUUUAUUACAACCCGGCCUGGCUUUCAACACUAAGUUGUCAGUACAUGGUCAGUUUUAAUCCGGCAAUAAUAUUGCUCCGGUCUAGUUUGACUACAGGUCACCACAAUUAUAUGCAUAAACCAGUGUUUACCAUCACCCAGAAAGAUUUCGGUAUGAACCGACAAGGAUGCAAGGAGUCAUCAACACUCCAGAUUGGUGUUAUCACCUUUUGUUAUAACAACAGUUGGUAAGCCAAACGAGAUAUACCACAGGUAACAUCUAUUUUAUAUCUACAUAUUACAACCUUAGUUCAGCAUCCAGGUUAUAUAUAUGUUUGGGCACCAUGACCCGUCCAACGGUAAACCGCUAGGACACUUUCAAUUUUUUUGCAGGAAUAAGCUAACUAAAGCCACUGUGGAUUAUGCAUAUAAUAGAUCCCAAAAACAUGUCGAGUUAUCAAUGUCAAGCACACCAAGUAUGCUCGAUGGCAUAAGCAUAUAAGUAUUUGAACUAGCCUAUUACAAGGCGCUUUAGUGCCCACACAGGAUAAUUGUUUCGACAAGUUUGGCAAAUGAUUAAACCGGCUUCCGGAUUACGAUUCUUCAUCCGGACGACUUGAAGAUUGAGGGUCAUCUUGAGCGGGUGCAUUCUCCUCAUCCCUACCCAGUCGCUGAAAAUCAAUCCUUGACCAAUCGAUUCCAGUUAAGGCUUGAAAAACGGCUUCUUCAUGAAUAAGGUUGGAAGGGUCAAUGUCAGGAGCGUAAGUGUGCUUACGGAUUGGUGGAACAAGAUCUUCUACAUUAUGAAUCGGCGCGGGAUGUCUUUUCCCCUCAACAUCGUAAACCUGUUGAUAAUGAGAUAGAUCUGUGUUAUCUGCCAAUUUGCUUGCUAUAGGCCGCAUUUCCUUUGUUGGCCUUCGGAGAUCAUCGUUGUUGAAUUCUGUGCCAUCUUCCUUCAUGUUGGGGUAGCCUUGGACGAUAUCUGCCGGUUCAAGAUCUGGAAUCCACGCCUUGGCUCGGAUUAGCAUGGUCAGCGCACCUGACCUUGCGGCUGAUCUCUUCAGUUCAUCCAGCCGGGCAGGCAGCAUGGCCAGCUUUUUUGAUGGUCUCUUUUGUCAGCGCUGGAGGAGGUUUGUUAUAAGCUGAAGUAUAAAUGGCUCGCUGGGAUCCAGAAUGCAGUUGUUCUAUCAAAGUAUAGGCCGCUUUAAGCUUCAUCCGCAUGUCGGAGCCCAGAUGAGUAAUGCGUGUCCAUGUCAUGGUAAAGCAUCAGUAAACCAGCCUUUAAUAUGAUAUUAUGGAUUGGAAAAACUUCAUAUGAGGAAACUCACCAAAUACAACAGAGGUCAUGGCAUUAAUCUGUCGCUUUAAGCCGGUCAGUUCUUCAACCACCGGCUUUAGGGCUGCUUCUGCGUCUUCGGCCUUCUUUGUAAAAUCGGCCUGCUCGGCAUCCCAGUCUGCACGUUCCUUCUUAAAAUUUUCUUUCAGCUUUUCCGUGGCUGCUAAGGCUUUAGUCAGUUCCUCCUUGGCUUUGGAAGCUUCCACUUGCUGAGACUUGAUGUUGUCUUGAAGAUCAGCGGUUUGGGAGUCCUUUUUGCUCAGCUCAGCCUGUAAAGGAAUGGCAUAUCAUUAGUGGGAAGUAUAUAUUUGAAGUACCAAGAACAUAACAAGUUAUGCACUUUGUACUUGGGGGCUAAUGCCUAUUUGCUAUGUUAUCAGAAAUUUUUGCAAAGUCCCAAAUACAAUGCAAACAUUAUCUUUGGCACUUGGGGGCUAAUGUACAUCUAUUCAAAGUUGAAGCAUUGAUUAAAGACCCGGCUUACCUUGGAAAGAUAAAUCGGCCCUUGGGGGCUACACAGAUGAAAACUACAAGAAUACAAUGAUAAAGUACUAGUUUAUUUCAAAGGAUCACCUGACAUAUGGAGGAUAAGCAUGCAAGGGUUGAGAUAUUACAAAGUCCCAAUUUAUGAUUGCUAUCAUAAACCGACCCUUGGGGGCUACUAGAGUUGGUAUUUGCAAUUGGAGUUAAGAAAGGAAAAGUUAUGUCAUUACCUCAUGGAGCUCCUUCAUCAGAUUCACCAAAUCGGCUUCAUAAUCCCGGUUUGUGUGCAGACGGUUUAGAAAGCCAUAGUGGAGUUCCUGAGCAGUGAAGUGGGCAUAGCUUGAUAAAUUGGUGCUCCACUUGCCUUUCUCCAUGGCAGCACAUUCUUCUUUGGCACUAUGUUUCACCAAUACAACAGGUUGGCCAAGAGAGGUGUGGCCAAUACCGGUACUGAUAACAUCAUCUUCCUUAUUUCCAACAGCCUUUUAUAGAGUUGAUGGAGUAUCAGUCGUCUUCACUGGACUAGAAGAUCCGUCAUCAGCCCGGAUUGGACUGGCCGGUUUAUCAUCUCACACAGCGGUAUCAACUUCUGUUUGCUCAUUCAAAUCAUGAUCCAGAGGGGGUGGUUCAUGAACAACAGUGUCUACAUGAGGACCUUCUGGUUCAGUGGUUUGCUCCGGUUCAACAACCAAUUCUUCAGACGGUUUAUUCACCCGAGUUUUCUUGCUGGGUCUAGCCUUGGCUCUGAAAAGGAUAAGAUGCAAGGAUGAAAAUAGCAUGCAAAUACAAAGCCUCAACAAAUUCAGUUAAAACUUACCCAACAAUUCUUAAGGGGAGGGAGUUGUCUUGCUGUUGACUCACCAGAGGAUGAAGGGUGUCACCUGAUAAUUCGAAUCGGAAAGAUUAAGAGGUUGUCGGUAAUAGCCGGCCUUAGGAUAAGAAGUGUCAGAAGUGGGUGAGACCUCAGUUCGGCAUUUCCGGACCGGGGUAUUCAGUAAACUGGUCAAAGUGACCAUUUGACCUCUGUGCCAGGUUGUGCGGCGAGCCUCGUGCUACUGCUUCUUCAAAAUAAAUGUUGGAUCCAAGUGAGCAAGAGGGUGAGAAAAUCUUACUUUCCGGACUGCUUGACGGAUUUUUUGUGUUGGCAGAGAGUCUGAACCGGAGGAAAGGAUAAUUACCUCUGCAUCGCCAGCUUGGCUGCCCUUAACGUCCUCCUGAUAAAUAUCAUUGCCAAUGAGAUGCAUGAAAAGUGAACCAAGUUCUACCUCUACUUCCGGUUCAUCUAGGUCGUCAUCAAGCUCUAAACUGAUGGGUUUAGGUGCCUUCCUCUUUGUGGUUUUCUUCACGGCUUUUGUUUUAAGAUGGGAAGACUUCACCGCUUUCUCUUGAGGUUUCUUUUUCCAGAACGGAUCAUCACCCUGUUUAAAGAUGGGCAGAGGGAAUUCAGAGAUUGCACAAUCUAAAAAUAUCAGGUGUAAAGCAGAAGCACAGACAAUACUUACAGCGGGCGGUUUGUUUUGCGUAUAAAAGGGUCUCAACCCGGUCUUGCUACAUACAGCUUCUGGUUCGUUCAACAUUUUCUUCAUAGACUCAGUGACUUCUUCAUCUGUUAGCUGAAUAUUGAUAUGCCGUUGAGAGUCUUGUACGUCAUCGGUAUACUCACACAUUAAGACGGAGCGGCGACUUAAUGGCAAAAUGCUUCGGGAUAUCCAGCAAAGGACGAAGUCCAUGCCUGUUAAACCGUUGGCCAGGAAGACUCUCAGCUUGGCGAGUUGAGGUGCGUAUGAGGCCCGUUCCUGGGCACUUAGCCAUUGCAGAAGCGGAUGAGUAUUAGCAAGCCGGUGAGAAUGAUAACCCAACAGAGGGUUUUCAUCUUGAGGAGAGGUGUCUCUGCAAUAGAACCAAGUUUGAUUCCACUCUUUUGGGUGACUGUGAAGUUUGGCAUGAGGAAACUCAACCUCUUUCCUUUUCUGAAUUGAGAUGCCGCCAAAUUCCGUAUUGGGUCCGUCUACAAACUCAGUGCAACGGUUUAAAUGGAAGAAAUCCCGGAACAGCUCAACAGUUGGUUCCUCUUGAAGGUACGCUUCACAAAAGACUUGAAAGUUGCAUAUAUUGGAUACCGAGCUGGGUCCAAUAUCUUGAGGAUGGAGCUGAAAGCUAGCAAGUACAUCUGAAAAAAACUUUGAUCCGGGCGGUUUCAAGCCACGGCCUCUAUGAUCAACAAGCACCACCACUUCAUUCUGUUUGGGGGUAGGAGGGUUUUCCGGCAUAGGAACUCGCCACCAGAUUUCAUUCUUCUUUGGUAAGGUGCCGAUCUUAACCAUUCCGUUUAGUUGCUCCUCAGUAACCCGGGAAGGGACCCAGUUGCAGGAAUAAAACUGCUUGGCCAUUGCAAGUGAAAAUCUGGGAAGAAAAUAAUGUCGUUUUAUGAUUCAUUCAUGGCGAUGCAUAAGGUACAAUAGGGAAAGGGAAUCCAAGUAUGUGAAAUUGGUAAACCGGAGGCUAAUGCAAUUAUGAAUGAUAAAGCGAUAAGCAUAAUAAGAGGUAUACGCAUAUUAUUAAAACGGAGUAUGACAACGGAGAUAAAGGGAUUGGCGGUUUACAAGGGGACUAAUGGUAUAUGAUAGAUUACUUUCUACAAUGAUAAACCGCCUAUGCGGAUAAGGAAGAUACAGAUCUAAGCAAGAAUGAGUAAGUAAGGUAAAACAGGUUUCACAAGAUUGCAUUGAAAUUUUGGAUCUACUGUAAGUCAGGAAAAGGAAAAAUAUUGAGACUUAAAAAGGUUUGGUACCGAAGCAGUUCACAAAAGGUCCAGAUCAAGUUAUUAGGUAUUUAAGGUUUGGUUUAAAUGGCCAAGACAAGGAGUACCAUAGCUACUGUGCGGAAAAUGUCAAGAUCGAGCUCUGUUAUCUAUGGGCUGACGAAGAACACGAGAAGAGUGACAUGAACCCGUAUGAACCCUAAUGGAUCUAUAGAGGAAAGAAGGAAAGGCUUACAGCAGCUCUUGAGGUAGGGGAGGUGCACCGCAUCUUUCUGAUGCAACCAGGUCGAUGCAGCGGCCAAUGGAGAUGCAGAGGCGAAGCUCGACGACGACGGUGGCGCUCCGGUGCAAGGGCUUCCCGAGGAGAAAGAAGAAGCGAGGAGGCGAAGGGGGAAAAGAAAAUGACCGUUGGCCCUAUUUAUAAGGUAAAUGGAGAGGUGACAGGCGCGAGAAUCAAGGAGCCCGAAAAUUGGAUAUAUAACAGAGCGGUCGCCUCGAUUGUCGGAGGCUCAUUAACUGAAGGUGAGAUGUAUAAUUUUUAAAUAACAAGUGACGUCAUGGCGAUUUAUCAUGAUCCUAGAGGAUGACGUCAUGGUGGUUUACAAGAUCAAGGUGAAGAUGCAAAGGAGGAAUUUUUCUAAGUGUUGAAGAUUGACAUGAACAAGUUCAAAUCAAUCUGAGGCCUAAUGUUGGGGAUAUUACCACCGGGAGUAAACUGGCUAGGAGAGCCGGAUUAUACCCAUGAUGGUUUCUUUAUUCAAAAACCCAUGAAGACGUGAGGAUGGUGGCGCUUUAUGAAGGCCCAAGGCCCAAAGGCAGGUUAAGGCCUGUAGAUGUAAACCGACUUUCUCAUCUAACUUGCAUUGUAAGAUAGGAAGGACAGAGACCGAGUUGGAUACGUUAACAAUCCGGUGUCGGGACUCUGUAAACCGACGGGUGUCGACCUAUGUAUAUAAAGGGCCGACCCGACGGCGGUUUAGGGACAACUGACAACAACAACUCGAGAGCUAGGUAAAGCGGAUUCGCUCCCUGGUCAUCGAAACCCCAGCAAUUCCAUCACAACUAGAUGUAGGCUUUUACCUUCAUCGUAAGGGGCCGAACUAGUAUAAAACGCUCGUGUCCCUUGUCUGGCUUAACCCCUUUAAGCUAACCCGUAACGAUGGAUCCACAACUAAGUCCUUUCACAAGGACAUCUGCCGUGACAAAACCAUGACAACCUCUGAAGUGGGCCCCAAUAACUACGGCCAGCUGCCGCGCCUUCACCCCCGAGCUGCGUAGCGUCGCCUGGCCAGGCAAGUUCAAGCCAGAUCUGCCUCCUCGCUACGACGGCACCGCCGACCCCAUGGAGUUCUUGCAGCUCUAUGAGCUGAGUAUCGAAGCAGCCAACGGCGACGAGAAAGUCAUGGAAAACUGGUUUCCCGUGGCUCGCAAGGACGGGGCCCGCUCCUGGCUCCUGAACCUGUAGCAUGGCUCGAUAUCCUCCUGGGACGAGAUGCGCGACCGCUUCGUCACCAACUUCCAGGGCACUCGCGACUGCCCGCCUGCUGUGGGCAACCUGCGCCGCAUCAAGCAACAGCCAGGGGAGACCCUUCAGAAGUACAUUCAGCGCUUCAACAACACCCGCCUCAAGAUCCCCAAGGUCACGGAUGAGGCCAUCAUCUCCGCGUUCUCCGACAGCGUCCGUGACGUCAAGAUGAAGGAAGAGCUUGCUAUCCACGAGGAGCUCUGCACAUCUCAGGAACUAUUCAACCUGGCAAUCAAGUGCGCAAGAGCUAAGGAGGGGCGGCUGUCUCUCCUUGAGUUGCCAGCCGCGGGCAUAGAAGAGAAGAAAGCCAAGGCCAAGGACGUGAAGCGCAAGGAAGCAGUGGUGCUAGCAGCGGAGCCUGACACCAAACGGGGUAGAGAUCAGCCCGAGUCAUCCAAGAACAGCCGACCGUUCUGCGCCUUCCACAAACUGAACACCCACAACACUAGCGACUGCCAAGAGCUCAGAGCCAUACGAGAAGGACACUACGGUCGAUGCCCCGACCGCAGUGACCGGGGUACAACCAUGGAGGAGGACGCUAGGACGACCAUCGCCCGUGCCAGAAAUGGCGCGACAGGCCUCGUGAGGACCGCUGGCAAGACCAUCCUCGCGAGGGGGCCUGGAGGGACCAACCUCGUGAGGUUCGCCCCCAAAGCAAUGCCGGUCUUCCCCCACUGCCGCCACCAAGAAGGAACGACGAUCAUCAUCAGGACGAGGGGGUUGGGGGCUUCCAGGAGCCGCGUGCAAUCGCCUGCAUCUUGGGCGGCGCCCAGGCCCCAGCCUCUCAGCGCAUCUUCAAACGGUUCGCUCGCAAGGUGAACGCGGUGCUCCCCAAUCUUGAGGCCGUGCGCCCGCUCAAGUGGUCCCAGUGCGCCAUCACUUUCGACUCGGCAGAUCAGCUCAAGUGCGCGGCCAUCGCCGGCGUCCUCCCGAUGUUGUGUUCCCUAGUCAUCAACAGUGUGCAGGUUACCAAGACCCUCAUCGACGGUGGUGCAGGGCUCAACGUCCUGUCUGUCGACACAUUCGACAACCUCCAAGUGCCAUAUGAGCAGCUCCAGCCUACCAAACCUUUCUUAGGAGUGACCGACGGCUACACCAUACUGAUAGGGCAGGUCUGCCUACCUGUCACCUUCGGCACGCGCGACAACUACCGCACCGAGCUCAUCGACUUCGACGUCGCCCACAUCUGCCUGCUGUACAACGCCAUCCUUGGGUAUCCGGCCCUGGCCAAGUUCAUGGCGGUCACCCACCGCGCCUAUAACGUGCUCAAGAUGCCUGGAAGCGGCGGGGUCACCACGGUCCUAUGUGAGGAAAGGGAUGCGGUGUGCUCCCUCGAGCGCGCCUUCCAAGAUGCAACAAUCGACGACCCCGACAGCAAAAGUGAGGGCCCACCGGAGGCCAUCGCCAAGAAGAAGCAGCUGCGCCGCGCAGGACCUCAGGAGGAUGGUGUCGCGACAGGAGCCUCACUAGGAUCAGCGUCCGUCCUAGGGGCGCCACCCUCCAUCGCGUAGGAAGGCGCGCCCAACGCCCUCCUCGGGUAGGGCUCUGGGGCUCUCUUCUAGAGGGCGUCAGGCCUUGCCAACCUCAUGAGGGAGGCACUCGGGCACUACUUGGAGGCAUGCUAGACGACAUGUUUUCCUCAGGAGAACACAGGGCAAGGGGUGCCCACCACUCAGGAGUUCAUCGCCAAGACCACACAGGAACUGCAAGACGCAAGAGACAUGCGCGGCGACAGCCGCUCAUAGGGCGCAGCUCACCACCCAGGCGAGGGUGCUGAGCUGCGCGUCUGCAUCGACGUCCCGGAGCUCAACAGGGCCGUGUCUCAGGAGCGCUUCUGGCCUUCGCGUGUGGGCCAUUGCGAGGGCCCGCCACAUAGCUAUGUUCGCAUGCCCCUCAGCUUGCCAAGCAUGGCAUCGGCCUAUCAGCGCAACCUGCGGCGUGACCUGGCGGCUCGAGAGGCCAGCUACCGCACCAUCCUGGAGGAAACGGAGAUGGUCUUCAGGGAGCCUCCUGAGCCCCCAGAGCCUCCCGAGGCUCAGGGCUCCGGUGGCUCAUGAGGAGUUAUUUCUUCGACGCACGCCUUCAGUUGUGCCAACUCUUCUUCGUCUACAGAACCAGGUGACAUCUUCCAACCUCGUUUAAGCUGGGACGCCCCUUGGGCUACAUUAUUCCCAGGCCGCAUGGGUCCAUCCCUGCGGCAUGUAUCCCUUUUUGCUCAUGUCUUUUAGCUUGCCUUGCUGGGGGCGCCCCUCAGGCUGCAUCAUCCCCAAGCCGCCCGGGCCGGACCCGGUGGCAUGUAUCUUCCUGAAUUUACCCAAAAGCUGAUUUUCCUUCCCUGCUUAACCUGCCUACAGUUACCACCUGCUCGAUCAUCGCCUCCCACGGGGCCUCCUCGCAGGCAUGGCACUGGUGCAUGGGUCCGUCCCUGCCACGUCGACAAAUCUAAGCGGUCGAGCUCUGGCUCGCGGCACGCCCCACGCACGUCACCUCACCAGGACAUCAGUGCCUUCACUUCAUCCGGACCAACCAGCGGCAGGCCGGUGGCAGUAACGGCAAACCAUGUUCUUCUUGUGCCUGUUCACAGGGACCCCGUGGGGAGGAUAGCAGGCGGCGCCGCGUGUCUCCUUUUCUCUCGUGCACUUCGCUUGUGCGUUAAAAGGGGGGCUCCUGAGCAUCGCGACUCAGGAGCUCUUACUGGCUCUCCAUCCCUCACCCCCUGGCCUUGACCACUGCAUCGCGACCUGGCAUACCAGCGGCGGUUGAGCUCGCUCGAGGGCUGGGACCUGAGGACGCAGAGCACUAAGGAGAGCAUGGAAAUAGGGAAACCCGUGUGGGCCGGCCUAGCUAUGUUGCACAAGUUGGCGCGCGUCCCUAGCGCAAUGUCGGGAAUCACCACGAAGUUCACAAGAUAAGUCUUGCCCUCGGAUCGGCUAAAUGUCUGAGCCUUAUGGUCACCCAUGCCUUGCCGAAACCCCAUUGUGGGCGACGUCAACUCCCUUUCUUCCCUUACCGUGGCUGCUUUAGUGCUAAGGGGGGCCUCCUAAGCAUCACGCCACAGGGGCUCUUACCGGACCUCGGGCCGCACACCUCCUGGCCUUGACCAUGGCACGCGACCUGGCAUAGCAGCGACGGCUGUAGCUUGCCUGGGGACCAGGACCUGUCGGCGUAGUGCAACAAGCCAUCAUGAGGAAAGAAAGGGGAGACUGAGCCUGAAUGGGACACGCGUUCACCAAAUCUUCAUAACAGGGAAAAUAAGCACAAAAGGCAUUACAGACCAUUAUAUGCCCCCGCGGGGCGCUUCAUGAUUCUUCGCAGGGAAUGAAAGCUAAGACUAAGAAGGACCCUAUCUACACCCUCCUGUGGCAGACACCAUCAUCAACAGUGGGCCACGGGAGGCCGGCGCCAACCCCAUCCAGAUCAGCGGUAGCGACGACCAGACGCGGCAGCACUGCUCCGAGCGCGGCGAGAGCUCGGGGGCACGUAGCUGUCGUCACUCGUCUCCGGAGACUCAUAGAGCUCAGGAGAGCUGCUGGACUCCCAAGGGCUGCUGCUGCUGGAGUGGCCGCGAGCGGAACGCGUGUCAGCCUCACGCUCCUCUCCGGAGCAGCACUCCAGGCGGCGGCCCUCGACGUCGAAGACCUUGAAGAAGAGCGUGGAGACGCCAUCGUACUCAAGGUGGAUCGCGAGGGCGCCCCUCACAUGGCAGACCCGCGCGAUCUCGCCCCAGCCACGAGUCAUGAAGAUCUUGCCGGAGGGGACCGCUUUGAUCUCUGCUCCAUUCACCAGAGCGCCGCAGUCGGCGUGCUGGAAUUAGAGCUCGAGAGGCCCCCGUGGCGGCACCACGUCGUAGAAGAACCGCAGGAAGGAGAUCCAGGAGCUUGGGGGCAUCGGCGCCCACAGCACCAGCUCACGCGAGGAGUCCGUGGCAUGGAUUCCAGGGGCAACGGCGUGCGUCGCCAUAGCACGGCGACCCCGGGCGCGGAGUGGGUGGCGCUCUGCCUUCCUGAGCCCUCGGCUUGGACAUACUGGGGUAACGGAUACCCUGGGGGAGGCCGCUCGCACCAAGGCCUCGUCACCACCUGCAUUGCCGCUUCGUCACGGCGGUGGAUCGCCCUUUUCUUCGGCGGAAGUGUCCUCGGGUUAUCUCGGGGACCUUCCCCUUUUCUUCGGCGGAGAACCAUCUGAUAGGCGCCAUUGAUGUUAGCAGCGGAGCAAGGAGGAAGAAGCAAGCAAGCGAGGAAGAGAUGGGCAACGGGGGCUCAACCCCCCUCCCCAUUUAUAGCAAGAGAAGGCCAACCUGCACCUCUCACAAUCGCAGGUAAUGAUGGUUUUCCUUGCAUGUCGCAGGGACUUGUCAAGUCAUGCAGUUGCCGAGGUAGCAUGGGGAAGCGGAGACGCCCAUGUCCAAUCAAACGCCACGCAUCAACCGAGGCCACAUGCUUUUCGUCUCCUGCAGUUCUUCGUACUUGACCCUUGGAUUCGCCGCGAAGCCAAGCCUGAGCGCACCUUGGGCUCGGGGUCUAUUGUCGGUGUUGUGGGAAUGGGGGUCCCCAGACUUGCCUACCUACGGCCCGCGGCCCAUAUUCAUCAACAAGGCAUCCAAGACCCUCGCGAGGGGGCAAGCCUCGCGAGGCGGACGACACAAGACCUCCUCUGGAGUGCCCUCAUCGGGCAGGCUCACGAGGGGCAGAGAUAACAAGGCGAGGCAAACCUCACGAGGCUCUCGUGACGUGAGCCAUGACGAUCGACACCAGGCGGGUGCCAGGCAGGCGCCAGCGCAUGUAGCGUCCUUGUUUCCUCUUUGGUGCUAAGGAGGCCAGUGCAAGUGAGGAGUACUGAGGCAUCAGGCAAAGGUUGCCAUAUCGGUGCAACAAGACCAAGACAUGAAGGACGGCAAGAUGGAGGUCAUUGUGGUGCCCAAGACGGCGUCACCACCAGAGCCUUUCGCAGGCGGAGACCACCUUUGUCGGGAUAGCUUGUACUAGUUGUCCCCCUGCAAAAUUGCCCGCCGUUGUUGGCUCCCUUCCCGCUCAAUAUUUGGGAAGAGGACCAGGGCCUCUAUAAAUAGGACUAGCCACCACCAUAGGAAAGAGAGAGCCUGAAGAUCAUCCCCACACACACAAGUUAGCCAAGCACGAGAAUGCCUCACUCUUAGGAGGCUGUUCUUCCCCUUGUAUUGUUCAUCAUCAACCCAAGAGGCAAUCCACCACCACCACAUUGGAGUAGGGUAUUACACCACAACGGUGGCCCGAACCAGUAUAAAUCUUAUGUCUUUCUAUGUUGCGAGUUCGCCGAGUUCGUCCGCGAGAUCUUAGCGAGCUAGGGCGUAGAUCGGUGGGAGGAAAACACUUCACGCACACCCCAGUGUUCGAACCUUAAGGGUUUGCCGGAACCCCACAUCCGACAGCCAGAAGUACCAGAGGGGGGGCACUCACCAGCCACGAGGGUGGGGGGAUGCGCCCUACCCCCCUGGGCACGCCCCUGCCUCGUGGGCCCCCUGAUGGCCCUCCGAUGCCCAUCUUCUGCUAUAUGGAUUCUUUCAUUGAGGAAAGAAAUUAUAAGCAAGCUUUCGGGACGAGACUCCGCCGCCAUGAGGUGGAACCUUGGCGGAACCAAUCUAGGGCUCCGGCAGAGCUGUUCUGCCAGGGACACUUCCCUCCGGGAGGGGGAAAUCAUCGCUAUCGUCAUCACCAACGCUCCUCUCAUCGGGAGGGGGCCAAUCUCCAUCAACAUCUUCACCAGCACCAUCUCCUCUCAAACCUUAGUUCAUCUCUUGUAUCCAAUUCUUGUCUCUAAGUCUGGGAUUGGUACCUGUAGGUUGCUAGUAGUGUUGAUUACUCCUCGUAGUUGAAGCUAGUUGGUUUAUUUGGUGGAAGAUCAUAUGUUCAGAUCCUAUAUGCAUAUUAAUACUCCUCUGAUUAUGAACAUGAAUAUGCUUUGUGGGUAGUUACGUUUGUUCCUGAGGGCAUGGGAGAAGUCUUGCUAUUAGUAGUCAUGUGAAUUUGGUAUUCGUUCGAUAUUUUGAUGAGAUGUAUGUUGUCUCUCCUCUAGUGGUGUUAUGUGAACGUCGACUACAUGACACUUCACCAUUAUUUGGGCCUAGAAGAAGGCAUUGGGAAGUAAUAAGUAGAUGAUGGGUUGCUAGAGUGACAGAAGCUUAAACCCUAGUUUAUGCGUUGCUUCGUAAGGGGUUGAUUUGGAUCCAUAUGUUUCAUGCUAUGGUUUGGUUUACCUUAAUACUUCUGUUGUAGUUGCGGCUGCUUGCAAUGGGGGUUAAUCAUAAGUGGGAUGCUUGUGCAAGUAAGGACAUCACCCAAGCACCGGUCCACCCACAUAUCAAAUUAUCAAAGUACCGAACGCGAAUCAUAUGAACAUGAUGAAAACUAGCUUGACGAUAAUUCCCAUGUGUCCUCGGGAGCGCUUUCCUUCAUAUAAGAGUUUGUACAGGCUUGUCCUUUGCUACAAAAAGGAUUGGGUCACCUUGCUGCACUUUAUUUACUUUUGUUACUUGUUGCUCGUUACAAAUUCUCUUAUCACAAAACUAUCUGUUAUCUAUAAUUUCAGUGCUUGCAGAGAAUACCUUCCUGAAAACCGCUUAUCAUUUCCUUCUGCUCCUCAUUGGGUUUGACACUCUUACUUAUCAAAAGGACAAUGAUAGAUCCCCUAUACUUGUAGGUCAACAAGACUCUUUUCUAGCGCCGUUGUCGGGGAGUGAAGCGCCUUUGGUAAGUGGAUUUUGGUAAGGAAAAAAUUAUAUAGUGUGCUGAAAUUUACUGUCAUUUAAUUUACUGUCAUUUGUUACUAUGGAAAGUAAUCCUUUGAGGGGCUUGUUCGGGGUAUCUUCACAUCGAGCAGUAGAGCAAAGAGUCACUCCUCAACCUACUCAACCUACUGAACCUACUGAAAAUGAAAAUGUCUACUUUGAAAUUCCUUCGGGUAUGAUAGAAAAACUGCUAGCUAAUCCUUUUGCAGGAGAUGGAACAUUACAUCCUGAUGAGUACCUAAUAUAUGUGGAUGAAGUUUGUGGAUUAUUUAAGCUUGCAGGUAUGCCCGAUGAUGUUAUCAAGAAGAAGGUAUUCCCUUUAUCUUUGAAGGGAGAUGCAUUGAAAUGGUAUAGGCUAUGUGAUGAUAUGGGAUCAUGGAACUACAAACGAUUGAAAUUGGAAUUUCAUCAGAAGUUUUUUCCUACGCAUCUUGUUCAUCGUGAUCACAAAUAUAUAUAAUUUUUGGCCUCGCGAAGGAGAAAGCAUCGCUCAAGCUUGGGGGAGGCUUAAAUCAAUGUUAUAUUCAUGCCCCAAUCAUGAGCUCUCAAGAGAAAUGAUUAUCCAAAAAAUUUAUGCUCGGCUUUCUGAUAACAAUCGCACCAUGCUCGAUACUUCUUGUGCUGGCUCUUUUAUGAUGAAGACUAUUGAAUUCAAAUGGAAGUAUCGGAAAGAAUUAAACGCAACUCUGAAGAUUGGGAUCUCGACGAAGGUAAGGAGUCAGGUAUGACACCUAAGUUUGAUUGUGUCAAAUCUUUUAUGGAUACCGAUGUUUUCCGUAAAUUUAGCACUAAAUAUGGACUUGAGUCUAAGAUAGUAGCAUCUUUCUGUGAAUCUUUUGCUACUCAUGUUGAUAUCCCUAAGGAGAAGUGGUUUAAGUAUCAUCCUCCCAUAGAAGUAAAAGUAGUUGCACCUAUUAAAGUUGAAGAAAAGACUAUCACUUAUAAUGAUCCUAUUAUUUCUACUGCUUACGUUGAGAAACCACCUUUUCCUGUUAGGAUAAAAGAUCAUGCUAAAGCUUCAACUGUGGUUCGUAAAAGCAAUAUUAGAACCUAUACACCUCCUGAGCAAGUUAAAGUUGAACCUAAUAUUGCUAUUGUUAAGGAUCUCUUGGCUGAUAAUAUUGAUGGGCAUGUUAUUUAUUUCUGUGAUGAAACUGCUAGAAUUGCUAAACCUUGUGCUAAAGAUAAACAUAGACCUGUGGUAGGCAUGCCUGUUAUUUCUGUUAAAAUAGGAGAUCAUUGUUAUCAUGCCUUGUGUGGUAUGGGUGCUAGUGCUAGUGCAAUACCUAUUGACUUAUACAAAUAAAUUAUUCAUGAUAUUGCACCUGCUGAGUUAGAAGAUAUUGAUGUCACAAUUAGUGCCAAUAGAGAUACUAUUUCACCAAUUGGGAUUGUUAGAGAUGUUGAAGUCUUGUGUGGGAAAACUAAAUAUCCUGCUGAUUUUCUCGUUCUUGGUUCCCCACAAGAUAGCUUUUGUCCCAUUAUAUUUGGUAGACCCUUCUUAAACACUGUUAAUGCUAGGAUAGACUGCAAAAAGAAUGUUGUUACUAUUGGGUUAGGUGAUAUGUCUCAUGAGUUCAACUUUUCUAAAUUUCGUAGACAAUACCGUGAAGAGGAAUUGCAUAGUAAAGAUGAAAUUAUUGGUCUUGCUUCUAUUGCCGUACCUCCUAGUGAUCCUUUAGAAUAAUAUUUGCUAGACCAUGAAAAUGAUAUGUUUAUGAAUGAAAGAAGGGAAAUAGAUGAAGUGUUCUUUAAACAGGGACCUAUUCUGAAACACAACUUGCAUGUUGAAAUCAUAGGGGAUCCUCCUCCACCCAAGGGUGAUCCCGUGUUUGAGCUUAAACCAUUGCCUGAUACUCUUAAAUAUGCUUAUCUUGAUGAAAAGAAGAUAUAUCCUGUUAUUAUUAGUGCUAACCAUUCAGAGAAGGAGGAAGAAAAAUUAUUGAAAACUCUGAAGAAGCACCGUGCUGCUAUUGGAUAUACUCUUGAUGAUCUUAAGGGCAUUAGUCCCACUCUAUGUCAACACAAAAUAAACUUGGAGAAAGAUGCCAAACCAGUUAUUGAUCAUCAAUGACGGCUGAAUCCUAAGAUGAAAGAAGUGGUAAGAAAAUAAAUACUAAAGCUCCUUGAGGCAGGUAUAAUUUAUCCCGUUGCUCAUAGUCAGUGGGUAAGUCCUGUCCAUUGUGUUCCUAAGAAGGGAGGUAUUACUGUCAUUCCUAAUGAUAAAGAUAAAUUGAUUCCGCAAAGAAUUAUUACAGGUUAUAGGAUGGUAAUUGACUUCCACAAAUUAAAUAAGGCUACUAAAAAGAUCAUUACCCCUUACCUUUCAUUGAUCAAAUGCUAGAAAGAUUAUCCAAACAUACACAUUUUUGCUUUCUAGAUGGUUAUUCUGGUUUCUCUCAAAUACCUGUGUCAGCUAAUGAUCAAUCAAAGACCACUUUUACUUUCCCUUUCUGUACUUUUUCUUAUAGACAUAUGCCUUUUGGUUUAUGUAAUGCACCUACUACCUUUCAAAGAUGCAUGAUGGCUAUAUUCUCUGACUUUUGUGGAAAGAUUUGUGAGGUUUUCAUGGAUGAUUUCUCCGUCUAUGGAUCCUCUUUUGAUGAUUGCUUAAGCAACCUUGAUCGAGUUUUGCAGAGAUGUGAAGAAACUAACCUUGUCUUGAAUUGGGAGAAGUGCCACUUUAUGGUUAAUGAAGGUAUUGUCUUGGGGCACAAAAUUUCUGAAAGGGGCAUUGAAGUUGAUAAAGCUAAAGUUGAUGCUACUGAAAAGAUGUCGUGUCCCAAGGACAUCAAAGGUAUAAGAAGUUUCCUUGGUCAUGCUGACUUUUAUAGGAGGUUCAUUAAGGACUUCUCAAAAAUUUCUCGGCCUCUGACUAAUUUAUUACAAAAAGAUACACCAUUCGUCUUUGAUGAUGAUUGUGUAGAAGCAUUUGAAAUACUUAAGAAAGCAUUGAUCUCUGCACCUAUUGUUCAGUCACCUGAUUGGAAUUUACCUUUUGAAAUUAUGUGUGAUGCUAGCGAUUAUGCUGUAGGUGCUGUUCUAGGGCAAAGAGUUGAUAAGAAAUUAAAUGUUAUUCAAUAUGCUAGUAAACUCUAGACAAUGCCCAGAGAAAUUAUUCUACUACUGAAAAAGAAUUCUUAGCAGUUGUAUUUGCUUGUGAUAAGUUCAGACCUUAUAUUGUUGAUUCUAAAGUAACUAUUCACACGGAUCAUGCUGCUAUUAAAUAUCUUAUGGAAAAGAAAGAUGUUAAACCUAGACUUAUUAGAUGGGUUCUCUUGCUACAAGAAUUUGAUUUGCAUAUUAUUGAUAGAAAGGGAGCUAAGAACCCCGUUCCAGAUAACUUGUCUAGGUUAGAAAAUGUUCUUGAUGACCCACUACCCAUUGAUGAUAGCUUUCCCGAUGAACAAUUAAAUGUCAUAAAUGCUUCUCAUACUGCUCCAUGGUAUGCUGAUUAUGCUAAUUACAUUGUUGCUAAAUUUAUACCACCUAGUUUCACAUACCAGCAAAAGAAAAAGUUUUUCUAUGAUUUAAGACAUUCCUUUUGGGAUGACCCACAUCUUUAUAAAGAAGGAGUAGAUGGUGUUAUUAGGCGUUGUGUACCUGAGCAUGAACAUGAACAGAUCCUACGCAAGUGUCACUCCAAAGCUUAUGAAGGACACCACACUAGAGAUAGAACUGCACAUAAGGUACUCCAAUCCGGUUUUUAUUGGCCUACUCUCUUCAAGGAUGCCCAUAAGUUUGUCUUAUCUUGUGAUGAAUGUCAAAGAAUUGGUACUAGUAGUAGACGCCAAGAAAUGCCUAUGAAUUAUUCACAUGUUAUUGAACCAUUUGAUGUUUGGGGCUUUGAUUAUAUGGGACCGUUUCCUGCCUCUAAUGGAUAUACACAUAUUUUAGUUGCUGUUGAUUACGUUAAUAAGUGGGCAGAAGCUAUUCCAACUAGUAGUGCUGAUCAUAACACCUCUAUUAAGAUGCUUAAAGAAGUUAUUUUUCCGAGGUUUGGAGUCCCUAGAUAUUUAAUGACUGAUGGUGGUUCACAUUUUAUUCAUGGUGCUUUCCGUAAAAUGCUUGCUAAGUAUGAUGUUAAUCAUAGAAUUCCAUCUCCUUAUCACCCACAGUCUAGUGGUCAAGUAGAAUUGAGUAAUAGAGAACUCAAAUUAAUUUUGCAAAAGACUGUUAAUAGAUCUAGAAAGAUUUGGUCCAAGAAACUUGAUGAUGCAUUAUGGGCCUAUAGAACUGCAUAUAAAAAUCCUAUGGGUAUGUCUCUGUAUAAAAUGGUUUAUGGAAAAGCAUGUCACUUACCUCUCGAACUAGAACAUAAGGCUUAUUAGGCUAUUAACGAGCUCAAUUAUGAUUUCAAACUUGCCGGUGAGAAAAGGUUAUUUGACAUUAGCUCACUUGAUGAAUGGAGAACCCAAGCCUAUGAGAAUGCCAAAUUGUUUAAAGAAAAAGUUAAAAGAUGGCAUGCCAAAAGGGUACAAAAGCGUGAGUUUAAUGUAGGUGAUUUUGUAUUGCUAUACAACUCUCAUUUAAGAUUUUUUGCAGGAAACUUCUCUCUAAAUGGGAAGGUCCUUACGUUAUCGAGGAGGUCUAUCGCUCCGGUGCCAUAAAAUCGACAACUUCGAAGGCACAAAUCCGAAGGUGGUGAACGGUCAAAGAAUCAAACAUUAUAUCUCAGGUAAUCCUAUAAAUGUUGAAAACAAUGUUAUUGAAACCAUAACCCCGGAAGAAUACAUAAGGGACACUUUCAGAACGUUUCAGACUCCGAAAAAUAAUAGGUAUGUGGUACGGUAAGUAAACCGACUCCAAAACAGUUCUAAUGGCAAUUUUUCUCCAUUUUGGAAUAUUUAGAAAAAUAGAAAAAUAAGAAGAAGUCCGGGAAGGACACGAGGACUCCACGAGGGUGGAGGGCGCGCCCCCCUACCUCGUGGGCACCUCGUGUGCUCUCCGGACUCCGUUUUCUUAUACGAUACAUAUUUUGGUCGGUAAAAAUUCAUUAUAUAAUCUCCCGAAGGUUUUGACUCCCGUAUCACGCAAUUAUCCUCUUUUUGUGUUUCGAGCUGUUGCUACUGCAGAUUAGAGCAAGAUGUCUUCUCAAGAGUCAGUCGGGGAGAGCUGGGUGUCUCAUCCGGCAUCGAGAUCAAUGACAAACAGCAAUGCUAACCACUUUGGGCCAGCAACGGAGGAAGAGAUGGAGGCUGAUUUGAAGAGGAUAGAUGCCAUGGAGGAGGAUCAAGAAGUCACUUCUCGCUUCCGAGCUGGAUUCACAAUGGGGGAACUACAGAGCUCGGCUAUCCCAAACUCGGUUAUCCCUUCCAAUGUUAGAUUUCUUUCUUAUGAAAAUAUGAAGAAGAGUGUCACUUGUUCCCCCGCAGCUAUGCAACACCCUUGGGUGCAAGGAGCUUUGGCCGUUACAGGAAAGCUUCGAAAGGAAAUAAUGGACCUCAAGCAGCAAGUCAAUAAGCUCGAAGAGGAGAAUCGUAUCCUGAGGGGAAUCAUCGCCAAGAAUAUCACAUCACCAUCCACGAAAAAGGAGACGUAAUCACAUGGGUAUGCGCACUCCCCUUGGAAAAUGCCAAGCUUGGGGGAGGUGCCCCGGUAUCGUAUCACCAUCACAUCUCUAUCUUUAGCUUUUUUCUUAGAUCGAUCCUUUUAGUAAUAUCUUGAUCCAGUAGAAUAAAGUUUUUGGUAUGAUCUAGUUUUGAGUUUUGCUUUAUGAUCCCUCUAUGUAAUCGAGUCCGUGAGCUAUAUAAUAAAGAUUAGUGUUGAGUCAAGGGAUUGAUUAUCUUGCUAUGAUCUUCAGUGAAUAAAAUAAAAAAAAAAGAAUAAAAAGAAAUGAAAGAGAUCAUAUGGAUCUUAUGGAGAGUAAUGAGCUCACUGUAAAGAGUAUGAUGAAUAAAAGUUGUUAAGAGUUGACAAACAUAGUUUUGGUCAUCGUUGCAAUUAAUAGGAAGUAAUAAAGAAAGAGAGGUCUUCACAUAUAAAUACACUAUCUUGGACAUAUUUUAUGAUUGUGAGCACUCAUUAAAAUAUGACAUGCUAAAGAGUUGACGUUGGACAAGGAAGACAAUGUAAUGGGUUAUGUUUUCUUACAUCUGAGAUAAAUUAUAUUGUCAUGGAUCAUCCAACAUGAUUGAGCUUGCCUUUCCCCUCAUGCUAGCCAAAUUCUGUGCACCAAGUAGAGAUACUACUUGUGCUUCCAAAUAUCCCUAAACCCAAUUUUGCCAUGAGAGUCCACCAUAUGUACCUAUGGAUUGAGUAAGAUCCUUCAAGUAAGUUGUCAUCGGUGCAAGCAAUAAAAAUUGCUCUCUAAAUAUGACUUGUUAGUGUGGGAGAAAAUAAACUUUAUACAAUCUUGUGAUAUGGAAGAAAUAAAAGCGAUGGACUGCAUAAUAAAGGUCCAUAUCACAAGUGGCAAUAUAAAGUGACGUUCUUUCGCAUUAAGAUUUUGUGCAUCCAACCAUAAAAGCACAUGACAACCUCUGCUUCCCUCUACGAAGGGCCUAUCUUUUACUUUUAUCUUCUACCUUAUAUAAGAGUCAUGGUGAUCUUCACCUUUCCUUUUACAUUUUAUCCUUUGGCAAGCACAAUAUGUUGGAAAGAUCCUGAUAUAUAUAGCUAAUUGGAUGUGAGUCUUCAUGAACAAUUAUAUAUGUUGCUGUUCUAGAAUGAUCAUGAUGCCCUCAUGUCCGUAUUUUAUUUUUAUCGACACCUCUAUCUCUAAACAUGUGGACAUAUUUUUCGAUUUCGGCUUUCGCUUGAGGACAAGCGAGGUCUAAGCUUGGGGGAGUUGAUACGUCCAUUUUGCAUCAUGCUUUUAUAUCGAUAUUUAUUGCAUUAUGGGUUGUUACUACAUAUCAUGUCACAAUACUUAUGCCUAUUCUCUCUUGUUUUACAAGGUUUACAUAAAGAGGGAGAAUGCCGACAGCUGGGAUUCUGGGCUGGAAAAGGAGAAAAUAUUAGAGACCUAUUCUGCACAGCUCCAAAAGUCCUGAAACUUCACAGAAGUUAUUUCUAGAAUAUAUAAAAAAUACUGAGCGCAAGAAGUACCAGAGCGGGGCCACUCACCAGCCACGAGGGUGGGGGCGCGCCCUACCCCCCUGGGCGCGCCCCCUGCCUCUUGGGCCCCCUGGUGGCCCUCCGAUGCCCAUCUUCUGCUAUAUGGAGUCUUUCGUUGAGGAAAAAAAUCAUAAGCAAGCUUUCGGGACAAGACUCCGCCGCCACGAGGCGGAACCUUGGCAGAACCAAUCUAGGGCUCCGGCAGAGCUGUCCUGCCGGGGACACUUCCCUUUGGGAGGGUGAAAUCAUCGCUAUCAUCAUCACCAACGCUCCUCUCAUCAGGAGGGGCCCAAUCUCGACCAACAUCUUCACCAGCACCAUCUCCUCUCAAACCUUAGUUCAUUUCUUGUAUCCAAUUCUUGUCUCUAAGGCUGGGAUUGGUACAUGUAGGUUGCUAGUAGUGUCGAUUACUCCUCGUAGCUGAUGCUAGUUGGUUUAUUUGGUGGAAGAUCAUAUGUUUAGAUCCUAUAUGCAUAUUAAUACCCCUCUGAUUAUGAACAUGAAUAUGCAUUGUGGGUAGUUACGUUUGUUCCUGAGGACAUGGGAGAAGUCUUGCUAUUAGUAGUCAUGUGAAUUUGGUAUUCGUUCGAUAUUUCGAUGAGAUGUAUGUUGUCUCUCCUCUAGUGGUGUUAUGUGAACGUCGACUACAUGACACUUCACCAUUAUUUGGGCCUAGAGGAAGGCAUUGGGAAGUAAUAAGUAGAUGAUGGGUUGCUAGAGUGACAGAAGCUUAAACCCUAGUUUAUGCAUUGCUUCGUAAGGGGUUGAUUUGGAUCCAUAUGUUUCAUGCUAUGGUUAGGUUUACCUUAAUACUUCUGUUGUAGUUGCGGCUGCUUGCAAUGGGGGUUAAUCAUAAGUGGGAUGCUUGUGCAAGUAAGGACAUCACCCAAGCACCGGUCCACCCACAUAUCAAAUUAUCAAAGUACCGAACGCGAAUCAUAUGAACAUGAUGAAAACUAGCUUGACGAUAAUUCCCAUGUGUCCUCGGGAGCGCUUUCCUUCAUAUAAGAGUUUGUGCAGGCUUGUCCUUUGCUACAAAAAGGAUUGGGCCACCUUGCUGCACUUUAUUUACUUUUGUUACUUGUUGAUCGUUACAAAUUCUCUUAUCACAAAACUAUCUGUUAUCUAUAAUUUCAGUGCUUGCGGAGAAUACCUUGCUGAAAACCGCUUAUCAUUUCCUUCUGCUCCUCAUUGGGUUCAACACUCUUACUUAUCGAAAGGACUACGAUAGAUCCCCUAUACUUGUGGGUCAUCAGUGGCAUCUGUCCGCAUGUCCCUACUGGAUUCCCGGAAACGAGAGAUGCACCAACUCUCGCGGCUAAAUCGUACACUACACACCAUCUCUCUAUAGGAGUAGGUCGAUGUGUCGCUCUCUCUAACACACACAUGCUAUUAAACACACACACAUGCACAUGCACACACAGGUUCAUAGAAUAGGAAUAUCCUGCGAAUGUGAAGCCACAGGAAGUGAGAUAGAAAUGGAGUACAUACAAGAAGAGAAGAGGUGACGAAUAUUCCAUGAAACCUGGACUGGGGAGUAGUACUCCCUCCGUCUAGGUGUUAAGUCAUCUUACGAAAUUAAGAUAUUCCAAAAUGUUUAGGCGGUGUCCAUUAACUUCGCAUCUCAAUCCCCUCCUGGCCUUGUUGCUAGCGAGCAUUGUUACUUAGAGAGCAUUUGCAUCCUUAGCAAGAACAGUUUAUAGCCUAGCCGGGCAAGGUUAGGCAUUUGGAACUGUUAAAAUAUGUUAUCUUUUGUGGGCCAGCUAGCUUGGGUGGGAUAGAAAAACCUUGCUACUCCCUCCAUCUAGGUGAAUAAGUCAUCUUAGGUUGUGCACCGCAACCAAGGCGGAGAGGAAAACAAGAGAAGUUAAUGUUUAUUUGCUAAUUAAUACCGUUGCAUGCAACAAACUGACCACUGCUUGUCAUGUUUGGUAGUCUCAAGUCAUUAAAAGCAUACAUGCCCCACAUCUCUUAUUGGUUGAUUCCUUUAUUUAUGUCAAAAAGCAAGAAACAGCAUGAGAGUUCAUGCACCACGCCUACGUGUUUUGGGACUAUUUGAUUUUUGUAAGGUGACUUAUAUACCUAGACAGAGGGAGUAGCUCAGGAGAGCCAGAUCAGCUCGCUUCCGACGGCAAACUUCGCGCAUGGAAAAAUCGGCGACCCACUCAUGACAAUGAUUUUCACGGGGCAAGGCUGGUAAGAAAAAGAACUAAACCGUUUGACCAGGCAAGGUUGGCAAAGCGAAAGCUGGCUAGCUGGGCUAGCCAUAGUGGGAGUAACUUAGGUACUAGUAACAUAGCACAUCCCAAGAAAAAAUUGCUUAUGUGGCAUGGAGUUAAUGAGGAAAGAGAUGCUUCUGGUAACAUAAUAUGUUACUGUAACAUAACACACCCCGAGGUAAAAUGAGUCUAUAUCUCAAUUAAUGAAUACUUGCAUGUUACCAUCCAUAUGAUACUACCCACUAUGAAGGUAGUAACAUAGACUAGUAACAUAUGCAUGUUACUCACCACUAUGACUAGUCUAAGCAAUGUAACCAAACGCUCCUUACUCUGCCGUGUUAUAUCCCCCGGAAACCCAACGCAUGGAGCGCAACUACGCGUUGAUCAGUCAAGAAAUCAAAGUCGGCUUGCAUGUGAGUUAAUACGUGGCCCUGCAUGGUAGCUAAAACGACAUCUCUUAGUUGUUGUGAUUAAUUGUUACAUUUAGAGACAGAAAGGCUUUGAUUGGAGGAAGGACCGGUCAAGUUUCUCCUCCUCCAAUCUGCUUGCACCUUGGUCCCGCUGCACCUUCUAACGUGACUUACACCUAGACGGAGGGAGUAGUAUGAGAUAUGGUGGCACACUAACUUAUGUCGAAUACAAGUGCCCAAAAUUAUUGGAAUAGAGCAAAGUGUACAAACUAAAUAAUUAAAAGAGUAAAAUGCACUGUUGGUCAUUGUACUUAUCGUAUAAGUUCACUUUGGUCAUUGUACUGAAGAAUACGGUCGAUACGGUCACUAUAUACAUGACGAGUUGAUUAUAUGUUCACUGCAAGAUCUUAUAGCUGUGUAUUCAUCCAUUUUGACCACACAAACCUCCAAUUGUGAUCAACUAGUGGAAAAUAUAGUUUUUUAUCUUUAGUAGAAGCACACGCAUGCAGCGCGCAGCUUGCAGUGCAUGCACAUGCACUAGCACAGACUCAAGUCGCACGCUGGCCUCUAUUGCCGCACGUUUGUGCAGUACCUCGCCAGUUGUCCGCCGUUCCCGUUGUUGACCCUGCCACCUAAGGUCGUCGACCCAUUGCUCUACCACUACACCAAGUCCGAGCUCUCGCUGCUUGUGGCGCAACGCAUAUGAAGUCUAUCUGCGUUAGAUGGCAUGGCCAUCAAUGAUGAUUAUGAUGACACCCACACUAGGUCGCUCUACUCGCCUUGUUUGCAUGAUUUCCGUGCGACUGCCGAAGUACGACACUGCGGCCUCAACUUCAUCGCCGGUGUGUGCGUGCUGUGUGCUAACUAGUGUGUUUUUGCCCAGCCGUGCUAGUGUGUGAGUGCAUGCAUGCGUAUUGUGUGCAUGUUAUAAUAAGGAUUCACUUAAAAUAGUACGUGAGCGAACAAAGGGAUCAAUUGGACAGUGUUCAUGAGUAGUAGCGAGAUGUGUGAGGUAAGAUACACCACUAGCGCUUUUAUUUUUUCUUAUUACUUUGUUUGUUUCACCCUCUGACUGGUGGGACCCAACAUACUACGUGCAGAGAGGUAAGAUGACUAAGGCUGCAUUAUUUUUGUACUACCAACACUGCUUUAACUCCCAAAAGACCUUACCACCAAAGCCACAUGACACGAUUAUGAUUUAAAUCCCAAUGACUCCCACGCAAAAAAACACGGCAUGCUUGUCACACGAAUGCAGGAAUGUAUAAAAGGUUAUUUUCCUCUCGUUAAUCACAACAUGAGGGCAGUGUAGUUGGUUAGCCUGUUCACUCAUCAAUCCUGAGGUCUUGGGUUCAAUAACCGCACUUGAGCAUAAUUUUGUUUUUGUUCGACUUCUUUCUUCCGCCCAAUGAUAGGUAGGCCCUGCAUGACAGAGACAGAAAGUGAUCUGGAGCGGUGCUCGGAGGAUUCUUUGACUGGUCAAAAUGGAUGGACAUGGAGCUAUACAUCUCGCAGUGACCAUACAAUCACCUCAUCACAUAUAUAGUGACCAUAUUAUUGAGUAUAGUGACCAAAGUGAACUUAGCAAUUACUCUCAAUACGCCCUAGUUUCUUAGCACCCGCUGGAACACUUAGUACAUAUGGUGGCACACCGACUUAGGCCGAAUACAAGUGCCCAAAAUAUUUAAAAUUGGAUGAUGGUGCAGCUAGCCCACCUUUCCGAUGUUUUGACCGUGUGUGGUUCAGUUGUUGUUCACUUCGGAGGGUCAUAUACCACACGUGAACAUUAGUAAGCGCGACUGGGAGGCGUGCAUUGUUAAUUGCGAGUUGACUCCUUUGAGCGCUAAAUUUUCUUCACGUAUUAGCAAUUCCCCUAGUAUUUUUCUUCACUAUGUUAAGUAAAGAGUUCCGUUUCGUGCACAAUUUAAAAUGAUUUUUAUGUAGACAAAAGAAAACCAAUCCAUCUAUAUACGCUGCAGCCUCAGUGCUUGUUUUCUAGGGUUUGCACUCUUCACACUCUCUCUACUAUAUAUAUACACGCUGGAGCCUCAACACUUGUAGUUGCUCUCUUCACACUCUCUCACCCUCUCCAGAUCUAAACAAGACUUUGUUGGCCUCUCUCUCUCCCCUCUCACUAUUGGUCAAAGAGCCGACAGGAUCCAUCCACCGGGAAGGGAAGGAGGCUUAACGCUGUUGCUGUCGGUGAGUGAUGGAAUGCACCACCGACGCAGCUGUUCUCUUUCACUCAGUGGCGGCGCGGGAGGGCCUUUGACCCCUUCUUCUUCGCCGCCGUACAUAGUGUGGGCAGAACAGCCUCCGGUCGCCCACCGAACCACCCCCCCAAAACCUUAAGGUAUAAUUUACUUAUUCCACAUGCAUUGCUCUAGCUAUAUGUGGGCUUUCUCUGCUUCUGCACUCGAAUCUAGGUGUUGGAUCAAACAGGAAAGUAGUGGGGAAAGUUGUAUAGCAUGAAUCUAGGACGUGGUUCAAAUAGGAAAGGAAUAGGGGAAAGUUGUGGGGAAAAUUGUAUAGCAUGAAUCUAGGAUGUGGUUCAAAAAGGAAAGGAAGGGGGAAAGUAGUGGUGAAAGUUGUAUCGCAUGAAUCUUGGACAUGGUUCAAAUAGGAAAGGGGGAAAGUUGUGGGGAAAGUUGUAUAGCAUGAAUCUAGGACAUGGUUCAAAGAGGAAAGGAAGGGGAAAGUACUAGUACAGACUGGCUAUCCAACACCUUCAUUGGUCGAGAAGAGAAAACAAUGAAAAACGCAGUACGCACAUCUAUAACGAACUGAUCUUUUUGUUUUGGGGGACAAGGCUGUAGAGUUUGAGUAGGACUAUAUUUGCUGCGCUCACAUAGGGAAAGGUGUCUAAAGAUAACAAAACUGGGACCAACACAAAUAUUCUCCUUGGUUGUUUGUUCUUUGUUGCAACAGACUGUGCAUCACCCCUUCAUACAUCAGUAGAUGCACAUGGUGCUGGUGCAUCCACUGUCCCGUGCAACUCCUUAGCUGUUGUUAAUCUAAGGCCCUGUUUGGUUAUAAAGUCCUAGGACCUUUUUUAGUCCCAACUAAAAAGUCCUUAGUCCCUACCUGCUUGGUUCCAGGGACUAAACAUGGAAUAGAGGUUAUUAAAUGACAUGCUAAAAGACCAUGUUACCCCUAGUAAUGAACAAAUAGAGAUAAGGUGCGAUGCGGGGUAGGGGCAACUGUUGGAAAAAGUCCCAAAAAGACUCUCCCUCGGGGUCUUCUUUCUUUAGUCCCAAAUGCCCAAUUUUAGUCCCUAAAUGUCCCUUGUGUUUGGUUUACAUGGGACUGAAAGGGACUUUUUUUAGUCCUACACCAAAAAGUCUCUGUAAACAAACACCCUCUAAUAAUGCCGCUGGGAAAUUGAUGCAACACCAUAGUUAAAAGCAAAUUACAUGUUUAACAAAUUUUAUUGAUAAUAUAAUCUCUCUGGUAAUAUGAAUCAAUGCCACCGUUUAUAAAUGCUACUGUCUUGCUUUCUUUCCCAUUUAGAUAAUUUAGAUGCUUAUUUUUGUUGGCUUCUAUGUCAUCCAUCGUUAUUGACCACUAGUUGUUUCCUUUGCCCCUCUGUGUAAACAGGGUUAUCUACUUCACCUCAUUGCUAUUGUGACCUUUUGUUGCACUGCACAAAACACUUAUGUUUUAAGAGUGUUUUGUGCAGUUCAACCAAAAUGUCACACCGACAAUGUUGCUUGAUUGCUUGAUCUUAGUGGAACUGCACAAGAGGAGAUCUUACUUCCUAUCAGUGUUGGCAAAUUUGGUUCAGAUCUUCUUCUUGUGAGUUGUUUGAAUUUCGCGUCAUGAGAGGUCAGUACUAGCCUUCUUUCACUUGAUUGUGUAGUGUGCUUUCAUAUGUUGUGCUACUUGUACGGUAAUUUUGCUUGAUUUUAGUGAACUGGACAAAUGGAGACAAGACUUCCAAUCUGUAUGUGCACCGUAAUAUCCCAUUGAGGUAAGAUAAGGAUAUUUCACAACUUUUGACCUGUAUUUUUCCACUUCCAUCAGAAAAUUAAUGUCGUUGUUUAGUACUAUACUUGUGCUCCCUAAUUGACAUGCCAAAUCUUACAUUGAAGGCGCAGCUUGUCUGUUAUUGAACCAAGUGAUGAAGGGGAAGAACAAGUGGAAGAAAAACAAAAAUCAACUCCCCGUGCUGUAAUGAAGCACUGGAACUGUGAUGACACAAGUAAUGAUAUAGUUUUGCAUCUUAAUUUAUUGCUAUGUCUAGAACGAGCAAUUGUUUUCCUACUGAUUUGAUCCCACUCUUAAUGUAAUAUGUAAUUAUCUCUACUUGUGCAAACAGGAAUCUUCUUUGAAGAUACCAUAUAUUUUAGUGGAACUACACAAGAAGAUGUUGGAAACAUUAAACUAAUCGAGGAGUAUAUAGUAAGCAUGGCAACCACAGUAGAUAACAACAGAUGGUUCCGGAGAAGUGCUUGAAAUGUAUGCUCUACACAAUAAGCCUCCUGACAAAGGUUAGUACUUGCCCACGGAUUUCAUCCAUAUGAGUGAGCUUUGUCAUCUCUAUUGGUGUUGUGAUACUAUUUAGAUAGUGUCAUGAGAAAGUGGUAUUUUCCUUGAGAGGUGCUUCAUCUGUGUUGUUUUAAAUAUUUCAUUUCCUUUUUUCGAGCAAACAGGGAUGCUAGCAUUUAGUUGUCCUCUUGUCUCUGCACAAUAGGAUCAUCCUCCUCUGAAGAAGAAUAUGGAGUACGUGAAGUAACUAGUUCCGAUUAUGCCAGGAUGAAGAAGCCUUGUCUAUCUUCUCAUCAGAAGGAGCAGUUGAAGGAUGGUUACAUUACUCCCCGCAAGACCAAACUAACUUCAUCUCAGAAGGACUGACAGAUCUCCAUCUUUUUUGCUGUGAUGCAUAGGUACAAUGUUGUUCUAGGAUUCUUUCCGGUUAGUUCCAAUUUUUUAAAAGUGUGCUCUACAUGGACCAUGUAGGUGCCUGUUUAAACUGUCAAUUCAUAGUACAAUUUGCUUUAUACUAAUCACUUCUUUUGUAUUUGUGCAAACUGGGGUGCUCAGCUUGAUUUCAAUGGGAACUGCACAAAAUGUUCAUGAAUACAUCGAAUCAUUCAUUUCCACCACAAGAAACGAGGUGCCGAUAUGUUCAAGGCGUUGCAACGUAUAAAGGCAAAAUCAUACAAGCUACACAUGAAUUUGGUUGAUUUUGGUGGAACUGCACAAAAAGAACAGCUGGUUUAUUUAGCACGAGGUGCCAUGUCAAUCUCCGAACUAAUGGCAAACCCCGCCCAUUCACAAUCAUAGGCAGUUGAUAUUUUGGAAUGGGAAAACCUUGUCAAAGUUUGUUCAUUGAUGUGCGAAAAACAACACGCAUUUGACAUUUUGGAAUGGGACAACCUUGUCAAAUUUUGCUCAUUGAUGUUAGCAAGAACACAUCCGUUUGAUAUUUUUGAAUGGGACGCCCUUUGCUUUCAGCAGCAUCGAUUGAAUUUUCUUUAUUCUUUAUAUGUGAAGCAAAUAUUGGCUCUGACAUUUGAAUCACUGAGAUGCAUAAUCAUUGAUUGUUUUGAAUGUUCUCUAUGAAUUGGCAGGCCUGUGUGUUUGAUCGCAACGUACAGGAACACUAAAAAGCUGCUCAAACCUUUUGUACUUCCUCUGUUCCUUUUUUACUUCACAUAUUAGAUUUCUUUCAAGUUAGUUGAUUUUACAUUGUGAAUGUUUAUACUUUUGUCUGUAAGAUUGGUCAAACUAGAGAUACUUUAACUGCAGACAAAACUUGUAUGCAGACUAAAAAGGACCUGAGGGAGUACAUGUGAAACUACUGCAAACGAGGUGAUCACCCUGGGAAUGAUGCUAGUACGUAUUACUUUGCAUGUUCAUCCAAUGUCAGUGAUACAAGAAUUCAAACAAAUCGAACUAAAUUCAUUCAUACACGGUCGGAUUUCAUAUACACAUGCCGGAUUUCAUUACAUUUCAUACAUUCUUGAACUAAAAAGGGGUGCUCUAGAGGUAUAAUUAAUUAACUGAAGCUACCCACAUGUGUCCGGCUGAGCUGAACGGAAGCUUCAUCUCCAGCGGACACAGCUUCAGUGACUUAACUGCUGGCGCAGUUGCCUAACUGACAUGUGGCCCAGAUGCCUGUUUGGGCCCACGUGUCAGUGACCCAACUGCACCAGUAUUUAAGUAACUGAAGCAACGUCCUUCUCCAACAUAGCUCUCUGACUCCACGUGGCUGCCAAGAAGCUAAUCCAUCGUCAAUGGUCAACCAGCCUAGCUUGGCUUCAACCAGAGGGUAGCAGUGGUGGCCUUACUUGGACCCGAGCAGCGGCGACCUACCGUGUUCUACUCUUCCUCAUUUUCUAUGUGACGCGGCCUCGUUGGCAGCAGGGCAGGGCAUCGACGGAGCCGGCGAUGUCCUCUAAAUCGCUGCCGGCGGGGCGGCGCCUCGGCGGAGCGGGGGGAAUCCUCCCCCUUGUUGCCGGUAGGGUGGGGCCUCGGCGGAUUCGGCGAUGUCCUCUCCCUCGUUGUUGGCGGGGCGGGGCCUCGGUGGAGUAGGCCUCACCGAAGCCGGCGAGGUCCUCCGCCUAGGUGCCGGCGAGGCAGCAUCUCGGUGGAGCCGGCGAUGUCCUCUGCCUCGUUGUUGGCACAUUGGAUCCUCGGCGGAGAAGGGCCUCACUGAAGCCGGCGAAAUCCUUCGCCUCGGUGCCGGCCGGGCGGGGCAUCGGCGCAGCCGGCGGUGUCCUCCGCCUCGUCGUUGGCACCGUGGGGCCUCGUCGACGCCAGCGGAGCGGGGACUCUCGAAGCCGGCAUUGUCCUCUGCCUCGUCCUCGGUCUUGCCAAACAGCGCCUCGCCCACUUCAUCGCCCUCUUUGUAGGCGGCCGUAGCCUCCGCCACCCGCAUGCGCUACCACCAGCGCUCGAGGUGGCCCUCGCGGGCAGAGCGGUACAAGUCGAGCAGCGCCUCCUGCUCCGCCCGCUCCACGGCAAUCUGCUCCUCCGCCUACAGGUGCUCCUGGAGGAGAUGGUGGUUGUAGGUGGCGUUGGCCUGCACCUCUUGGAACUGCUCCUCACGCUUCUACCUCACCGUGUCCAUGUAUUGGGCACGGUCCUCGCCGAUGGUCAUGGUGCAAUGCACUGGCGAUGAUGGCGUGGAAGAGGGUGUUGGCUCCGGAUCGUUGACCACCAUGUUCUCCAUUGGGACGUCGUCGUCCUUCGGCUACCUGCCUGCUUGGUCCGUCGUCCGCCCGUCCUGAAGUGCGUUGGAGCGCGAGGAAGCCAUGGUGGGCAGUAGUGGUGUGGACAGGAUAAAGGGAACAGAGGCGGAUGACUGCGGCUAUGGUCGGCGCAGCAGUUUAUAUAGCAAUGGUGGGCGGCGGAGGGACGGACAUGUGGCACCGGAGUAUCUGCCUCGGCAACCGCGUAUCAUUAAUGUGGGUGGCAGAUGGACGUACGGAGGGCACUUGUGUCAUUUGAAGGCGGAGCAAUCGCCUACAACGGGAAGCGGGGCGGGUGGCGCUGACCGUCUCGGGCAGAAAGUGCGCGCGGGGAGGGAGGCAAUCUGGGUGGGUUAGGGUAGUCAGACUCGUGCUUGGCAGCGGGUCGGUCCAGCAGCCGGACAUGCUUGCUCGCCAGCGAGUUCGUCGAGCUGAGCGACGACAAUCAGACGAUGGACAUAGCUUCCAACCAGGAGCCAAUGCCACUGUCCAAGCUGGUUCAUGUCGUGUUCACCAUAGAGCAGGUGCGGCCGCACUUCGACGCCCUAAUGAUGGAAGAGCUACCAGCACAGGAGGACCUGUGUUGCAACCUCAGUCUCCUCAAUGAGCAUCGGUGAACAAGCGAACGACCAUGCCAUCACGAACAUGUGGCCCUAUGAUCCUGGCUUCCCUAAUGAGCAGCGAGCGCUGUAUCAGACCAUCCGUAGGGCCCGCGAGGCCCUCUCCGUCGUCCUUCGAGUUGUUGCGCUCGCCGUGGUGCCGUCGUCUCGCAUUGUCAACAUGGUCAACGGACAUGAGGAAUGAGGAGAUGACUUUACUUGGAGAGGAUGACGGGACCCACCAGGGCCAUAGCCGCACGUACGCAAGUGCCUCCUUAUUAUAUAAAACUAUAAUUUUUCUUGCUUCCUCCUAGUUUCCUGACAUCACAGUACCACACAAUUGUCAACCUAUGUAGUCAACAAAUGAGAGAAUUGCACAAGGAGCGGCCGACAGCUGGGACCAAGCAGCUCGAGCAGUAUUUGUGUUUUUGAGGUGUGAGCAUUACAGAGUUUUUCUUCAGCGAUGUUUUCGUUGUUGUUUAGAGGAGAGCAGGGUAUUAACUGGGCGGGCUGUGACCUGUCUAGCCCAGGCCAGAUAUCCAACCCAGAUAUUAAUUUUUUUCAAGCUGAAAAUGGCUAGCCCAGCUAUACUUUUUUUGAGGAAUACACAGGUAAGGUCAACUUGUUAUUCUCCGCCCCGCUAGGCUGCAAAUCUUUCCUAGGAGGGAUGCAUUAGGCUUAACAAGAAAUGGAAUUUAAGAAAUAAUAAAUGGGAUGUAAUUAUAAAAACUUGGCAGUAACUAUAAAAAAUGCACCAAACAUGUAAUUAGUUUAUAAAAUAUUAUUUUUGGAUUUUGAAAACUUUAGUUUCAUUAAUUGUUUCACGCACAAUAUUUUGUUGGAUUUUUACGUAAUACAAAUUUAUAUUGAAAUUGUAUUUAAUCUGACUAGAAAUUUCGGGAUAAAAAUAUUUUGGAUCCCAUCAAAAUGUGGGAAAUUUUAUUGAAUUCUGUUUUGAGCGGUUGGUUGAAAUUACUAAUCAUUUUCCUAACAAGAAAAUGGGAUGUACUUUUAACAAACUAUAAACGGGCCGUAGUAAAUUCCAUUAGAAUUCAAAAAUAGGUUGUACAUUCUUACAAAUUGCAAAUGGGCUAUAAGUUCUCCGCCACACACUUGUGGGCGUACUAAGUUGAUGAGUCCCCUAAGAAAAGUGAGUUGACACGCAUGCAAGGCUUUGUCAACUUAUAGUCAACACACGGUUCUAGCAGCAGUGACCAUUGGAUGUCCAUCCAAUGGAUAUCGUGCUUCUUCUUCAACCUCGGAUAUUCUAGCUUCACCCGCCCAAAAAAUGAUUCAUCCCCCUAACAUCUGGGGCGCACCGUUUCUAAGGCUGACCUGUGGGCCUACUAAGUUGAUGCAUACCAAGUGCUUUGUCAACUUAGUCAAUAUAAAUGAUUCUAGCUGCACUGACCGUAUGAUGUCCAUUCAACGGCCGUCGUGCUUUUGCAACCUCUGGUCUUCUUGUUCCAGCCGCCCAAACCAGCGUCGGCCAUGCCACCUGCUUCUGCCUCCCAUGUGCGGCUGUGCUGCCACCACUGGCCAUGCCAUCCCUCUAUACUCACACACACCUCCUGUUAUUCUUUGGCGACGGUAGCCUCACACCACAGCCGAACCAAUGAACCCUCGUACUCCUCUCCAUGUGGGCAUCCACUGCCGCGUCUCGAGGUAGUUAGAAUCCCGAUUCGACUGCUAGAAUCCUAUGACUUCAUGACCCUACGGAAGCAUGUUGGUCCAAAUCCCACUAUGAAUCUGAAUCAGGUAGAAUCCAUGUUGGGUCGUGAUCUAAAUCAUAGUAUCCUAUACAAAACUGUACAAUCCUGACUAUGUUAUGAACUACAUCCGAUUCUACUAACUUAUCUAAGCCGUUUGUUUAGUUGUAGCAAAAUAGUAUGCCAUCAUCCAAACCCCUUUUCAUAUACCUCAUGGACCUUUAUUCCCCUCCCAAGUCCAAACGCUUAGUCGUAGACACCUUCGAUCUAGCUCUCAGAAACCCUAGAUCAAAUUUGAGGAUCAGGUUGGUUGACAUAUGGAAUUGGCGUGAAAAGGAGGAUGCUUCAAGAUUGAUCGGAGAAGGAGAGCAAGACCCUUCAAGAUUUAGCACUGCAGGUCAGAUAGACAAGUGAUCGACUAUUCACGCACUUUGAAAAGAACUUAAGUAAAUUUCGUGCAUUGAUGGUUUAAAUGUUCUAUAUAUUUCCCUCUCAUAUAUGUUCCAUACAUGCCAACUAGAUGGUAGGUUAGCCAUAAAAAGAAAUGGAAUACAACUAGCAUUGAUGUGUACGUUCUUUGCUCCAUAUUUAGUGUCAAAACUGUAUAGAACCCAUAUAAAUUUCUUGUGUGCAUACAAAAUAUCUUAUUUGAGUAAAUCUAGUAGAAUCCUCGAUUCCACUACUCGAUAUUAUGACUCGAUUCUGUCUGAGGAAAACCGAUCUGACUCCGAAUCCUGACUCUGACUACCUUGCCGCGUCUUCCCCGGCUCCGCGUCAUCCCCUUCCUAGGCCUCGCCGUCGUCCACCGCCCUGGUGCUCUCGGCGCGACGUGGUCAAUGUGGCCAAGGAACGACUUCCAUCGGAAGAGUACUAUACGUGGAGAAGCUAACAACUGGUUCCACGGCCGCACCAAGGACGUGCCUCCUUAUUAUGCGCAAAAUACUCAUUCCUCCACCUGACAUCAGGUACCCACCGGACGGGCCACCAUAUUUUGCAAAAAAACGUUUCCCCCCUGACUGCUAGGACCCACCAGCUACAUCUUCGCACGCAAGGAAGUGCCCGACAGUCGAGACCCACCUAGUCGAAGCGUACGUAACGUUGUCAUUCUGGUCACGAACGUGUAUGUACAUACAGGUCGAUCGGUCUGUCUGCAGGCUGCAGCGAUGAACCAUGGUCGUGUAAGGAAGGGCACGUGUCGUAGUAGAGGCGUGCACGUUGUCGGUGUUCUUGGAAUGGGGGUCCCCAGACUUGCCUACCUGCGGCACGCAGCGUGGCUCCACCGGCGGCUUAUACGGCCCACCUUCACCAGCAAACACCCAAGACCCUCGCGAGGCGGACGACGCAAGACCUCCUCUGGGGCGGCCUCACCAAGCUAGCUCGCGAGGGGCGGAGAGAUCAAGGCAAGGAGAACCUUGCGAGGUUCCAAUGACGUAAGCCAUGAUGAUCAAGACCAGGCGGGCGCCAGGCGGGCGCUAGCGAGCACAGUGUCCUCGUUCCCUCUUUGGUGUUAACGAGGCAAGCGCAGGCGAGGAGUUCCGAGGCAUCAGGCAAAGGUUUCCAUAUCGGUGCAACAAGACCAAGACCAGCAGGACGGCAGGACGGAGGUCACCAUGGAGCCCAAGACGGCGUCACCACCAGAGCCUUUGGCAGGCGAAGACUACUUUUGUCAGGAUAGAUUGGUCUAGUUGUCCCCCUUCAAAUUGGCUGUUGUGGGAUCCCUUCCCGCUCAAUAUUUGGGAGGAGGAGCAGGGACUCUAUAAAUAGGACUAGCCACCACCAUAGCUAAAGGAGAGGGGAUCCAUAUGGCCUCUCAUCUUGGAUCGGAGCCAUUCCAUCCUUAGACUCACACAAGAACACCUCUCCUCAGGAGGCUGUUCUUCCCUUGUAACUUUUCAUCCUCGGCCCAAGAGGCAAUCCACCACACCACACCGGAGUAGGGUAUUACACCACAACAGUGGCCCGAACAAGUAUAAAUCUUGUAUCUCAUGUUCUUUGGGUCCGUCAAGCUAGGCCGUGAGGUCGUUGAGUGUGCGAGCUAGAGAGGGGGGAGAUCUUCGUGCGCACCCCCGUGUUCGAACCUCAAGGGUUUUGCCGGAACCCGAAAUCCGACAUUUGGCGCGCCAGGUAGGGGUGCACCGAAGUUUUCUUCUUCAUCGAUCCAUGCUUCGUCACUCCAUUAAGCUCAUGGCCGACGCAUGCCGGGCUCAUGCGGAGCGUCGGGCCGCUCUCGCCGCCGAUGCCGCUCAGACGGCCCCAGUAGGCAGGCCUCCCCGUCAUUCUCCGUCUCCCGCCGUCAACGCCGCCACUGGUCCAGCGGCAAACGAGCAGCAAGCCUCCUCACUGCAUCCCUCCAUGCGCCGUGAUGGACACACCGCCACCCCGUCGCUGACUUUGGCCGGCUCGUCAUCUCACGCUCGUCGCGCACCCACGGAUGUGCAGGCCGCGCUGCUCAUGGCACGCGAGCUCCUGCGCUACCGUCCAGUUGACGACCUCUACGAGGACUGGCUGGACCACAUCACCGAGCUCGUCAGCGCUGUGGGAGGCUCUCCUGCACCAUCCCUCUCACUGCCUCGCCCACCUCCAGCUGCGGGCGAUGUGGCUCACGGAGCGCCUCCGCCUCCUCCGCAACAAGAUGGCGCCCUUGAGCUGAGGCGUGCAGCUCGCGGUGCGCCUCCGCCUCUCCCAUUUCAGGACGGCGCCCUCGCUCCAGGGUGUGCGGCCCCGCGGCGCGACCCACCGCGCCACGUGUCCGCGCAUGAAGAAAGAAGAUGCCAAGAGAUUCCUCGUCCACAAGGAAACUCUCCACCACUCUCAGCUCCGCGAGACCAAGAUUGCUUGCUGCGGCAGGGCCAUGCGCCGCGUGCCAUGGCAGCGCAAGGGCACCACGACCAAGCUCUGCCUCCACGACGGGUCCCGGUGGCCAUGGCAGGCUACCGUGCCUUCACUCCUGAGUUGCACAGCGUCGUCUGGCCGGGAAAGCUCAAGCCAGAUCUGCCUCCUCGCUACGACGGCACCCCCGACCCUGCGGAGUUUCUGCAGCUCUACGAGCUGAGCAUCGAAGCGGCCAACGGCGACGAAAAGGUCAUGGCGAACUGGUUUCCCAUGGCACUCAAGGACGGUGCCCGCUCAUGGCUCCUCAACCUGCCCCCAGGCUCGAUUUCCUCCUGGGACGAGAUCUGCAGCCGCUCCAUCGCCAACUUCCAGGGCACUCGCGACCUCCCCCCGGUCGCGGAUGACCUAUGCUGCAUCAAGCAACAACUAGGAGAAACCCUGUAGAAGUACAUCCAGCGCUUCAAUAGUGCGUGAAUCAAGAUCCCCAAGGUGACGGACGAGGCCAUCAUCUCAGCGUUCUCCAACGGCGUCCGGGACGUCAAGAUGAAGGAGGAGCUCGCCAUCCAUGAAGAGUUGUGCACGAUCUUGGAGCCGUUCAACAUCACGACCAAGUGUGCAAGAGCUAAGGAGGGGCGCCUCUCCCUCCUCGAGCUGCAUGCUAUGGGUACAGAGGAGAAGAAGGCCAAGGUUAAGGACGUGAAGCGCAAGGGAGUGGCCGUGCUCGCGGUAGAAAUAGACACCAAGCACGACCGAGAUCUUCCCGAGUCGUCCAAGGGCAGUCGUACGUUCUGCGCCGUCCACAACAUGUGCAUACACAACACUAAUGACAGCCAAGAGCUCAGGGCCAUUCGAGAUUGACGCUUCGGUCGACGCCCCGAGUGCAACGACCGGGGCUAUGGCCGAGGAGGUGGACGUGGUGGAGGACGUUGGGAUGACCGUUGGCCCCACCAAGAGUGGCGCGACCAGCCUCGUGAGGAUCGUUGGCAGGACCAGCCUCGUGAGGGUGCCUGGAGGGACCAGCCUCGUGAGGACCGUGCUCAGGGCAACCCUGGUCUCCCUCCGCUGCCGCUGCCAAGAAGGAACUACGACCAUCAACGGGACGAGGGGGCUGGGGGCUUCCAAGAGCCACGAACUAUCGCAUGAAUCUUGGGCGGAGCUCAAGCCCCAGCCUCUCAACGAGUCUUCAAGCAGUUUGCUCAUGAGGUGAAUGUAGUCCUCCCCAGGCUCGAGGCCACAUGCCUGCUCAGAUGGUCCAAGUACGCCAUCACCUUUUACUCGGUGGACCAGCUUAAGUGCGCGACAAUGGCCUGCGUUCUCCCGAUGCUCUGUUCACCUGUCAUCAGCACUGUCCAAGUCACCAAGACCCUCAUCAAUGGCAGCGUAGGGUUCAAUGUCCUGUCCCUCGAGACCUUCGACAACCUUCAAGUGCCAUACGAUCAGCUCCAGCCUACCAAGCCUUUCUCAGGAGUGACUGACGGCUCUACCACCCCGAUAGGGCAGGUUCACCUCCCUGUCACCUUCAGUCGGCGCGACAACUACCACACUGAGCUCAUCGACUUCGACUUCGCCCACAUCCGUCUGUCGUACAAUGCCAUCCUCGGGUACCCGGCGCUGGCCAAAUUCAUGCUAGUUGCCCACCAUGGCUACAACAUCCUCAAGAUGCCCGGAAGCGGCGGAAUCAUCACCAUCCCCUGCGAAGAAAGAGACGCGGUGUGCUCCCUUGAGUGUGCAUUCCAACCUGCAUCACUCGAAGACCUUGACAGCAAUGCAGCAUAGUACCCUCCUGAGGCCAACCCCAUGAAGAAGAAGCACCUACUUCACACUGGACCUCAAGGGAGCGGCACCUCCGGCGGCACCACUUCAGGAUCUACGCCCGCGCCUGGGGCUCCUCUCUCCCUUGCAUAGGGAGGUGCGCCCGACGCCGUCCUUGGGCAGGGCUCGGGGGCUCUCUUCUGGAGGGUCUCAGACCCAGCCAACAACAUGAGGGAGGCGCUCAGGCAUCACAUGGAGGCGUGCUUCGCGGCACAUUUGCCUCGGGAGGACGCCGGGCGAGGAGCGCCCAGCGCUCAGGAGUUCAUCACCAAGGCAUCUCAGGAGCUUCAGGAAGCAAGAGCAAUAAGCGACGACCACCGCCCACCUGGCGUUGCUCCCCACCCUGUCGAGGGUGGUGAGCUGCGUGUCUGCAUCGACAUCCCAGGGCUCAACCGGGCCGCAUCUCAGGAGCGCUUCUGGCCUUCGCAUACAGGCCACUACGAGGAUCCACCUCACAGCUAUGUUCGCAUGCCGUUUGGCCUGCCGAGCGUGGCUGCUGCCUUCCAGCACAACCUACGAAGCGUCAUGGCGGGUCAGGAGGACAGGUAUCACGCAGUCCUAGCGGAGAUGGAUACGGUCCUCCAGAAGCCGCCCGAGCCCCUAGAGCCUCCCGAGGAUCAGGGCCUCGGCGGCUCAUGAGGGGCGACUUCCUCGCUAGGCGUCUUCAGCUACCCCAACACUCCUUCGGCAACCAAACCAGGUGACAUCUUUCCAAGUUCAUUUAGCUGGGAGUGCCCCUGGGCUGCAUUAUCCCCAGGCCGCGUGGGUCCGUCCCUGCGGCAUGUAUCUUCUUGCAUCUUCAGUUAACUCUGCUGGGAGCGCCCCACGGGCAGCAUCAUCCCCAGGACGCUCGGGUCCGGCCCAGUGGCAUGUAUCGUUCCUGCAUUUACCUGAGACAGUUUUCUUCUCAUGCAUAAUCUAUCUAUGGUUAUCACCUGCUUGAUUGUCACCUCCAUCGGAGCCGCGCGCAGAUUGUCUUUCUUCAGGAUCCUUCGCAUUAGAAGGCUAGGCACGGCGUCUGUGCUCGGGCCCGUCCCUGUAGUGUCGAUAAAUCCAACGGCUGAGCUAUGUCUGGCGGGCCGACCCCGUUCACGUCACCUCCCUAGGGUCGUUGGUGCUUGGCCUUCUUGUGUGAUAGCCUUAGGAAAUCCUUUCGGUGUAGGUUGUCUAACCAUCUUGCAGAACCGCCACAGUCAUCAAGAACCCAGACCAGGUGCAACCCGCCUUGAGGUAGGGCCUCGUGAGUCCCGAGCUGGCUCACGAGUGCCCAGAUACACCUCCUCCAGCCCUGCCGUGCAAGCCACGUGUCCGGGCUGGGCUGUACACGCCCCGGGGGCUCUCCACAGUAGGGAGUCCCCUCCCACGUACUAGUGGAAGCACCAUGCUCCACGCUGGCAGUCGACACAGCCAAGGAGCGGCUAUGCCCAUGCAAGAGCGGAAGCGCCAUGGUCCGUCCUGGUGAUAAACAGCUGAGAGUGGCCUCACGGCCGUACCAACCUCAGGGAGCCUCCGGGCUCGGUGUCUGGCCUCGUUGCAACACCUCCCCUCAGGAGAGUCGCGCGAGGGGGCUGGGCACGGGGGCUGCGCUUGGGUCACACCCAAGCAUACGCCACCCCACCAGGUUCCUCGGACCUGGUUGUCGCGUGCCCUCCCAAGCGGAGCUAAGGUACGAAGGUCGUUUGAACAUCAAGGGGGACUCCUGAGCAUCACGACUCAGGAGCCUAACUCACCACGUAGCCCCUUACUCCUUGGUCCAUCCUGGUGAUCUGGUCGGCCCAAUGGUGGCUGAGGUAUGCACGGGGUCGGGCCCUGCCGACAUAGAACACUAGGCCUACCCUUGCAUCUCCUUUCCACAAGAUGUUUGCGCGUCAAGGGGGACUCUUGAGCAUCUCGACUCAGGAGCCUAACUGACCACGUAGCCCCUCACUCCUUGAUCUGUACUGGUGAUCCGGUCAGCCCAAUGGCGGCUGAGGUAUGCGCAGGGGCGGGCUCUGCCGACGUAGAACGUAAAGCAAAUGGGAAGGAAAUAGCAGAAUCUCAAAGCAAAUACUACAAGACAUAUUGUUCUCUGAGUAUCAAACACAAGUUUAAAUGCCUCCAUGAGGCACGGUACAUGCUGCAGGAGCUUAAACAGGAAAGGAGCCGCAAACAAGUCACCCCUGGACACCGCCGGCGCCCGCAAGAGGAGCCCCCUCCUUGGUGGCGUCUCCUUCACCUAUACCGCCGGUCGAAGGCGCGGGGGCGAAGGCGCGGAACUUCUGCAUCAGGGCCUCCACCUGAACCUUCAUGGCUGCGGCAGCGGCUACAUAGCGCUUGUCGUCCACAGGCUCUAGCAGCUCAUCAAGGCGGGCGGAAGGAUCGCGAAGAUGGACGUGGCUGAAGAUGCGCCUCGGCGCAGAUGAAGAAAGGACGCGAGCCUCAUCCUCUUCCAUGGGGCCGAUGCCGCUCACGACUUCCUCAAGCGCCUCGACCAAGUAGGGAAGCAACUGGGCGGGGCCGUCCUCAUCGGUGGCCAGCGGCUUCUCCAAGCCCUUCUCAUAAAGUGUCUUCAGAGCCUCGCAAGAUCUCUUCUCGAGGAGCGCAAAGGCCGCACGGUCCUCGGCCAGAACCAUCGCCUUGGCGUCAAGUUCGGCUUUCUUCGCCUGCACCUUUCGCUCCAGCUCUCCAACCGGCCGCGCUCAACGGCCUGCGACUGCGCCAACUGCUCCAGCUCGGCGUCGGCGUCGCGACCCUUGAUGGUGUCCUCUCGGGCCUUCAUCCUCUCUUCCUCCGCCUUACGGCCACGAGCAUCUUGUGCAUGCUCUUCACCCAGGGUCUUUAGCUCAGCCUCCAGCACCCGGCAGCGACCUUGGGCGGCCUCGACGUCCUUCAAUGCCGCCUCGCGAGCAACUGUUGCCUGAGCAGCGGCUCGCUUCUACCCCUCGGAGGUUGCCGCGACUCGGCUCAGCACCGACCGAUUGGACACAUCAGAAUGAAGCCAGCCAGAGACGAGCUCCAGGCGCCUAGCCGCUAGGAGUGGUUCGGCGCCCUAGAGAUCUUCUCAUAGCCGGGUCAUCUUAGAAAGGGCAUGCUCCAAGACAUCAGGGGUGGCGGAAGAACCUGGAACCAGCAACGCAGCUAGAGGAGGAAGAGGCGGCGACGUCACCAUGGCCUGAGAGGCCGGACGCUCUUGAGCUCUAGGGACCUCAGCAGCCGUGCUGGACAUCAGCGCCUCCGGAGCGAGCAGGGUCACGGGGGCUGACUCCUCACGAGGACACCCUUCCGGGCCUCGCGAGGAUGACCGGGUUGGGGAGGCGCAUGCAACGUCGCUCCCCUUCCCCACGGAGGGAGGUGCGGCCGCCGCAGGUGGAUCGGCCCCUGGCAGUGUCACCGUGUCUGCCUUCCUCUUCUUCGCCGCAGACGGCGGCCUAGCCAACACGGCGAACGUCAAAGAUCACUAGUAUAAUCAAAAAAAAGAUGGAGCACGAACACUUACUGGUCCACUGCGGCGUAGUCCACCUUCCUCUUGGUAAGCUUGAAGCCCGAGAGCCUCACAGCUUGGGGCGCAGGCGCAUGGGCUCUGAGAGCAUAAGAAGGAGCAGCAUAUAGGCCAGAGGUGGCUCCAGGCGGUGCUGGAAUAGUAGCAGCAUCUCGGGAGAUCAGCGCCGACCUGCUCUUCGUCGGAACCACGUGCGGCUCCCCCUUCUCCGGGAGGAUAUCGUCCUCACCAUCAUUGUCAGGCAGGAGGUGGAGGAUGUCGUCCUUGCGCAAGGGGGAGGUCUGCCCCAUCUCCUUGGGGGCUGCCUCUAGGUCGUGCUCCUCGCCCCCCUCCUCUUCCUCCUCUUCGUCCCUGCGGGAUUCACCAGAAGAUACGUCCACCGUCGUCAUCGCUAUAGGGACCUCAGAAGGCGCCAGCGGCACUAGGCCGCGCCCGUCAAAGGUGGGCAUGGCGGCCAUGACCUGCGCCCCGCCCUUCCGGAGGAACAAGGGAGCGUCGGGAUUCGGCAGAUACUCUUGGUCGUCUCCGAGCAGGAUACGGAGGGCCACGACCAACUCCUCGUCGGACAAGGCCUUUGAGAUCAAGCGGAGCUUGUCUUCCCCAUGCACAAGCGUCCACGGGGGGCGCGUGCGCGCCUGGAGAGGAGCCACCCACUGCGCCAAGAACUCCUUCAGGAGCAUGGCCCCCGUCAGUUUCGCCACCUUCGCGCUGCCCGGCCUUAGGUCGGCGUUCAUCUUCUCUAGCACCAGCUUCGCCCGGUCGUCGGUAAGCUUCGCGCAGGACCACCCCUCAUCAGGCCGGGGCAUCCUCGUCGGCAGCUUCAGCUGUGGAUGGACACACCUUGCAUCCAUCAUAACCCACUUGCUCCUGAAGCCAUCGACCUUCUUCCCGGUCUUCGAAAUCGCGUUGGCCUUGCGGGCUGCGAUGAAGUUGGCGCACCCCGUGGUGUGGCCUUCGUUGAUCCGGAGGUAGAAGAAGUGGCGCAGCAAGGCAACGGACAGCAUCAGCCCGACGUACGCCUCGCAGUAGAAGGCAAAGAUGGACAAGAGAAGAACGGGGUUGGAAUGGAGAUGAAGAGCCUCUAACCCAAAGUGCCAGAGGACCGCGUAGAAGAAGUCGGAGAAGGGGGGAACGAGGCCGGCGAUGACGCUGCUCAUGAAGGAGUAGAAGGACCUCUUCGGAGCUUCGGGCACAGUGAAGCCAGCCCGGAGCGCAGUCUCCCCCUUCUCGUUAUUCUCCCCCGCCGUCAGCAGCUGCGUGACGGCAAGGUUUUUCACCGAGACAUUGGGCACCUCUAGGACCGUCUCAUACCAGGCGGGUGGCAAGUCAAUCUUGGUCUUUCGGGGCGCCAUUGGAUGGAAGCUUGGAAGGAGAUCAGAGCAGAACUGGAGGUUUCGGAAGCAAGGGGCGAGAAAGGGGAUCUGGAGCAAGGCGGAUGAAAGCAAUGAAGGUGAGCGUAGCCCGCGCCAGCCUUUUGUUAGGCGGGCAGUUGCCGAGGCUGCAUGGGGAAGCUGAAACGCCCACGUCAAAUCAGUCGCCACGCGUCGACCAAGGCCGCAGGCUAUUGGGCCCCGCGGCACUCUGCACUUGCCCUUUGGCUUCAUCUCGAAGCCAAGCCCGCGCACGCAUUGGGCCUCGGGGGUACUGUCGGCGUUCUGGGAAUGGGGGUCCCCAAACUUGCCUGCCUACGGCCCGCCCACCUCCCACCUCCACACCCACCUCCGGCGAUCUCCUCCCACCACCACUAAAACCCUAAUCCUUCCCUAUCAAUCUCUCUGGUGUCUCUCCCUCUCCUAGGGGUCAUGGUUUUCUCUUCGGGAUCAACCCUUGGCUUGGACAUCUCCAAGGGUUUGGAGUUUGCGGAUAAAAUUUUCAGAUCUACUGGUUUUUCGGUUCACCCUACGGAGGACACAAGCCACUUCACGUUGGUGGUGUCCUUUAGCCGCCAUGUCUUCAGGCUUAAUGAUCAUUCUGUGGCGGCGGCGCUGGAGGCCGCUAUUGGUGGAUCUGCGAUCGAGUUGGGUGUCUCAUGCAUAUGUGACAAGGUUUAUUCUUUCAAUGUUUCCUCCAAGCAAGUUGGUUACUAUAUUGUUGAUCUUCGAUCCUAUGCUUGCCCACAAUUCAAAUGUUUUUUUAAUCUUUGGGGCCGUGGAGGACCAAAUUGGGUACAUGAUUUUAAUCUUUGGAAGUUAGAAUGUGAUGCGCAAUGGAUCUUAGUCAGUCCAUCUAAGAGAAGGGCGGCGCUUGGGAUGAUUGCUAUGCAUAAACCACCGUCUAAGUCCUCCUUUAGAUCUUCUGGUUCUGUGCAAAAGAAACUUUCCUUUGAAACAUUUUACAAUUAUGAUGUAUGCAAGGGUUAUAGAUAUCCGGCCAUGCAAGCUUGUAUUGAUACAGUUUCUGAUGCUGGAUAUGUGGUCUCUGCAAAUGAGCGUCUGGUCAUUCGACCUUCACCGCCGGCGAAUCUCCAGUGGACUAUAGCUUCUCCGCCGAUUGUUUUUAGUUCUGUUGGAUCGCCGCGGAUUCAGCGGUCUACUUCUCCGGCUGAGGUUUCUCAUCUUGGUGAUCCUCAAAUGCCUUGCGAUCCACCUACGUCGGCUAGUUUGGUCACGUCAGCCCCUGAUCCUCAUGCUUCCCAUGUUCGGCCAGUUCCGCAUGACGGGUCACGGCCCACCACCCAGCCAACGGAUAUGCCAUCUACCUAGGAAGCUGCUGAUAUGUUUGAUGAUAUGGUCAAUGACAUGGUGGACCGUGUUCUAACAUGCUCUAAAUGUCACCAACGGGGCCACCUGUCGGUCUCUUGUUCUGUCUUCCUGGCUUGCUCACGUUCUGGUCACCGUCGACGGGAUUGCAUUAAUUGGGCAAAGGAUAAUGGUUAUGUUUGGAGAGUUAAACAACCUAAACAAAAUCCAAAAAAUCUCCACUGUUGAUUCCCACGCCCGCCACGAGUCAGCCUCCUACUCCCUCGCCUAGGGACUCCUCGGGUAUAGAGACGACCCACGCACCAGUGCAGAUGAGUCCCAUCACGUCUUCACCUCUUCCCGUGCACCACCAGCCUGCUCCACCUCCACCAGAGCAAGACAUGGCAAACUUUCCCCAAAUCCUCUCGAGUUCCUUCCGCCGGGGUUCGAGAUCAUCGACGGAGGACCAACCCGUGUGCCUCGGACCUUCUACUCUCCGGCCAUUGCACCUGAGCGCCGGCACAAGCAGUUCGCCAUUGGCUUUGUCGAGCCUCCGCCGCCGCCUGGACAGAUUCAUCACUUCCGGCAACUGGUUAGUGAUUUUGUGAUGACUCAGUUGCACCAUGACGUUCUUAGUGAUCAGCAAUGGAUUGAGGGAGUCGGUUUGUUUGAUUUUCGAUCUCCUGCGUCUAGACAUGCUAUUAUGAAUCAUCCUCCCUAUGAUCUUGGCAACGGUCACUUUGUUCGUUUUGUUCCGCAUGAUCAAGGCAUCAAUCACAGAGCCAUUUAGGGUUUUCGUAGGGGUUGGAUUAUGAUGUUAGGUGUUCCUUUGGAUUACCGCACCACACAGCAUAUUUCUGAGGCAGUUAGCACUUUUGGUCGCUAUCAUAUCUGGCAUCAAGAUGAUCCGCGGUUGGGCAGGACUCUGGUUUAUGUUUCUUUCCCAAGCCCUCAACAAGUGCCUAGAGAUGUAGUCUAUCGUGAGUAUGCAGAUUUUGGAGCCACACGUAUUUUUUGGACUGCACCUAUCUAUGUUCUCUCUGCAGAAUUUGCUGAUAGUAUGCCAGCUGAUGAAGAUCCGAUGUUGUUCAAUGGAAACCCUCAUCCGCUGCCUGGAAACAUGCGUUUUGAUGAUGUUAACUUUGUCAUGCCUGAGUUUCCAGAACUGGGUUGGAAUGAGGCCCCUCACGCUCACAAUGAUGAUCAGCAGCAUGAUAAUCAGCAGGACAAUGUCAUUAUUGAGGAAAUUCUUGAGGAUGAAGCAUAGCCAGCUUCUCAAGAGUCAAUGGUCUUGGAGAACUCAGGUCCUGUUGAUUCUGCUGAGGGAUCGGUCAACGAUCAGCAAGGGAUUGUUGCAGCUUAUGUGCCUCCUCUGAUCCAGCCUCCUAUUGUUAUUGGUCAAGUGUUGACAAUUUUCAGACCUGAGCUUCCUCCGAUGAUUCAAUGGACUAGAUCUUUUUGGUGUAUGAUACCCGUCUUUGAUAUAAUGCAUAUUCCUCGAGGGUUGCAGUUCUUCAGUCCUUUUAAACCAGUUUUAUUAUCAAAACGCUCUUGGGAAGUAUCUUUCUCUUACUCUGCUAUGAGUAACAAGCUGGUUAUUCAUCCUUCCCCUGAUCAUUGGACUGUGACUGUUCCAAGGAAGCCUCCUGUUGCUCGUGCUCUUUGUUUUGAUUCUGCAGAUGAGGACUAUGCCAUGGAUGAUCUAGCCUUGUUUGCUGUCGAGAUGUCUGCUUUCAACUUCUCUGCUGCUCCAAGUGAGCGCCCAGUUCGAGAUCAUAAACCAAAGCCUGUGAUAGUUGAGUCUGAUGUCAGGCGCAGUGCCAGGCUCUCUGCCCUACGAGAUGGUUUCAUGCAUUCUUCUCUGGCCAAGUUUGCCCCUUUGAAGAAACCUGCAGCAAAGUCUCAAAAGAAGCGCAAGGUUACAGCUGAUGAACAGCCGCCGCGGGCUCCUCAAGAUGCAAAUCAAGAUGCUAUCGCACCGCCCACGCCAAUCAAUGUGCUGUAGAAGGUUGGCCUUCGCCUCGGCAUUGGACCUGAGAAGCUCUCUAAGGAGAAGCUUGAGGCUUGUUCUUGCAAGACUUCUUCUGCUUCUUCUAGCUCUAAUGAUAGCUGAAUUCUUAAAAUGGUGGGGUUUAUGGUUAACCCUUGUGAAAACCAUCUAUCUUCUAUUAUAUUUUAGGCUUUAUCUGAACUUUUAUGCUAUCACUUGGCUGAACUUGUACUAUCAUUAUGUGGCAGUCUUUUGCUGUUGCUUUAUUAUGGUUUGUAAUGAAUCAGUAUGAUGUUAGAGAUUGGAAAGUACUAUGUUGGAAUGUGCGUGGGCUGAAUCGGAUGACAGACAGCGUGCAGUUCGUUAGAAAAUCGAUGAAAGUGCAUGUCCCAUUGCUUGCCUCCAAGAAACAAAAUGUGAGAUCAUUGAUCAGCGUUUCAUUCGCAAGUGUUGUCCACGACGUUUUGAUCAAUUUAUUCAUGUGCCGUUGUCUGGAGCUUCGGGUGGGUUGUUGGUAGUAUGGAAUAAUGCUAUGUUUGCUGGUAAAUUGAUUGAGUCCAAUAGUUUUGGUAUUGUGGUGGAGUUCACUUCUGUUCAUAAUUCUCAAACCUGGACACUGGUCACAGUCUAUGGACCCUAUCAAAACCCAGCUAGGGAUAAUUUUAUUAAUUGGUUGCAUGAUCUAAUUAUCCCUGAUGAUGCUAACUGGCUGUUAUUGGAUGAUUUCAACUUCAUGCGCACAAUGGACAAUAGGAACAAACCAGGUGGUGACACUAAUGACAUGUUUAUUUUUAAUGAGGUUAUUGGGCACCUAGGCUUAAUCGAGCUACCUCUCAAGGGCAGAAAGUAUACAUGGACAAAUAUGCAAACUAUUCCUUUGCUUGAACAUAUUGAUUGGUUCUUUAUAACUCCCUCAUGGACAUGUUCUUAUCCUAACACUAUGGUCUUACCUCUAGCCAGAACUGCUUCAGAUCAUGUGCCAUGUGUGGUGCAAAUCAAAACUUCUAUUCCCAAGGCCAAAGUUUUUAGAUUUGAAAAUUACUGGACUAAUUUGCCUGGUUUUCUUGAUUGUGUCAGUGACUCUUGGAGUAGGCCAGCUCAUAAGAGAUCUUCUGCUGUUGUUAUCUCUGCAAAAUUUAAAGCUCUCAGGCAGGCACUCAAACAUUGGGACAUUAGUCUCUCUAAGGUUAAGGCUAUAAUCUCCAACUACAACAAAGUCAUACUUUGUCUGGAUGGCCUUGAGGAGUUGAGGCCUUUGUCUGGGCCAGAGGAAACUUUUAGGAAAAUUGUUAAGUUACAUUUGGAGGAAACUCUAAGAUUGCAAUACAUUUACAGGAAGCAGAGGUGUACUAUUAGGCGCAUUAAAGUGGGAGAGGAAAAUACUAAAUUUUUCCAUGCCAUGGCCACUAAGAGAUAUAGAAAUAACUCUAUUUCCAGUAUAACUUCUGAUAAUGGGCAAGUGACCUCUGACCAUGCAUCAAUUGCUGGACUAUUUUUGCAGGAGUUCAAACAGAGGAUGGGAUGCACUAAUAAUACCCAAAUGGGUUUUGAUAUGCCAAAUAUUAUCAAGAAGGUUCAGGGACUUGAUGAUUUGACCAAGCCUUUUUCUGAGCAGGAAAUUGAUUGUGUUAUUAAAGAGAUGCCUCCUGACAGAGCUCCUGGGCCAGAUGGUUUCACUGGUCUUUUUCUUAUGAAGUGUUGGCACAUAAUUAAGGAUGAUUUUCAUCAAUUGGUCAAAGAGUUUUCUGAGGGACACCUUGAUCUGGAGUGUAUCAACAUUUCUCUCAUAACCAUGAUCCCAAAAAAGCUUUCACCUGAGGGUUUGAAUGACUACAGGCCAAUCUCUUUGACAAAUACCUGUUUGAAAUUUCUCACUAAACUUCUGGCAAACAGGCUGCAGAAAGUUAUUCUUUCCUGUAUUCAUAAAAACCAAUAUGGAUUUAUUAAAUCCAGGUAUAUUCAGGAUUGUCUAGCUUGGUGUUUUGAGUACAUCCACCAGUGUAAAGCUUCAAAAAGGCCAAUUGUCUUGCUGAAAUUGGAUUUUACUAAGGCCUUUGACACUAUUGAGCAUGAUGCCAUUCUUAGAAUUUUAAGAUACAAGGGUUUUAAUGACAAAUGGAUUUCUUAGAUGCAAUCUAUUCUGUCAUCUGGCUCAUCUUUUGUGCUUCUUAAUGAUGUACCUGGCAACCAUUUUAAAUGUAAGAGGGGAGUUAGACAAGGAGACCCAAUGUCACCUCUACUUUUUGUCCUUGCUGCUGACCUGCUUCAGUCUGUAGUGAAUGAUAUGUGUAGUAAAGGAAUUUUGACUCUCACAAUCCCUUCUCACGGCCAGGAUUUUCCCAUAGUUCAGUAUGCUGAUGAUACACUAAUUGUGUUGCGUACUAUUGAUCAUCAGCUGCUUGCUCUUAAAGACAUGCUUGAUGUUUUUGCUGCUACAACAGGAUUAUCUUUGAAUUUUGCAAAAUCCCUUAUGGUGCCUAUGAACAUGUCAACUGAUGAAGCUAACAGGUUGGCCUCAAUUCUUGGAUGCAGUGUGGGAGUCAUGCCUUUUACUUAUUUGGGUCUGCCCAUGGGGACUACAAGGCCCUCAAUUCAAGAUCUCAUGCCUCUUGUGCAUAGGAUUGAAAGAAGAUUGUCUGCCACUUCAUGCUUUCUGAACCAAGGUACUAGGUUGCAGUUGCCCCAGUCUGUUUUAACUUCAAUGCCCAUAUAUUUCCUGUGCACACUUGUCAUCCCACCUGGAAUUCUGAAACAAAUUGAAAGUAUCCAGAGACAAUGCCUAUGGACAGGGAACUCUGAUACCCAAGACAAUCUCUGGCCGCUUGGGACUUGGUAUGCCUACCAAAAAAUAAAGGGGGUCUUGGUGUGCUAAACCUCAGGGUGCAGAAUGAGGCCUUACUUAUGAAGUUCUUGCACAAGUUUUAUAAUCAUCAUGACAUCCCCUGGGUUGGUCUCAUCUGGAAUGCCUAUUAUGGCAGCUUUGUCCCUCAUAGUACCAGCCUCUGUGGGUCCUUUUGGUGGUGUGAUGUGUUUAAACUGGCUCAUAAAUAUUGUCAGCUGGCUAAUCCAAUGUUGGGAGAUGGCAGGUCUAUUCUCUUUUGGACUGACAGAUGGGUGGUUGAGCUUAAGGGUUCUUGCCUUAGUGAAAAAUUUCCCAGGCUCUUCUCUUUUGUUAUUGAUGAACAACUUUCAGUGUCUAAUGUGCUUUCCCAGGAGUUUUGUCAAAUUUGCAUCUGCCCCUCUCUACACAAGCCUUUGCUGAACUUGAGUGUCUCCAACAAUUGACAAAUGCUUAUACUUGCUCUGAAAAUUAUGACACAUGGAUAUGGCCUUUUCAUAAAGGCUGCUUCAGACCUAAAUCAUUUUAUGUGCAUGAGCAUCAACAUAUUGUUGUAGAUCCAAUUUUCCAAUGGAUUUGGAAAUCUUCAUGCACCUUGAAAAUCAAAAUGUUUGGAUGGCUUCUGCUGAGGGAUCGUUUAAACACCAGAGACAUGUUACAGAGGAGGCAUUGGCAUGUGGAGGAUCAUACUUGUGUCCUAUGUCCAUAUCUCAUCCAUGAAGACUGUGCACAUUUGUUCCUCUCUUGUAAUUUUAGUGUUAGAGUCUGGAAUUACUUGCAGAUUCACUGGGAUCCCCAGCCUCGGAUGACAACCUACAACAUGGCUGUAAAGGCUAGGAAGGAUUUUGGGCAUCUUUUCUUCACUGAAGUGGUCUUUACAGUAGCUUGGAACAUUUGGAUCUUGAGGAAUGGCAAGGUUUUCAGGAAUGAGAGAACUUCUUUAACUGUUACACCCACGAUGCGGCUAUAUCUCCCACGUGUCGAAGCACGACUUAGAGGCAUAACCGCAUUGUAGGCAUGUCGCAAGAGGGGUAAUCUUUACACAUCCCAUGUACUGAAAAGAAAGAGGUACAGAGUUGGCUUACAAUCGCCACUUCACACAAUACAUGAAUAUAGCAUUACAUCAACCAGAUAUAAUCAAGGUCCGACUAUGGAACCAAAAUAAAAGAAGACUACCCCUAAUGCAAAAGAUCCCCGAUCGCCCCAACUGGGCUCCACUACUGAUCAACUGGAAACGGAACAACAUAACGAACACGAUCUUCAUCGAGCUCCUCCUUGAGCUCGGUUGCGUCACCUGCACGAUAUCAUCGGCACCUGCAAACUGGUUUGGAAGUAAACUGUGAGUCACGGGGACUCGGCAAUCUCACACCCUCGCGAUCAAGACUAUUUAAGCUUAUGGGUAGGGAAAAGGUACGAGGUGGAGCUGCAGCAAGCACUAGCAUAUAUGGUGGCUAACUUACGCAAAUGAGAGCGAGAAGAGAAGGCAAAGCACAUUCGAGAAGAUAUGAUCAAGAAGUGAUCCUAGACUACUUACAUCAAACAUAACACAAGAACCGUAUUCGCUUCCCGGGCUCUGCCGUAAAGAGACCAUCAUGGCUACACACGCGGUUGAUGCAUUUUAAUUAAGUUAAGUGUCAAGUUUUCUACAACCGGACAUUAACAAAUUCCCAUCUGCCCAUAACCGCGGGCACGGCUUUCGAAAGUUCAAAACCCUGCAGGGGUGUCCCAACUUAGCCCAUCACAAGCUCUCACGAUCAACGAAGGAUAUUCCUUCUCCCAUGACGACCCGAUCAGACUCGAAAUCCCGGUUACAAGACAUUUCGACAAUGGUAAAACUAAACCAGCAAAGCCACCCGAUGUGCCGAAAAAUCCCGAUAGGAGUCGCAUGUACCUCGUUCUCAGGCCAACACCGGAUGAGACUACGUACGAGUAAAACCAACCCUCAAGUUUCCUCGAGGUGGCCCCGCAGGCAGCUCAGUUCGGACCAACACUCAGAGGAGCACUGGCCCAGGGGGUUAAAUAAAGAUGACCCUCGGGCUCCGGAAACCCAAGGGAAAAGGCUAGGUUGUUAGUGCAAAUGGUAAAACCAAGGUUGGGCCUUGCUGGAGGAGUUUUAUUCAAGGCGAACUGUCAAGGGGUUCCCAUUAUAACCCGACCGCGUAAGGAAUGCAAAAACAAGGAACAUAACACCGGUAUGACGGAAACUAGGAAGGCAAGAGUGGAACAAAACACCAGGCGUAAGGCCGAGCCUUCCACCCUUUACCAAGUAUAUAGAUGAAUUAAUUAAAUAAGAGAUAUUGUGAUAUCCCAACAACAAUCAUAUUCCAAACAUGGAACAAACUCCAACCUUCACCUGCAACUAGCAACGUUAUAAGUGGGGCUGAGCAAAGUGGUAACAUAGCCAAACAACGGUUUGCUAGGACAAGGUGGGUUAGAGGUUUGACAUGGCAAUAUGGGAGGCAUGAUAUAGCAAGUGGUAGGUAUCGUGGCAUAGGCAUAGCAAUAGAGUGAGCAACUAGCAAGCAAAGAUAGAAGUGAUUUCGAGGGUAUGGUCAUCUUGCCUGAGAUCCCGCAAGGAAGAAGAAUGAGUCCAUGAAGAAGACAAGCGGACGAAGUUGAACGAAACCUCACAAAUGCGACGUUAUCGGAACCAACCUGAAGAAGCGACACCGGAAAUAAGCACACAACAUAGUAAACAACCAUGACAUAAUCAUGCCAUGAUGCACAGUCAAGUAUGAUGCAUGUCCGACUUAAUGAAGCAUGACAUGGCAAAGUGCAACAAACAACACUACAAAUUAAGUGGAGAUCAAUAUGCAACGGAGUUGCAUAUUGAGGUAAACCCCACAUGACUUAUUUAGUUCUCUCUCGUUUAGGUACUCAACAAUAUUAAAUGUGGGAUAGCAUGGCAAGAGGUGAAGGAAAGUAAAACUACCUAUCUAGGCAAGUUUAAUUGAGGUCGGAACAACAAGCAACAAGUCCGGAAAGCCUCAUGUGCAUAUUAAUGGAAUUGGUACUAUUCUGCCCUAAACACAAUGUUAGGGUGGUUAAACAUGCAAAGAAAGUGAACCAUGUUAAACUAGGCAUUUUUCUACCCCAUUUACAUAUAAAGAUUAUUUAAAACCGAGGUACGGUUAUUUAGUUAUGAAUUAAAGCAUUUUAGCAUGGCAUAAGAGCAAAUUAAUGCAAACAACAGUUUAAACAUUUUAAACAUAGAUGCAAGUUGCAAAUUAUUAAUCUACACAAAAUUCUAAGCAUUUUACAUAUUUAAAACAUUUUAAUCCGAUGCAUGGUUUAAGAGUUAUUAUAUGCAUUAUCUAGAGGGACUUUUCUGUAAAUCUGUAAAUCCCUGGUUAAAUAGCAAAUUCCAGAACCAAAAAAAACAUCCACUGCUGCUGAAUCUUGUAGGCCCAACAGGAAGAGGGAAGCUGGAGGGGCUGCUCACAUCGGGCCUUGGCCCAGCUGGAAGAGAACAGUGGGCCGGCUCGGUUGAGAUCGAGGCCGCUCGUCCUCUGCUCGACGGGAGCAGAGCAGUGGCGACGGUAGGGGCGCAGGGAGGCGGAGGUCACCAUCGCUGGUGGACUCCUGUGGGGCGGCACGGCGACUUGGAGCCAGGGACGAGGCCGGGGUGCAGGGAGGCGCCGCAUCUGGCCAAGAGUGACGAACGGAACAGGGUAGGUCGAUGCAGACACGUGCGGGAGAGCGAGAAGCGGAGGAGGUUCGAGCGUCCUCAUGACGUAGAGGAUGGCGGCGUUGUUCGUCAAUGAAGAAGACAGAUGGCAUGGCGGAGCAUGCGGUUGGAGACGCGACGAGGUCGGGGAAGCACUGGACUUGCCGGAUCUUGCGGCGGCAGGGGGCGAAGGAAGCCCAAGGCCCAGGUGCUCGCUGCUGAAGGCGCGGGACUUGCAGAGCUUGGACGCGGGGCUUCGGUGAUGCGGGGAAAGGUGAGGGAGGCCGGAGUUGGGCGGCGGCUCUGCGAGGUACUUGGCGCGGGCUUCGGCAGGGACGGCGACCUUGACGCAGGGGAGAGGUGGAGGCGUGGAUUUGGCGAGGAGGCGGAGUUCCUUCAGCGGCCAUGGCGCCUGGCAUGCUCCUGGCCAGGGUGUAGCUGCUCCUGCAGUAGAUAGGCAGAAAGCACAGGGUUCAGAGAGGGAAACGGGAGGAGCAUGGAAAAGAGAAGAAAGGGUGCCGGUGCUCAUCUCCGGUGAAGCUUGCUGGCGGUGAUGUGGCACGAGGCUCGGGCUCUGGCUCCUGCUGAGACGAGGGAGGAGGAAGGGCCUCGAUCUAAUCGGGAUCGAGCGCGGGCUCGAUCUGAGAGGGAGAGGUGGGGGUUGCUGGUUGGAUCUGGACCAGGGAAGAAUGAGGCUGGUGAUUGGCUCACUGGUGAUCCCGAGGGGAAAACGAAGAGGAGACAAUGGAGGUUUUUGCGGCGUCGGGGAGGAAAUGAUUGAUGGGAUUGACUAGCCUAGGGUUUGGACUGAUAUAAAGGGACAAUAGGAUUAGGUUUGGACCCUCCGAUCAAAAUCGGACGGUCUCGGAUAAAUAGGUUAGGGAGACCAAUUAAGACGGUGAUAUUAUAUAGAUAUUUGGGGAUGAUCCGGACCCAACGGUGACGACUGUCCGGGUCGGGUUCGGGACAGCUUCGGACACAUGCGAGGGGUCGAAGCACUGUGCAGAGAGGGGUUAGGCGAACGAGGUUAAGUGUGUGGUCGGACUGAGGAGAGGAGGAAUGCAACCCGGCACCCGUUUCCGGAGACCAAAAACGUCCGACGAUUUGACCGACUAUAAUGUUGCUAUAGUUAUCCGUUGGGGCAUCAAACAGACUCCGAAUGUGGUGAAACUUCGCAGGCGGCCUAUCUACACUAUAAUAAGACCGCACGCCAACUUUCAACCCAAUCUGAGAACAUUUUCCCGCGGGCGCGUGCAAGUGUGUCUGGGCUCAGAACGGACAACAGACGGAACUGGGGGAACCCGGACGAAUGCAAGUUUUGAAAACACGAUGAUGCAAUGCACAUGAUGACAUGACAAGAUGCAACACACAAGAAAAUGACAUGGCAACGAUGGCGAAUAACUAGGAGACACCUGGCGCAUCGGUCUCGGGGCAUUACAACACUCCACCACUACGAGAGGAUCUCGUCCCGAGAUCUAGGAUGGCACCGGAGAGAAAACGGAAGAGGAAGAGAAAAGGUAAAAACUAAGUUGCUUCUUUGACAAACGAGUGAAACCACGAACCUGGAGAGGUUGAUCAAAUUGAAAGAAAGAAUACAACGAAGAUGAACAAAGUCGAAAACACUCCGUUAUAAAAAGAGGAACAAGGAAGAACAAAUUCGGACAGCACUACGGUAGAAAAUUGAUAUGAAACUUGAUAAGAUGAAAAGAACUUGAAGAGAUGACACGACACUCCGGUUAAAAACAAGAUAUAGAAGGAAUAAGAAUAAUAUAAUCUGGGCUGCACUCCGAUUGUAAAUUGAAGGAAUUAGAAUCAUGAACUUGACAAUAUGAGAAAAUUCUGGAUGAAAACAGCAACACACUACCUCCGGAACUAUUGAAAGAAUAGCACAAUGGGUAAGAACGAUUUCAGAUAGGACUCCGAUUGGGAAGGGAGGUAAAACUUCAUAAGAUGAGAGAACUUGAAAAAGAGGGCAUGACAAUCCGGUUAAAUGGAUAAGCACGAAAUAAAACAUGGUCUUUGACAAAAUGAGAUGAUGGGUGAAUAUAGCAGUAAUACAAUGCCUCCAGAAUGAAUGAAUGAAUGCGAUGAAAAGAACGGAGAAGAAAACAACAUGUUCUACCUCAAAUGAAUUUGAGAGAGCAUCCUUAAAAAGAAUGAUUGAACGGAGUUGUUGGGAAAUCAAGAACGAAAAGAAUAACCUUGAUGUGAGCAUAUGGAAAACAUCUCAAAACUUGAGGUGAAAACCUGCCACAAACGAAAAACAAUUGCUUGCUUGAGAGCGACGGAGAGAUGAAAACAUCUUUCAUCGCAAGAAUAGGAGGAAACUUGGAUCAUUGAUAAACACCAUAAAUAGCAUCAUUCCCAAUGGAAGGCUUUAGGUGAAACAUGACACAAGAUAACUCCAACAAAGAGAUUGAUGGAUUUAAAAUAUCUCAUUCUUGACAACUGUUGAAUCAUGAAGCAUGAAGGAAAAAUUGUCAGGAAAGACAUAACACCACCUGAAAAGAUAAGGUAGAAGGAAUUGCACUUCGAAAUGCAAGAUGAAGAAGGCUUGAACUCCUCAAAACAAAACAUGUGUUGAGCACCAUGUUUAUUUGAGAGUAUAGCUUGGCGGAUCAUCGCUUCAAGAGAAAUCUUGAGGAAUAAUUGCAGAAUGAAAAGAAUCCUUGAUGAACCGCCACAUAGAAACUCCAUGAAGAAACUCCGGUAAUAAAAGAAUGAUAAAAAAGAAGUGAAGGAUGAAAAUAAUAAGAUUGAAGCCUUGCAAUGAUUGAAUGAAGCUUUGCGAUGAGAUAAAGUGGAAACUUGGAACUCCGGAAAAGAAAGAUGACUCACUUGAACCGAUAAUUUACUCAUCAUGAACAAACUCCGGAAGAAUGAAUCAAUCACUUGGAUGAAGCAAGAAUAAGAAUUAUGUUAUGCGUAUCCUUCACCAAUUUAGAUUGAUGACAAGCAAUGGAUUUAGCAUACUACUUAUACUCGAAGAAAGGAUUAAGAUAGAUAUAGCACAAACUUGAGAAAAGACUUCAACAAACCACCGUUAGGAUUUGAAAGAACGAAUGAAUUGAUAUGAUAAUGAAGGAAAAGAAAUCUUGAACGAACCACCAUAAGAAUUGAAAAUGAAUCACUGGUAAGAAUUAGAGAACGAAUGAGGAUACUUGAGGGGAUUUAGAUACAACUGAAACGAAGAGAUCAUGAGCUGAAUAGAGAAUAUUGAAUGAUGCACCGGUAAGAUUCGAAGAAAGAGAGCUGAAAGCUGAGAAUGAAUAAACCCGAAAUGAUGGCCUUUGGAGAAUCAAACUAAAAAGAAUCUUGAAUUUCUCCGGACAGGUGAAAAGAAUUCUCACAAUCGAAAACAAUUAUGAGAGGAUGGUAUCAAGAUUGAACUACACAUCUCUGAGAGAAUGGAUAAGAUUGAAGAGAAAUUCUUCUUCGGUCUUCAAAUAUUGAGAACGACGAUGAGAAGCAUCACCAAGAAUUGUUGAGAUACUCCGGAAUGAAAAAUAGAAAGGUUGAGACAACGAUGAAAAUAAUGUGAAAGAUCUUCGAGAAGAAAUUUGACUGAUGAUAAUUCAUUCUUACAUCAAACUUGGGAAAAGAAUUUGAAAAUAGCUCCGGUAAAAUUAGAAGAGUCAGGUAAGAUCCUGGGAAAAGACCUGUGGGUUAGGGCCCACUGAAAAGACACACCGUUGAACGAUAGCUUGAAAGGGAGAACGCGCCAGUUGAAUUAGUUAGCUUGAAUGAGAUAACAUCCUCGACAGAGUUUGAACGAAAGCAGAGUGGAAACACAAAUCUUCUGAGAUAUCUUCAGCACUCCGUAACAAAAGAAUAGCGAGAGGUGAAUGAUUAUGAGGUGCACCGGCAUGAGAAGGUAUUGGAUAAAAUGAAAGCACUAUGCUCAAUACCAAAGCUUGAAUUGAAUCCACCAGAGAAGAAAGAGAACGAAUAAUGAUAACUUGAACCUCCGUUAGUAUCUUCUUGAGAAUCACCGGGUAAGAACAUUGAAAGACAAGAAUGGAGAGACUUCGCAUCAAUAAAAGGAUACUCGAUUAAGAGAUCUGAGUCCUUGAAGAAAAAGGGUGAGAGGGUGGGUAAAACAAAAGCAACUUGGGACGAAUGAAACAAACCAUGUUGAGAAGACUUUGAGUUGAUCUUGCGAAUGUUGAAAAGAUUGGAUCCACCUGAAGAGAAAACGCCGGUUGAAAAGGAUUUACAUGACAAUCUCGAUUAUCAUGAAGGAUUAGUAUUCACAUAGAAAUAUGAGAACACCGCUUAGGAAAGGUAUGGAAUCAACACUUGACUUUGAAGCAACUCGAAUACCACAACAGAAAACAAAAACAAAGGAUUGGCUUGCGAAAUAAGCUGGAACAAACAUAUGAUAGAGAUUCCAUCCGAAGUUUUCGUGGUGGGGCCCACACGGGCUCGAUCGUACAACACCAUCAUGUACAAGGCAGUGCACAUGACAUACGAAGCGUCCCCGAGUCAGCAUAGCCAAGGACUCUUUAAGACACAACGAGACCUCUGUAAAACCAACCGUGGAUAGGCGGACCACUAGAUGUCGAACCCCAAUUUCAUAUCAUACAUCUGUCGGAAAAGAUAUCCUAAGAGCUACUUGAAUUUCCACUUAUAAACUCCCGAAACUUUCUGGUUAUGCAAUCAGGUGUUGGGGAUACAGGUGAAGCACAAUAUCUCACCCGAAACUAACAAUGCUACAUCCAGUUGUAUCCAUCCUUCAACACAUAACCAAGAAACCUUCGGAAAUCAUUUACCUCAACCUUUGAAAAGCAUCCGUUAUACGAGUUAUGGCAAUAAUCCCGAACUCCCGCCCCAGUACUGGGUGGCGUCGAGGUUAUCUCACCAACAACUGCAUAAAAGAGAUUUUCGAUGUCGGUGAAACUCAGGUAUUUUUUCGAUAAAAUUGUGACGAAAACACCUCAGAGCUCAACUCCCCGGGACACUGCCACAAUCCCUAAAUGUCAGGAGGCACCAAGAAAAAUGUUCUCGUCACAAAACCAUCGGAACGAUUCCAAGAUACCCGUGUGAUCCUAAAAAAAAUUCCGUGAAAUUUGAGAAGAGAAGAGUCAAAACUCUACGUCAGGAGGCCUCACCAAAGCGACGAAGGGACUGAGGAGUAAAAAGAAUCCUACUCUCCGAUAUAUAUAAUCCUAAAAGACUCAAAACAUUUUUCUAGACUCAACAACGCCAGCGAUUCGAUCAAGCUGGGGGCUCCUAAGUCGGGGAAGGCUCUGAUACCAACUUGUUACACCCACGAUGCAGCUAUAUCUCCCACGUGUCGGAGCACGACUUAGAGGCAUAACCGCAUUGUAGGCAUGUCGCAAGAGGGGUAAUCUUUACACAUCCCAUGUACUAAAAAGAAAGAGGUACAGAGUUGGCUUACAAUCGCCACUUCACACAAUACAUGAAUAUAGCAUUACAUCAUCCAGAUACAAUCAAGGCCCGACUAUGGAACCAAAAUAAAAGAAGACUGCCCCUAAUGCAAAAGAUCCCCGAUCGCCCCAACUGGGCUCCACUACUGAUCAACUGGAAAUGGAACAACAUAACGAACACGAUCUUCAUCGAGCUCCUCCUUGAGCUCGGUUGCGUCACCUUCAUGAUAUCAUCGACACCUGCAAACUGGUUUGGAAGUAAACUGUGAGUCAUGGGGACUCAGCAAUCUCACACCCUCGCAAUCAAGACUAUUUAAGCUUAUGGGUAGGGAAAAGGUAUGAGGUGGAGCUGCAGCAAGCACUAGCAUAUAUGGUGGCUAACUUACGCAAAUGAGAGCGAGAAGAGAAGGCAAAGCACAUUCGAGAAGAUAUGAUCAAGAAGUGAUCCUAGACUACUUACGUCAAACAUAACACAAGAACCGUAUUCGCUUCCCGGGCUCCGCCAUACAAAGACCAUCACGGCUACACACGCGGUCGAUGCAUUUUAAUUAAGUUAAGUGUCAAGUUUUCUACAACCGAACAUUAACAAAUUCCCAUCUGCCCAUAACCGCGGGCACGGCUUUCGAAAGUUCAAAACCCUGCAGGGGUGUCCCAACUUAGCCCAUCACAAGCUCUCACGGUCAACGAAGGAUAUUCCUUCUCCCAGGACGACCCGAUCAGACUCGGAAUCCCGGUUACAAGACAUUUUGACAAUGGUAAAACUAAACCGGCAAAGCCACCCGAUGUGCCGACAAAUCCCGAUUGGAGUUACACGUACCUCGUUCCCAGGGCAACACCGGAUGAGACUAGCUAUGAGUAAAACCAACCCUCAAGUUACCUCGAGGUGGCCCCAUAGGCAGCUCAGUUCGGACCAACACUCAGAGGAGCACUGGCCCAGGGGGGUUAAAUGAAGAUGACCCUCGGCCUCCGGAAACCCAAGGGAAAAGGCUAGGUUGUUAGUGCAAAUGGUAAAACCAAGGUUGGGCCUUGCUGGAGGAGUUUUAUUCAAGGCGAACUGUCAAUGGGUUCCCAUUAUAACCCGACCGCGUAAGGAGCGCAAAAACAAGGAACAUAACACCAGUAUGACGGAAACUAGGGCGGCAAGAGUGGAACAAAACACCUGGCAUAAGGCCGAGCCUUCCACCCUUUACCAAGUAUAUAGAUGCAUUAAUUAAAUAAGAGAUAUUGUGAUAUCCCAACAACAAUCAUAUUCCAAACAUGGAACAAACUCCAAUCUUCAUCUAUAACUAGCAAUGCUAUAAGAGGGGCUGAGCAAAGCGGUAACAUAGCCAAACAACGGUUUGCUAGGACAAUGUGGGUUAGAGGUUUGACAUGUCAAUAUGGGAGGCAUGAUAUAGCAAGUGGUAGGUAUCGCGGCAUAGGCAUAGCAAUAGAGCGAGCAACUAGCAAGCAAAGGUAGAAGUGAUUUCGAGGGUAUGGUCAUCUUGCCUGAGAUCCCGCAAGGAAGAAGAAUGAUACCAUUAAGAAGACAAGCGGACGAAGUCGAACGAAACCGCACAAAUGCGACGUUAUCGGAACCAACCCGAAGAAGCGACACCGUAAAGAAGCACACGACAUAGUAAACAACCAUCACAUAAUCAUGGCAUGAUGCACAGUCAAGUAUGAUGCAUGUCCGGUUUAAUGAAGCAUGACAUGGCAAAGUGCAGCAAACAACACUACAAAUUAAGUGGAGAUCAAUAUGCAACGGAGUUGCAUAUUGAGGAAAACCCCACACGACUUAUUUAGUUCUCUCUCGUUUAGGUACUCAACAAUAUUAAAUGUGGUUUAGCAUGGCAAGAGGUGAAGCAAAGUAAAACUACCUAUCUAGGCAAGUUUAAAUGAGGCCGGAACAACAAGCAACAAGUCCAGAAAACCUCAUGUGCAUAUUAAUGGAAUUGGUACCGUUCUGCCCUAAACACAGUUUUAGGGUUGUUAAACAUGCAAAGAAAGUGAACCAUGUUAAACUAGGCAUUUUUCUACCCCAUUUACAUAUAAAGAUCAUUUAAAACCGAGCUACGGUUAUUUAGUUAUGAAUUAAAGCAUUUUAGCAUGGCAUAAGAGCAAAUUAAUGCAAACAACAGUUUAAACAUUUUAAACAUAGAUGAAAGGUGCAAAUUAUUAAUCUACACAAAAUUCUAAGCAUUUUACAUAUUUAAAACAUUUUAAUUCAAUGCAUGGUUUAAGAGUUAUUAUAUGCAUGAUCUAGAGGGACUUUUCUAUAAAUCUAUAAAUCCCUGGUUAAAUAGCAAAUUCGCAGAACCAAAAAAACAUCCACUGGGCCGAAUCUUGUUGGCCCAACAGGAAGAGGGAAACUGGAGGGGCUGCUCACAUCGGGCCUUGGCCCAGCUGGAAGAGAACAGUGGGCCGACUCGGUUGAGAUCGAGGCCGCUCGUCCUCUCCUCGACAGGAGCAGAGCAGUGGCGACGGUAGGGGCGCAGGGAGGCGGAGGUCACCGUCGCAGGUGGACUCCAUUGGGGCGGCAUGGUGACUUGGAGCCAGGGACGAGGCCGGGGUGUAGGGAGGCGCCGCAUCCGGACGAGAGUGAUGAACGGAACAGGGUAGGUCGAUGCGGACACGUGUGGGCGAGCGAGAAGCAGAGGAGGUUCGAGCGUCCUCAUGACGUAGAAGAUGGCGGCGCUGUUCAUCGAUGAAGAAGACAGAUGGCAUGGCUGAGCAUGCGGUUGGAGACGCGACGAGGUCGGGGAAGCACUGGACUUGCCAGAUCUUGCGGUGGCAGGGGGCGAAGGCAGCCCAAGGCGCAGGUGCUCGCUGGUGAAGGCGCGGGACUUGCAGAGCUUGGACGUGGGGCUCCGGUGAUGCGGGGAAAGGCGAGGCAGGCCGGAGUUGGGCGGCGGCUCUGCGAGGUACUUGGCGCGGGCUUCGGCAGGGACGGCGACCUUGACGCAGGGGAGAGGUGGAGGCAUGGAUUUGGUGAGGAGGCGGAGUUCCUUCGACGGCCAUGGCGCCUGGUGUGCUCCUGGCCAGGGCAUAGCUGCUCUUGUAGUAGAUAGGCAGAAAGCACAGGGUUCAGAGAGGGAAAUGGGAGGAGCAUGGGAAAGAGAAGAAAGGGUGCCGGUGCUCAUCUCCGACGAAGCUUGCUGGCGGUGAUGUGGCACGAGGCUCGGGCUCAGGCUCCUGCUAAGACGAGGGAGGAGGAAGGGCCUCGAUCCAAUCGGGAUUGAGCGCGGGAUCAAUCUGAGAGGGAGAGGUGGGGGUUGCUGGUUGGAUCUGGACCAGCGAAGAAUGAGGCUGGUGAUUGGCUCACUAGUGAUCCCGAGGGGAAAAACGAAGAGGAGACAGUGGAGGUUUUUGCGGCGGCGAGGAGGAAAUGAUUGAUGGGAUUGACUAGCCUAUGGUUUGGACUGAUAUAAAGGGACAAUAGGAUUAGGUUUGGAUCCUCCAAUCAAAAUUAGACCAUCUCGGAUAAAUAGGUUAGGGAGCCCAAUUAAGAAAACGGUGGUAUUAUAUAGAUGUUUGGGGAUGAUCCGGACCCAACGGUGACGACUGUCCGGGUCAGGUUCGGGACAGCUUCGGACACACGCGAGGGGUCGAGGCACUAUGCAGAGAGGGGUUAGGCGAAUGAGGUUAAGUGUGUGGUCGGACUGAGGAGAGGAGGGAUGCAACCCGGCGCCCGUUUCCGGAGACCGAAAACGUUCGACGAUUUGACCGACUAUAAUGUCGCUAUAGUUAUCCGUUGGGGCAUCAAACGGACUCAGAAUGUGAUGAAACUUGGUAGGUGGCCUACCUACACUAUAAUAAGACCGCACACCAACUUUCAACCCAAUCCGAGAACAUUUUUUGGCCACUUAUAAUAUACUAUUUCAGACAUGCCGCGGUCGCGUGCAAGUGUAUCUGGGCUCAGAACGGACAACAGGCGGAACUGGGGGAACCCGGACGAAUGCAAGAUAUGAAAACAUGAUGAUGCAAUGCACAUGAUGACAUGACAAGAUGCAACACGCAAGCGAAUGACAUGGCAAUGAUGGCGAAUAACUAGGAGACACCUGGCGCAUCGGUCUCGGGGUGUUACACUAACCUCCCUUAGUGUGUUUUACCCUGCUUGGGUUGUAAGUAUUUCUGUCUUCUUCUUCUUUUUUCUUGUAUUUGACUUGUAACAGGACUAUGUUACUUUGUUGUUUUCAAUAAAGAGCUGUGAGGCUGUUGCCUUGCAGUACAUAUUCAAAAAAACGUGGCUCCACCGGCAGCCUGUACGGCCCAUCUUCACCAGCAAACACCCAAGACCCUCGCGAGGGGCCAAGCCUUAUGAGGCGGAUGAUGCACGACCUCCUCAAGGGCGGCCUCACCAGGCUAGCUCACGAGGGGUGGAGAGAUCAAGGCAAGGUGAACCUCGCGAGGUUCCAAUGACAUAAGCCAUGACGAUCAAGACCAGGCGGGCACCAGUGAGCACAGUGUCCUCGUUCCCUCUUUGGUGUUAAGGAGGCAAGCGUAGGCGAGGAGUUCCGAGGCAUCAGGCAAAGGUUUCCAUAUUGGUGCAACAAGACCAAGACCAGCAGGACGUCAAGACGGAGGUCACCGUGGAGCCCAGGACGGCGUCACCACCAGAGCAUUUGGUAGGCGAAGACUAGUUUUGUCUGGAUAGCUUGUACUAGCUGUCCCCCUUCAAAUUAGCCGUUGUGGGAUCCCUUCCCGCUCAAUAUUUGGGAAGAGGACCAGGGCCUCUAUAAAUAGGACUAGGCACCACUAUAGCUAAAGGAGAGGGGAUCCAUCCGACCUCUCAUCUUGGAUCGAAGCCAUUCCGUCCUUAGCCUCACACAAGUUCACCAAGCACAAGAACACCUCUCCUCGGGAGGUUGUUCUUCCCUUGUAAUUUUUCAUCCUCAACCCAAGAGGCAAUCCACCACACGACACUGGAGUAGGGUAUUACACCACAACGGUGGCCCAAACUAGUAUAAAUCUUGUGCCUCAUGUUCUUUGGGUCCGUCAAGCUAGGCCAUGAGAUCGUUGAGUGUGCGAGCUAGAGAGGGGGGAGAUCUUCGUGCGCACCCCAGUGUUCGAACCUCAAGGGUUUUGCCGGAACCCAAAAUCUGACACACAUAGCAUGUCACACAGUCCUGUUAAUAUCGUGUACACGUAUGUACAACGGCCAGGGUGCAAGAAAGUAAAUACGGCCACAUACGUACAUACGGGCGCAGUCUCGAAUGCCUACUCGCGCAUGCGUACGACCAGGGCUCAUGUACAUGGCUGGGUCGGAACGGAGAAAAUGCGUCGUUGUCGUGUUCAUGUGGAGGCAAUGGAAUGCGUCGUGUUCAUCGGGAGGCAGCGAAAUACGUCGUGUUCAUCGGGAGCCAACCGGCUUGGACGGGACAAUCGAUCGAAACGAGGCUAGGCGUAUCGCAAAAGGAAGGGAAUGUCCUUGUAUUCGACCGACCACGGUCGAAACACGAUAUUGUUCAUUGGGAGAGGUCUGGCAUACCGCAAAACGGAGGAAGCGGACUUCUCUUGGACCUCCUAUAGUCAAAACGGGGUCUUGUUGAUCGGGAGGGGUGUGGCGUACCGCAAAACAAAGGAAACAGACUUGUGUUGGAGUGCUAUGGUAGAAACAGGGGUCCUGUUCAUCGGGAGGGGUGUAGCAUACCACAAAACGGGACUCCACGGGAUACUGUUCAUCUCCACCGUCGACCUCCUCCAGCUUCCACGGGCUACUGUUCAUCCACCCUCGACCUCUUCCAGCCUCCACCUGCGACUGUUCAUCGAGCCUCCACCGCUCCUCCACCGGCUACUGUUCAACCAGCCCUCUCCACGGGGUCCUGUUCAACCACCCCUCCACAGGCUACUGUUCAUCUAGCCCUCUACCGGCUAUUGUUCAACCAGCCCUCCACAGGGUCAUGUUCAUCCAGCCCUCCAUGGGGUCCUGUUCAUCCACCCCCAGCCGUCUCGAUCAAUCAGGGACCUGUUCAUCCAGUGGCAACGACCUCUACUACCACGGGGUCUUGUUCAUCCAACCCGCCACCGGAAACUCUUCAUCCACCCCCCAACAACGCUUACUGUUCAUCCAGAGGCAGCAUCGACCGGCUUUAGGUAGAAGUAGUGUGCGCAAAGGAAUCGCUCGAUCGGGUUUAGUUAACAGCCAUCGAUCGAUCGCUCGGGUUCAGUAACGCGUAGCCUGCAGUGCAAUCACUCGAGUUUAGUUAGAACCCAACGCCUCGCACCCACGCGCGUACAUGUACGAGAGAAACAUGCAUUGCUCGGCCCCGACCAUCCACCAUAAUCGGGAAAUCCUGAUAUUUUCCUUGCCCUCGCUUCUACCAUAGUUUUUUCCGUCAUGCACGGCCCAAAGAAUGUCAUGCAGCUGCGUCUCCGGCCUGCCCAGGAUGAAAAGCCCAUUUUCUAUCAUGAUUUUUUGACAUAGAAGUAGGAGCCCACCACAUCUAUCAUGAUAUUGGGUUUUGUCACAAUUAUCGUCAUAGAAGUGUCAUAAGCAUGACAGGAAAAAAAAUUCGGCCCAAAAUGUCACAGAUGUGUCUUUUUUGUAGUGCGUGUCCAUCAGAUGUGAACCGCCAGGGACACCUGCAUAAUUACGUUGCAUAGCCCUUUACCUAAUAAAUACACACCCACGCGGUCAUUAUCUCCUCUUCCAUCUCGCCAUCUCGUUCAAACCGUAGCACCACCACUAGGUCGUGUCGACGCCGGAGAGGAAGUGCUUAGCUGCCGCGACCUCUUCGACGCCGUCCUCACUCCGGCCAUGGACCUCGUCUUCUCUGCCGCUGCCGUAGGUGUCUUCCGCCGCCAAGUUAGGGUGCGGAAGAUUGUACUGCUCGGCAUCUGUUCCGCCUCGUCUAGCAGCUCGUCUGUGGUAACUAAAUCUCACUUUUUACAACCUUUUCAAUCUGUCAAAUCCAUCCACUUCAACCAAAAGGGGUUUCUACACUUCCAAAUCUAGAUAUUUCUGUUUCUGAAUCUCAUAUCUUGCAAAGAUUAUUCACAUAUGCUUCAUAACUAGUUAGAUUCCUCAUGUGUACUUAUUCAUGGAUUCGUACAAAUCUAGAACCAACUCACUACAAAUAAGUGAAUGUCUUCACAUUAUGAGGUCAAUGUCUUCAAACUAAUUGAUCUUCAAAGAUCCUCUAAGAAUGCAUAUGACCUCUUCCCCUUCCCUCGCAUCUCUAAUGCUGUCACGGGUACAUGUUGAUACGUCUCCGUCGUAUCUACUUUUCCAAACACUUUUGCCCUUGUUUUGGACUCUAACUUGCAUGAUUCGAAUAGAACUAACCCGGACUGACGCUGUUUUCAGCGGAAUUGCCAUGGUGUUAUUUUUGUGCAGAAAUAGAAGUUCUCGGAACCUGAAAAUCAAGGGAGCAAUAUUUUGGAAUAUAUAAUGAAUAUUGGAAGGAAGAUCCACGUCAGGGGGUGCCCCACUUGUCCACGAGGGUGGGGGCGCGCCCCCCUGCCUCGUGGGCCCCCUGACGCUCCACCGACCUCAACCUGGACUCCAUAUAUUUACAUUCAGGGAGAAAAAACUAGGGAAGAAGGAUUCAUCGCGUUUUACAAUACGGAGCCGCCGUCAAGCCCUAAACUCUCUCGGGAGGGCUGAUCUGGAGUCCGUUCGGGGCUCCGGAGAGGGGAAUCCGUCGCCAUCGUCAUCAUCAACCUUCCUCCAUCACCAAUUUCAUGAUGCUCACCGCCGUGCGUGAGUUAUUCUAUCGUAGGCUUGCUGGACGGUGAUGGGUUGGAUGAGAUUUAUCAUGUAAUCGAGUUAGUUUUGUUAGGGUUUGAUCCCUAGUAUCCACUAUGUUCUGAGAUUGAUGUUGCUAUGACUUUGCUAUGCUUAAUACUUGUCACUAGGGCCCGAGUGCCAUGAUUUCAGAUCUGAACCUAUUAUGUUUUCAUCAAUAUAUGAGAGUUCUUGAUCCUAUCUUGCAAGUCUAUAGUCACCUAUUAUGUGUUAUGAUCCGUUAACCCCGAAGUGACAAUAAUCGGGAUACUUACCGGUGAUGACCGUAGUUUGAGGAGUUCAUGUAUUCACUAUGUGUUAAUGCUUUGUUCCGGUACUCUAUUAAAAGGAGGCCUUAAUAUCCCUUAGUUUCCGAUAGGACCCGCUGUCAUGGGAGGGUAGGACAAAAGAUGUCCUGCAAGUUCUUUUCCAUAAGCACGUAUGACUAUAUUCGGAAUACAUGCCUACUGAAAGGAUCGUGAAUAGCACCACCUAUAUUCGGAAUAUAUUCGGAAGACACUAAGUGCUAAAAGUUACAGUUUUUAACUUCUUUAAGUUGAAGUGGAGUUUUGGCACAAGUUUAACAAACACAAUACAUAUGAAGCAAGCAUGCAAAGAGUAUAUGAGCAGCGGAAAGUAAAGCAUGCAACUUGCAAGAAUGUAAGGGGAAGGGUUUGGGAAAUUCAAACGCAAUUGGAGACACGGAUGUUUUUGUCGUGGUUCCAAUAGGUGGUGCUAUUGUACAUCUACGUCGAUGGAGACUUCAACCCACGAAGGGUAAUGGUUGCGCGAGUCCACGGAGGGCUCCACCCACGAAGGGUCCACGAAGAAGCAACCUUGUCUAUCCCAUCAUGGUCAUCGCCCACGAAGGACUUGCCUCACUAGCAGUAGAUCUUCAUGAAGUAGGCGAUCUGCUUGCCCUUACAAACUCCUUGGUUCAACUCCAUAAUCUUUAUCGGAGGCUCGCAAGUGACACCUAGCCAAUCUAGGAGACACCACUCUCCUAGAAGUAACAAAUGGUGUGUUGAUGAUGAACUCCUUGCUCUUGUGCUUCAAAUGAUAGUCUCCCCAACACUCAACUCUCUCUCUCAUAGGAUAUGAAUUUGGUGGAAAGAGGAUUUGAGUGGAAACCAUCUUGGGAAAGGCUAGAGAUCAAGAUUCAUAUGGUGGGAAUGGAAUAUCUUGGCCUCAACACAUGAGUAGGUGGUUCUCUCUCAGAAAAUGUGUAUUGGAAGUGUAGGUAUGUUCUGAUGGCUCUCUCCACGAAUGAAGAGUGGGUGGAGGGGUAUAUAUAGCCUCAACACAAAAUCUAACCGUUACACACAAUUUACCAAUCUCGGUGAGACCGAGUUGAGAAACUCGGUUGGACCGAUUUAGCAAACCUAGUGACCGUUAGGGUUUUCGGUGGGACCGACUAGAUCAACUCGAUGGAACCAAUGUGCUAGGGUUAGGGUAAAACCAAAACUUGGUUUGACCGAUUACUGAAACUCGAUGGGACCGAUUUGGGUAAUAAGUGAAACAGAGAGUUGGCCAAGCAAACUCGGUGGGGCUGAUUGCAUAUCUCUGUGGGACCAAAAAUAUUGCAACAGGUAACAGAGAGUUUGCAAGCCCAUCUCGGUGAGACCGAGAUCCCAUUGGUGAGAUGAAACUGAUUAGGGUUUCUGGCAGUGGCUAUGUCAACUGAACUCGGUGGCUCCGGAUAGAAAGAAUCGGUGGGGCCUAGUUUGACUUUUGGUUUAGGACAUGUUUGGAAGUGAGAAAGUGGUUGAGGGCUUUGGAGCAUAUCACUAAGCACUUUGAGAAAGCAAGCCAUUAAGCAACACCUCAUCCCUUCUUAAUAGUAUUGGCUUUCCUAUAGACUCAAUGUGAUCUUGGAUCACUAAAAUAGAAAAUGUGGAGUCUUGAGCUUGGAGCUUGAGCCAAUCCUUUGUCCUUAGCAUUUUGAAGGGGUUCCACAUCCUCUAGUCCAUGCCACUUCAUUGUUGAACUUAUCUGAAACAUACUAGGUAAAAGUGUUAGUCCAACAAGAGAUAUGUUGUCAUUAAUUACCAAAACCACCUAGGGAGCACUUGUGCUUUCAAUCUCCCCCUUUUUGGUAAUUGCUGGCAACAUACAUCAAAGCUUUAGAUAAAGAUAUAGAGAGUAGCAAGUAAAGCUUUGGAAAGACAUGUGACAAGCAUAGGCUCCCCCUACAUGUAUGCAAUCAUGUGAAUAUGGUAUAUAGAAGCAUGUGAGAGCAUAACCAUGACAGGGUAGCAAUGUGUUACAUGUAUCUUGGCUAUAUGCAUCAGAGCAAGUGAUGAAAAUAUGAGAAAUGUACCUUCAUGCCCAUGAGUCCUUCUUGCAAACAGUAUGUACAUCAGCAAGAAUUUCUCAUACACAUGACCAUGAUGCAUAUACUUACCUUGUGGUCUUGAGUUGGCUAGGAUGGGAUGAACCUGCGUAAACAAGGUUAGAUAACACAGAUGCCCCUACUAGCUAGAGCAAACAAAAGAAACCACAAGAGUACCAAGACUGGAAUGACAUGUAGAGUGAGUACAGAGUACCACGAUAGAUAUUGAGAUGUCACCAAAGAGAAAGAUAUGCAAUGAAUUUAAUGAAUUUCUUUCCCUUGGAUGUCUUGCUCCCCCUGAAUCUAGCAUGGGAUGCUGGGAGAAGAUAGGGAACAGAAAAACAGAUCUCAAGGAAACAAAUGAACAGAGCUAAUGCAAAUAAUCACAUAUGAACAUGUCUUUCCCCCAAGAAGACAUGUGGCAUCUCUCCUCUUGAACAUCAAGCAUCUGGGAUCCUUGAAGAUUACUCUUUCCUGGAGAAUUCCCUCCCCUAGAGAUCUCUCCCCCUAGAGAUAUGAUUAAGCUUUGAUGUGAUCUCUCUCCCACUACAAAAAAAAGACACAUCCGUGACAUUUUGGGCCGAACGAAAUUUUUUCUGUCAUACAUAUGACACUUCUAUGACGAUAGUUGUGACAAAACCCGGUAUCAUCAUAGAUGUGGUGGGCUCCUACUUCUAUGACAAAAAAUCAUGACAAAAAAAUGGGCUUUUCAUCCUGGGCGGGCCGGAGACGCAGCUGCAUGACAUUCUUUGGGCCGUCCAUGACGGAAAAACCGUGGUAGAAGCAAGGGGAGGAAAAUUUUGGGGAGUUCUCGGUUACGGUGGGAGGUCGGGGGCCCAGCGAUGCACGUUUCUCUUGUACACGUAGGCGUGUGUGUGCGAGGCAUUGGCUCUAACUCAACCCGAGCGAGGCGUUGGGCUCUAACUGAACCCGAGCGAUUGCACUGCAGGCUACGCGUUACUGAACCCGAGCGAUCGAUCUAUGGCUGUUAACUGAACCCGAUCGAGUGAUUCCUUUGCUACUGCUGCUAACUGAAGCCNNNNNNNNNNNNNNNNNNNNNNNNNNNNNNNNNNNNNNNNNNNNNNNNNNNNNNNNNNNNNNNNNNNNNNNNNNNNNNNNNNNNNNNNNNNNNNNNNNNNNNNNNNNNNNNNNNNNNNNNNNNNNNNNNNNNNNNNNNNNNNNNNNNNNNNNNNNNNNNNNNNNNNNNNNNNNNNNNNNNNNNNNNNNNNNNNNNNNNNNNNNNNNNNNNNNNNNNNNNNNNNNNNNNNNNNNNNNNNNNNNNNNNNNNNNNNNNNNNNNNNNNNNNNNNNNNNNNNNNNNNNNNNNNGGAUGAACAGUUCCCGGUGGGGGUGGAUGAACAGGACCCCGUGGUGUUGCCUCUGGAUGAACAGGACCCCGUGCAGGGCUGGAUGAACAGGACCACCCCGUGGAGGGCAGGAUGAAUAGUAGACGAUGGAGGGAAGGAUGAACAGUAGCCCGUGGAGGGGUGGUUGAACAGGAGCCCGUGGAGAGGGCUGGUUGAACAGUAGCCGAUGGAGUAGCGCGCGGUGGAGGCUGGAUGAACAGGAGCCCGUGGAUGAACAGUCGCAGGUGGAGGCUGGAGGAGGUCGAUGGUGGAUGAACAGUAGCUCGUGGAGGCUGGAGAGGGACGACGGUGGAGGUGAACAGUAUCCCGUGGAGUCCCAUUUUGCGGUACGUCACACCCCUCCUGAUGAAUAGGACCCCCGUUUCGACCGUAGCACUCCAACACAAGUCUGUUUCGUCCGUUUUGCGGUACGCCACACCCCUCUCGAUCAACAGGACCCCCGUUUCGAACGUAGGAGGUCCGUUUCCUCCAUUUUGCGGUACGCCAGACCCCUCCCGAUCAACAGGAUCCCGUUUCGAACAUGGCCGGUCAAACACAAGGCCGUUUCCUCCGUUCUGCGGUAUGCCAGGCCUCGUUUCCAUUGCCUGUUCCGUCCAAGCCCUCUCGAUGAACACGACGCAUUCCGUUGCCUCCCCAUGAACAUGACACAUUCCGUUCCCUCCCCAUGAACAUGACGACGACGCUAUUUCUCCGUUCCGACCCAGCCAUGUACACGAGCCCUGGCCGUACGUAUGCGCGAGUAGGCGUUUGAGACCCCGCCCGUAUGUACACAUACAUGGCCGUAUUUUCUUUCUUGCACCCUGGCCGCUGUACGUACGUGUAAAUGCUACGUGCACACCUCUACUACGACACGUGCGCGCCUCUACUAUGACACGUGCACGCCUCUACAUCGACUAGUAUGUACGUACACGUUCGCGACCAGAAUGACAAUGCUACAUACGCUUCGACCAAGUGGGUCCCGACUGUUAGGCACUUCCUUGCCUGCAAAGAUGUAGCUAGUGGGUCCCAGCAGUCAGGGGGCGAAUCAUUUUUUUGCCCGGACGCACUUCCUUGCGUGCGAAGAUGUAGCUAGUGGGUCCCAGCAGUCAGGGGGAAACAUUUUUUCGCGAAAUAUAAUGGCCCGUCCGGUGGGUCCCAGCUAUCAGGUGGAGGAAUCAUUAUUUUCUGCGUAAUAAGGAGGCACUUCCUUGCUGCGGCCGUGGACCCAGCUGCCAGCCUCUCCAUGUACAAUCCAUGUCCGAUGGAAGUCGUUCCUUUACCAUGUUGACCAUGCCGCGCUGCGAGCACCAGGGCGGUGGACGACGGCGAGGCCUAGGAAGGGGACGACACGGAGGUAGGGAAGACUCGGUAGUUGUUUCCCACGCGGAGGGGAGUACGACUAUACAAGGAUUUACUCGUUCGGCUGCCCUCGCCGGAGAAUAAUAGCAGGUGUGGGUGAGUAGAGGGAUGGCUAGGCCAGCGAUGGGAGUACGGUCGGGCGAUGAGGCCUGCGCGGCAGCACAGCCGGCCGCGAGGAGGAGGGAGCAGGCAGUCCCGCCGGCGCUUGUUUGAGCGGCUGGAGCAGGAAGAGCAGAGAUUGAUGAAGCACGACGGCCGUUGGAUGGACAUCCAACAGUCAGUGCUUGUGCGUCAACCUUUUUUUAGGAAAGCCUCAAAUCUGUGGAAAACAACAUACAACCCAUCUGCCAUUAUUUCUAAUAAUUUACAGCCCAUUUGCUAAUUCUUAAGGUUUUUUUGGAGCCCAUAUUAUUUUUGUUAGCGUUACAGCCCAUAUUGUGGCAACGGUUAAAAAAUUAUACGAAAUUUUGCAUAUUUCGGUGCGGUCCGAACUAUUUUUAAUCCCGAAAUUUUGACUCACAUUCAAACUAAUUUUAAAAAUAAAUGUAUAUCAAUAUAAAAUCCAACAAAUUCUCCACGCAUAAAAAUUAAUGUAAUUUAAAAUCUUGAAAUGAAAAAAAAAGAUAUUUCAAACUAAUUGCCGGUUUGAUGUGUUUUAAAAAUGUACAAGCCAUUGCUCAUUACUGAUGGGCCAUUUUCUCGGCCAGCCGAAUGAAAGCUCUCCUCAUCUAGAAAGAUUUGCAGCCCAACAGGCCUGACAAAGCGACUUACUUGGCAAAUCACAAAAAAAUUGGGUUGUGGCCGUGGACCCAGCUGUCAGCCUCUCCACGUACAGAACUCUUCCGAUGGAAGUCGUUCCUUGACCACGUUGACCACGCCACGCGGAGAGCACCACGGCGAUGGACGACGGCAAGGCCUAGGAAGGGGACAAUGCGGCAGCGGAAGCCCGCGCGGAGAGGACUACGAGGGUUCACUGGUUCGGCUGUGGUGUGAGGCUGCCGUCACCGCAGGGCCUGGCCAGCGGUGGGAAUAGUAGGGGGCGAUGAGGCCUCUGCGGUAGCACAGCUGUCCACGGGAGGCGGGAGCAUGCAACACGACCGGCGCUGCUUUGGGCGGCUGGAGCAAGGAGACCAGAGGUUGAAGAAGCACUACGACCGUUGGAUGGACAUCGUACGGUCACUAGAGCUAGAAUCGUUCAUAUUGACUAAGUUGACAAAGCCCUUCAUCCCCGUCAACUUAGUAGGCCCACAAGUCAGCCUCCCAGCAAGGUGGGUCCCAGCUAGCCAGGAGAGUAUUCAUUUUUUUGUGCAUAAUAAGGAGGCACCUCCGGUGGGUCCGAGCUGACAGCGGGGGGAACUUUUUUCGCGAAAUACGGUGGGCCAUCCUAUGGGUCCCAGCAGUCAGAGGGAAACGAUUUUUUCACAAAAUACUGGUGGCCCGUCCGGUGGGUCCCUGCUGUCAGGUGGAGGAAUAAUUAUUUUCCGUGUAAUAAGGAGGCACUUCCUUGCGGCUGCCGUGGACCCAGCUGUCAGCCUCUCCAGGUACAGUACUCUUCUGAUGGAAGUCGGUUGUUGACCACGUUGACCACGCCGCGCCGAGAGCACCAGGGCGGUGGACGACGGCAAGGACUAGGAAGGGGACGACUCGGAGCCGGGGAAGACGCAGCAGUGGAUGCCCACGAAAAGAGGAGUACAAGGGUUCACUGGUUCGGCUGCGGUGUGAGGCUGCUGUCGCCGCAGAAUAAUAGGGGGUGUGGGUGAGUAGAGGGAUGGCCUGGCCAGCGGUGGGAGUAGUAGGGGGCGGUGAGGCUUCCGCAGCAUCACAGCCGGCCACGAGAGGCAGGAGCACGCGGCACGACCAGCGCUGGUUUGGGCGGCUGGAGCAAGAAGACCAGAGGUUCAAGAUGCACUAUGGCCGUUGGAUGGACAUCGUACGGUCACUGGAGCUAGAACCGUUCAUAUUGACUAAGUUGACAAAGCCCUUCGUCCCCGUUAACUUGGUAGGCCCACAAGUCAGCCUCCCACUAUGCUGGGUUCCAGCUGGCAGGGGGAAUAUUCAUUUUUUUGUGCAUAAUAUGGACGCACUUCCUUGUGUGCGAAGACAGCUGGUGGGUCCGACAUGUCAGCAGGGGGCACUUUAUUUCGCGAAAUACAGAGGCGCUUCCGGUGGGUCCCAGAUGUCAGGUGGAGGAAUCAUUAUUUUGCGCGUAAUAAGGAGGCAUUUCCUUGUGUGCAGCCGUGGACCCAACUGUCAGCCUCUCCACGCACAGUCUACUUCCGAUGGUGUCGUUCGUUCACCACGUUGAGCACGCCGCGCCGAGCGCAUCCAAGGUGGUGGACGACGGCGAGGCCCUGGACAACAACGAGCCGGAGAUGGGAAGACACGGGAGUAGAUUCGCAGACAGAGAGGUGUACGAGGGUUAACUGGUUCUAGUGCGGUGUGGUUCGGCAGUCGGUGGAGAAGAACAGGAGGUGUGGAGGAGUGGAGGGAUGGCCUGGCCAACGGUGGAGUAGCGCUUCAUAGAGAAGCGUGCUAAGCAGAGCUGCUAGCAGCAGGAGGCGGGAGGUGGUCCUGGUGGCGCUGUGGGAAGAAGAUGAGAGAUUGAAGAUGGAUGUCGAUCGUUGGAUGUAAAUCCAACGGCUAACAUGUCAGAAUCAUUUGUUGACUAAAUUGACAACGACUUGCAUUGGCUUUGACCUAUUGGCCCACAUUUCAGCCUCCAAAAAUGUGGCACGUAUUCAACCCAUUUUUCAGAAUUUACAGUCUUUUUUUGCGCGGUAGAAUUUACAGUCAAUUUGAUCUUCUUUUUUGAAUUACAGCCAUUAGCUGGGCUGGGUGAACAAAUAAUGUAGCGUCCAUGUGGCCCGUUUAUUUUAUUUCCUAAAAAAUUACGGCCCAUUUGCACUUUCUUGAAAUACACGAUUUUGCUGGGCUGAAUCUAAUUAUAAUGUUGGGUUGGGCCAGCAAUGUUAUCAAAAAAUAAAAAGGGGUUGAGCAUUUUGUUAUAUAUAUAUUUAAAUAAUAAGUGAUAUUAUAACAUUCGUCGUUAAAUUUACAGUCUUACCAAGCUUUAUAUAAUAACAUAUAAAAUAUUUUUUUUAGAAAAACAGGGAGCAUCUCCCCGGUUCCAUUGCGGAGAACGAAACCACAACAUAUUCUGAUACAGCAGCUCAAAGAGCAGUUCGAAAGCAAAGGUAGAAAAACUACAAACUAGGGGGGUGGAUGAACAAGUUCUCUGAAUAACACAAAUCACCCGAGCGGUGCCAGAGGCAGAGCGGAUAGAACACUCAAAUGGCACAAGGAGGGUCCAACGAAGCUUUCAUGGUCUUCAGCCAAGGGGCCGUGUCAGCCUACGGCGACCAGUAAGCAAGCGGAGACACCGCGCUAGAAGGUGUAGCAUGGUGGAUGUCCCUCUUUUUCGGCGCUAGGUGCCCAUCAUCUUCAUCAGAGAUCUUGAGACGAGCCCACAGGUCCAGCCCCAGAGCAGGUCGAGCCUUGUUCAGCCACAAGUGAUCGCCAACGGUUUCUGGAGGGAUCUUGUUAGGGUUUCCAUGAAGCUCAUCAACUUGUCCUUGUCCGAUUUGGAGGAGAGAAUCGCCCAGUUCCUCACCAUGUUCCUGAUCAACCUCAAGACCCGUGGAAUGGAAAUCCAGGAGGUGUUACUGAAAACCAUAGCAUCUCUAUAUUUCCAGAGGCACCAAAGGACAGCUGAGCUAACAGUGUUUAAAACUGAGCACUUUUUGGUAGCAAUCCAGAAUCUGGCGACAGAUUCGAAGGACGAGCCAAUCUGACUAGAGAAAUAUUCCUCAAUGUGGGCCCAGAGAUGUUUAGCAACUAUACAUUGAAAAAAUAGGUGAGAACAAGACUCUUGUUCCAAGCAGUAAACACAAACAAGGGGUUUGAUGAUGUAUCUCUUCCUAAGGUUAUCCCUAGUCAUCAAUUUGUUUUUGGAGAGAAGCCAGAGAAAUACAUGAAUUUUAGGGGAACUCUCAAUUUCCAGACAGCAGGGAUAAACACGGGUUGAACCCCUCUAAAGUUGAUAACAUGAUAGAGGGAGCUAGAGGAAUACUUCCCCUUAUUGUCCAGCUGCCAAAUCGGGGCAUUCGGCUCGGCAGUAAAGGUAAUGCUUUUGGCAAUAUCCUCCAACUGGAACCAUUGUUCCAUGAGACUAUCACUAAAGUUCCUUCUAAAAGAGAGUUUUAUGCAUUGACCGUCCCAAACUUCAUUGACACUUUUGUUAAGCUCAUUGCGGACAGAGUAAAUAGGCCAAAAUUGGACUCCUAGGGGGGAUGUGCCAAACCAAGUAUCUUCCCAGAACCUGGUUCUGCUCCCAUCCCCCAUGUUCCAUCUGUAGCCAAAUUUCAUAGCAUGCAUAAUCGAUUUUAAUCCUUUCCAGAAUCUAGAGGUCUUAGGGUUGGAGGAAGGGACACAAAUAUUAGGUUUAUUUCCUAGGUAUUUGUGGGAAAUAAGAAGCUUCCAGGGUUUCAGGUCUUCCUCAUAGAAUCUUUUAAUCCAAGACCCGAGAAGACAGAUGUUAAUUUCUUGGAGGUUAGGUAUGCCUAGGCCUCCAAAAUCUUUUUUCAUAGAGACUAGGGCCCAAUUAGCAAGGUGUAGCUUCCUAUUUCCCUCAAAAUCAUUCCACAAGCAAUGAGACAUCUGAGAAUUGAUGAGGUUCACUGACCAUUUAGGGAACUUGAAGAAGGAGAGGAGAUACACUGGAAUGCUAGCCAAACAAGCUUGUAUGAGGAUCAAUCUACCUCUGUAAGAGAGAAGUUUGCCCCUCCACCCAGCAAUCCUUUUAAUGAUUUUAUCCAGAAGGGGUUGGAUAUCCUCUCUCCUCAGUUUAUCAUAGUGGAGAGGGAUACCUAGGUACUUAAUGGGGAAGUUACCUUUAUUACGGACUGGAAUAGAGAGGAAGUCAGCUAACUCCUGAUCAUCCAUGUUGAUAGGGAUGAGUUCACUUUUAGAGUAGUUGAUUCUCAUGCCUGAGACUUGUUCAAACCAGGUUAGAACAGUUUUCAGAUUGCUAGCAUGUGUGGAGUCAUUGUCUAAGAAAAGGAUGGUAUCAUCUGCAUAUUGAAGGCAGAUGAUGCCACCAGGGCAGACCUCAGGACAGAGCCCUGCAAUCAGACUAUGAUCAACAGCUUUGCUCAGCAUUUUAGUAAGAACGUCCACUACUAAAUUAAACAAAAGCGGGGAGAUGGGGUCACCUUGCCUAAGGCCUUUACCAGCAAGGAAAAAACCACUUUCACAGUUACUUAACUUGAUCCCAACAGACCCCCCAUGAGUAAGUUGCUGGAUCCAACUCACCUCUAUGAAAGGCUUGGAAAAGAUCUAAGAGAUCAUUUUUCACCAAGUCCCAAAAAUGCUGGUAAAACAAGAAGGGAAUCCCAUCAGGAGCAGGAGCCCCAUCAGGAUAAGAGCUAAAAAUGGCUUCCUUCACCUCUGUCUCUGAAAAAGGGGCUUCUAGCAGCUCAUCAGCAGGAGAGACUUUUUCAGAAGCAGAGAAAAAAUUGUUUUGUAGAGAGAACCCAGAAGGGUUUUCUUUCUUAAACAGGUCUUUGUAGAAGUCACUAGCCACUUUCAGCAUCACAUCUACCUCAGUAACAGGGCCAUUAGGGCCAUCAAGGGAGUGAAUGAGGGUUUUCCUCCUCCUCUGGUUAGCUACUGCAUGGAAGUAAGCAGUAUUUCUAUCACCCUCCUUAAUGUUCCUAUCUCUAGACUUUGUUUGGCUUUGAUUUCUUCUUGAAGCCAAAUUUUCUUGAGCUCUCCAUGGACAAAGUUUAAUCUAUUAGUCUCAGCCUCAGAGAGGUCAAUGGUUUCUGCCUUAAUAUCUAGAGAAUCAAACUCAAGGAGGAGAAGCCUUUUGUAUCUUCUAAGAUUAGCUUCCUCAUUGGAGUUCCACCCUUUGGUAGUUCUUCUAAAUCUCUUGAUUUUGAUCUGCCAAUUUUCUAGGGGGCAGCUGCUCCUAGCAGGCUCAUUCCAGAUUUUCCUGACUAGCUCGGUAAAAUCUUCUCUAAGCAACCACCACUUUUCAAAUUUAAAACUAUUGCUCUUUGGAGUUUGGUUAAGACCAGAGUCCCAGAGCAAAGGAGUGUGGUCACUACCACAUCUGGGCAGAGCUCUACAACUAGAAAGGGGAAAAACUAUCUAAUUCUGUGUCACAGAAAAUUCUGUCAAUGGUGGACAUAAUCCUGGAGCAGCACUUCCAACAUAUCUAGCAGAACUGUGGGUUUUCUUUCUGACAGGGCAAUUCUCAACUUAUGAGUAACCAUUUUGCAGAUAAAACAACUCUUGGGGGUGACACAUUUAUCCAAAUGAUGCCCUGGUUCCCCACAGUUGUAGAUGAUCACCUCAGAGUAUGCCAUAAGGCCCGAAGCAGGGGCAGGAGCAGUUUUCUGGAAGUCCUAUCUCUUCUUUUGUUGAUUCUUGCCUUGAGAUUUCCCACUGAUCUGAGAGUCAGAACCACCAGCAGAUUGAUCCUGGGUAAUUACAGGAGCCUGCCCAGAUUGUGCCCCCAUCUGGGGCGGAGGUGAGACGUACCAUUGCCCAACCGGCGCUCCCCCCCCCAUUGUGAUAGGGGAAAUUCAUCGGAGUUCCUGGUUCCUUCUCAUCCUCCAGCCAGAUGUUGUCUCUCAGGAAGCAGAAGUAACCACAAGAUAGCUCAAUUCAAGCAGACUGCAAGCCUAAUUUCAAUAUUCUGCAGGUUUGGGGGAGAGGUAAGGUAGGGGAUCCACCUACUCCGCCUCCGGUGGCAUGCUGGUGGGCAGGAGUCCAGUCAAGCAUUCCCAUCUCGCAGCAUGGCGUGGAUCUCCUGAAUUCACUUCUCCUUUCGCCCAUCGAACGAACGCAAUUGGCGGAUCACUAGGGUGGGGCAUCCUGUGCUUAUCUGAGAAAUCUCCUUCAAAGUAGAUCCACAGGGCUAGAUUCAGCAGCUCCCAAUCCACAUGAUCCUUGCACAUCCGAGCAUACCUGCGCGAGUGAGAGAACGGAUUCGGUCCCUCCUUGGCUUCCUCCCUCGCAGCUUCCUCCUCUGCUUCCCUCCAUUCGCGCGUGCACUGGGUCCAGGAGAGAGCGUCGUCGCGGAUCCGCAUCGCCCGCUCCCUCCAUCUCCUCCCUCGAGUCUCCCGCAGCACCGCCGGCGUGACGGAGUCGAGCGGCUGGAGCAUCCGCGGGAAGGCUUUGUAGACAUGUGGGAGAUGCAUCUUGUACAUCUGCCUAUCUUCCAGCCAUUCUCCCAUGGAUUUUGCCGGCGACUCCAUGGGGCGCGCGAGCGGACUUGCUGAGGGGGGCCGACACGCCCGGAGUCAGGAGGCGGGGGGUGGCGGCGAGAUCUAUGGCGGCGGCGAGGGUGGAUGUAGUGGCGGGGGCGGCGGCGAGGGUGGAGGUGGUGGCGGGGGCGAAGGGGAUCGCGAGAGCGGUCAUCUAUUUGCCAAUUAUGUGAACUAAACAGUCAACAUAUAAAAUAAUUUAAAUAUAUACAAUAUAGUUAGAAGGGAAACAUAAGUUGGACCUGGCGUUCCUAUUCUUAUAUAAAAAUAGAACAGACCUCUGCGUUUUCUUCAAAAAAAUACAUAAAUUGGGCUGCCAAAAAUAAAACCUCGGAUGGGAGGUCCAUAGGACGGUCGAUACAUGACGGCCCUAAGAAAAUAUGAACGGGCCUAUGGACCUCCCAUCCGAGGAUGUGGGCUGCGCAUGUUAAAAAUGAAAGCCUAGACGGGGCAGCCCAAAACCACGUCCAACACUUGCCAAAACUUUGUCCCUUGUUUUCUCUGUGUUUCGCACACUCGACAUUGUGUGGGCAUUUUGACUAUGCAUCACAUGAAGAUGUGCUAUGCAUGAAUGUUGGUCAGCAUGAUGUUAACGGGCUGGUAGUUCCAUUUUCGACCAUGAAUAAAACUUCCAACAUGAUGUUAACCCUGUUAGAAAAGGCCGUGUUAAUAUAAAUGCUCUGCCUCUGAAAGUUGCAGUUUCUUAUCUGAAACUGAACUUGCAGUUUCUUAUCUGAAACUGAAACUUGCAGUUUCUUCUCUGAGAAUCACAUUGUCUGCACUUUUAUACUCCUAUGAAACUACAUUUUUUAAGUGCUAAAAAUAGAUAUCUAGAAUUCAUAAAAUACUUCAUAUGCUCAAUACUGCAAAUCUGAAAUUCAGAAGACAUUCAUAUCUGAAAGUACUCUCAAAAUACACAACACAAAACACAAUUCAUAACCGGCAAAUACUGACAACCCUAAGCUCCUCCUGACAAUUCACAACCUGCCCGACUAUUGGGCUGGGGGGCAGUUGGGUUCGGUCGACGAAGACUCCACCGGCUCGCUCUGGCAGGAAACCCUCACAAACGGCACCCUGUAGAUGCUCGAUCCUUUAAUCUCUGGUGGAUGCUCCAUAUGGGAUCGAUACUCCCACCACCGCUCCCUCACGAUCGGAUUCGGUGAAUCUGUUUGCUCCAUGGCCCAGAGGAGCAGCUCUAUGUACUCCGGCACGACUCCCUCCGGGAGUAUCACCGCCUUUUCGCUCUGUUGCAGAUAUUUGGCCAUGGAUGUCGCCGUCGCCGCUAGUUGGUCCUUGUUGUCAAACCAAGACUGUACCUCCAACAUCCUAGCUAGCUUCACAGGGUCACUGUCUGCGAUCCUCACGUAUUGGUUGUACUCCUCCAUCGAUCUACUUCUCCACAGCACUUUACUCGCCGACGGUGGUUUUUGAAUGGAAGAGGAGAGGAGCAGCGCUAGUUUUGGAUUAGAAUGGGAGAGGAGCGACGCUGGUUUUGGAUUGGAACAGGAGAGGAGGGGCAGUGGUUUUGAAAUGGAAGAGGAGAGGAGCGGCGCUGCAUUUAGAUUGGAAUAGGAGAGGAGCGGUGGUGGUUUAAGAGGAGAAGAGCGGAAGAGCGGCGCUGGUCUUGGAAGUAUUUUUUUU
rnacentral:lncRNA from 1 species